rnacentral:lncRNA from 1 species
UUGAAUUUGAUAUUUAAUGUCAAGCUCCAUUAAUUUAUUAGAAGAACAUUUACAUAAAAACAUGCCCUAUAGGCUAUAGAUAAGAAAGGAGCCUCAAAUACCGCAUUAGCUCUUAUUUUAGUGUAAGAUAUUUUACUACAUACACACAUAUUAUUAUGGCCUUGUUCAAUUGCAUGCUUGCAACGAGAGAUUGCCAUUACAAGAUUACACACAUAGAGAUAGUACCGACAUUGUUGUCCAAAAAUCCGGCGUUGUUAGGGUUAGCACCAUAUCUUAUGUUGGAGUGGGAGUCGGAGUCGAAAAAUCGGGCAUUGUUAGGGUUUGCACCAAAUCUUAUGUUCGAGUUGGAGUUGGCAAAUCCUGCAACAUCCUCCUCCGAGAUGUUAGUUCUGAUUUUAGCGUGGCCCGUGUUGUUCACACCAAAUCUUUUGUUGGCAAGUCCCUUUAAGUAGUCAACGUCCUCCUUCGAGAUCUUAGCUCUGAUUUUAACGAGGCGUGGGUCGUACUCAUCAAUUCUUUUGUUGGAGUUGGCAAAUCCCUUCAAGUAGUCAAAGUCCUCCACAGAGAUCUUAGCUUGGAUUGUAGCAAUGCGCGAUUCGUCCACAUCAAAUCUGUUGUUGAAGUUGGAGUUGGAAUAUCCCCUCAAUUGAUGAUCGCCCUUAGCUUCGAUUUCAAUGCUCCCACCCCGAAUUCCAACAAAUUUGUGGUUGUUAUUUUUAAGAUAGGGUUUGGGGUUGAUUUCAUCGUCCCAACCCCUAAACCUUAAACAGCCUUGGUUGCAGAAGUUGGUUUGAUCUUGAUUCGACGUCAUUGUCUGUCUCACUGAUAAGUUUUUAGGUUAUGGUGUGUGUUUGCUCUGAUGAUCAACUCAUUGCCUCAUGGUUGGUCUCCUUUUAUAGUUAUUUGAAUGUGCAAAAGCAGAAGAUAUUUUAUAACAGCCGAUACCCUGAGCAUAAUACAGAUUCUAUAUUGAUCAAAUUCUAUACAUUUUAUCUUCUUGGAAUAAUAUUCUACAGUGACAGAUAGUACAGUCGUAGUGGCCUUUCUUAUUAGAGGAUCUUUUUAACUUCUUUGGCAAUACAUCUCAUUCAAGUUACUGAUGACUAUCUCUAUAUGUACAGUCAGCAGGCUUCACAUGUUAGUUGUUAGAAACUGUUAAGAGUUUGUUAGUAGCUUACUUAAGCUUUCAGUAAGCAUACUAUAAGUAUGCUAAUGUAUACUGUAAUUCAUUCUUAACAAAUAUGCAAAUCAGAAUAUACAUCUUCUUCUUUGAUUUAUCUCUGCCUUCUCUCUACUUUCUUUAGCUUCCUUCAAUUCUAGUCUGAAAAUACCUGUAGGAUAUCUAUAUAUGCCUGCAGAAAGUUAAACAAGCUAAUUCGAAUUUUUUGCAAUAAAUAACGAUCAACCUUUGAAGCAGUAUUGAUAUUAGUUAUCAAUCCUAAGAUGUGCAAAGCUUAAAAUAAAAGAACACGCAGAGAAUUAUUUUACGUGGUAAAACCCCACAUCUGGGGAAAAUCCACGGGACUCCUCAGUCCAACUCAAAUCCACUAUAGAACGAUGAUUACAAGAAGUACUCACACACUUAUCCUAGACUCAUUCUAGAUAAUGUUUACCGACUUCUUCGUAACUCAACUUCUGUCACGGGAUGAUCUUCGACACUCCUUAUGUUGAACACAAUACUGGCCACGAUUGCUUCAAGCUCGCAGGAGGAAAACCGCCACCACGGUCUUGGUGCACUCAACCGUAUGAGUCACCGACAUGCAUAUGAAUGCAAUAUGAAUGAUUAAAGUGUUUGAUAAAUCACCAAGUAAACAUGGAACACUUGAUGAUUUAUCUCAAAUAUGUGCACAACAGCUUUUGCUUAAGAAUUCUAUAUGCUCAACCCAUAUCGAAAAGUCUCGAAAAAACCAAAGAGAUGCAAGCUGCUUUUAUUCAAAGCUUCCUAUACCUAGUCAGAUCAGAUCACACGAGUACCAAACCCACUUCAAUUAUAACUAUAAACUUUUAGCUUAAUUUGGACUCUUAUGAAGACCACAAUUGGUUUUCCAACAUGAAUACAAGUUCAAUAUGGAUUCUUAUUGAAAAACGCCAACCAAUCAAUUUUUAAUAGAAAAACAAUAUCUAUUAAACCAAUAUCUAUUAAAACAAAAAAACUCAAACUAGGAAUCCUAUAAUGAAUGCAUGAUUAUGUCAUGAUUUACCUGAAAUUAAGUUUCUCAUAUCGGUCAAGUCAAGCCUCGGAUGUAUGGGGUUGAAUGAGUUGUGCCAAAACGUCCAGUAACAAUUCUUCACACACUAAUUUUCAACCUAUGAUAGAGUCUAGGAAAUGACAAUACAAUUUUCAUACUAACAAUCUCCCCCUUUGGCAUUUCCUAGACAAAACACCUAUUACAACUCAAAAGAAAUUACAUGGGAUUCAACAAAUGAAAUCCUACUCUAAACUCAAGGCUCUGAAUCCCUGCACAUUAUGAAACAACAAAACCAGUGAAGCAUGUGGGAGAAGAAAUGUAAUUCAAGGCAAAAUUACAACACCACUCCCCCUUAAUUCUACAACACAAUCUCUCCCCCCUUUUAUUAUAAUUUCACAAUCAUCUCUUCCCCUUUUUGUCAGGAAAUCCAAAGAGCAAGGAAAGAGUACAAGGGAGCAUAUAUAAAGGCAAAAAUAAGAGGAAAAAUUCAGUUGUGCCACAAGUCUGCAACUGGCAGGAUUGAUAAUGAAGCUGCAAUCCUCAGGUUCAAUUUAUCAUGUAUCCGUCUUAGUAACAUGAAGGAAAGCCUAACUGCACAAUUAAACAAGAAGUAAAAACCUACACUAUGUUUGAAAACAAAAACAAAUUCGUUUUUUUAUUUUUUUUUAUUUUUAAAAUGUAAAAGAUAAAGCCACUGAAUAAAAAAAACUGAAAAAUAUAUAUACAUAGAUAAGCCACACUUAGAAAAGAGACAAAACCACAAAGACAUCAAUCAAAACAUCAAUUACUAUGCUUAAUAAGAACCCAAGACUCCUCCUUCAUUCAUGCCAAAAUUUUUUUUGAGUACAUGCCAACACUAUGCAUAAGAAUAGACAAGCAAAGUCAAUACCAAUAUCUAUCUAGAAGCAUUUGGAAGCAAAGCCUUUCAAGAUCGAAGGCACAUCAAAUCACAAAGGUUUAAUCAAAUACUAGGAUUAUAAAAUGGGAAUCAAAAGUAUUUGUAAGAGAUAAAGUCCAUCAAAAGAGCAAAUAUUAAAUCUCAAUCUCGUGUUAUGUGACCAAACUUACUUAAUAACAAAGAAAAAAUCCAAUCAAGAGCAAGCCAAGAACAUAGAAUAAACACAUACAAAAUGCAUACAGAGGUCACCACUUUCAUUUUUUCCCUUUUUUUUUAAAUUUUAUUUAUUUAUUUAUUUUUUUUAAUGCUAACUUUAUUAAGCUUUCUACAAGACUCAUGUAACGGGUGUUAAAUCAAUGUGCUCAAAUCAGAUGACUUUAAGACAAUGGGUGUUAAAGCACCCCUAGGAUGUGCUAACCCGAGUCAUGUAGGCUACAAAGAAGAACAAAGUGUAUAAGAUCAAAGCUUUUUGACGCGAGCCUCGACGUUGGUUAGACAAGAGGCCCGGUUACUUGGCAAGGAUCAAACACUUAUUUUACUUUUCUUUUAAUUAAAGAGAUGUUACAAAAAUGUGAGCUCAGUAGCAAAAAGUAUAAUGCAAAUCUAGUAUCAAGACAAGGGCAAGAUGAGGAUUCAUUCAAAAUUAUUAAACAAGAUUAGAGUGUAUGUGCUAAAUGAGAGACAUGAGAUAUAAUAUAAAGAGCAUUUAAUUGACUUUAUAAAAAACAAAGACAGUCGAGAACCAUUCACAUAAACCCAAUCUUAAUCUGCCCAAUGUGAUCCAACGCCAAAAAUCCAGUCUAAGAUCAGCAAAAACUUCCAGAGGUCAGUAGGAUUGAUAUAGCUUAUCAAUCCCUGCAUGUGCUGAACAAAAUACUUAGAAUUUAAACAAAUUUCAAAAACUGAUAAGAGAAUAGCUGGAGUCUUUUGGCAUGCAUGCAAACAAUUAUUCAAAAGAACAAAUACCUAAAGAUUUUCUAAGAGUGUCAAAUCGAAGAUUAUCCAAGGGUUUUGCAAUAAGACAUUUAAGAUCCAAAUUUUCUAAAGCAACGGGUUCAUGCACAACAUUAGUGGAGGCAAACAUACAAUUAUGAUUUUCCUUUUUCCUCCACACUAACUUUGUCUUAGUUGACGGCAAACAAUGAAAAGAAGAUAGUUUAGAUAAGCGGUUUACCUCUUUCAUAAGAUUUGAAAUCUUAUGUUGGAUGCUUACUUUUCCACCCAUGCCAUGAGAAUUUGAAUGAACAAAUUCAUUUCGAAGCUUAUUGCAUCUUGGUCUUAUGUGCCCACGAGUUCCGCAAAAGUGACAAAUUGGAAUAAAUUUUUUGACUUCAUGAGCGGCAGAAGGUUCAAUAGGUGAAGUAGAUUUGACAAACUUUGUUUUAGACACAGCGGAAGACUUAUUACUUGGUUGAAAUCCCAAGCCUCGUUUGUCACCAUCUCUUCGUCCCAUGCUAAUCAUCUUGUCAAUUUUUUCUGCACCAAUGGUUAAAGAAACAAUCCUUUCCUUUGAAUUUUUAAGUUCAAGUUCAAGGGCUUUGUUGUCAGAAGUUAGAGAAGCAAUUAAUUUAUUCUGAUCAGUCAAUUUUUUCUACAAAAACAUCAAUUUUUCGUUCAUACCUGCACUUACCUUUUCGGAAUCUGCAUCAGGGGAUUGAAACUCGUUUGCAAUCCUGCAAUUUUCCAGCUUCAGCACAGCAACUUCUUUACAAUCAUCAUCCUCAUGUGAUUCAUCCAAGCUAACUGUGGUUAUGAGUGCAACCAUCUUUUCAUCAUUCUCGCAUUCCGAUUCACUAUCACUUCAAGUAGUAUGCAUUGCCUUAUUCUUGCCAUCCUUUUGUUUCUUUAAGGUGUUGGCACAUUCCGAAGAUAUGUGUCCAUAGCCUUCACAUUCGAAACAUUGGACCUUUUCUCUUGGAUUCUUUCGUUCAUUUGACCUGCGAAAUUUAGACCUACCAUCAGUAUAGUUAACAAACCUAUUUUUAGAAUUUAUACCUUUUGAAUCUCGACUCCUUGGAUCCUGAUUCUUAAGAAAGUUCAUGAAUCGUCUUGUGAGAAUCAUUAAUUCCUCAUCACUGCAAUCUUCAUUUGAAUGCCCAUCAUCUUCUUCAUUCACAACCUUGAAAGCAACAUUUUUGCUCUUUUUAGGAGCUAGAUGUUUCAUCUCAUAGGUUUGUAUGGACCCUAUGAGUUCUUGAACUUUCAAGGUGUUCAAGUUGCGGAUCUCUUCAAUAGCCGUGAUCUUUGGUUGAAAUCGUUGAGGCAAGGAUCUCAAAAUCUUUUUCACAACCCUGUCUUCUGGAAUUUUUUCACCUAAACUUGAACAAGCAUUCACAAUUACACACAGUUUAGCAUAAAAUUCAGAAAAAGUUUCAUUCUCAUCCAUCAUGAGUGUCUCAAACUGUAAAGUAUGCAUUUGAAGCUUGGCUCCCUUGACAGUAUCUGUUCCUUCAUGAGUAACCUGCAAAAUAUCCCAAGCUUCCUUAGAAGUAUCACAACCAGAUAUAUAUUCAAAUUGAUCUGAAGAGACAGCAGUAAAUAAAGCAUUUAACCUAUUUUGAUUAUUAGUGCUGUGUGUGACUUCUGCAGUGGUCCACUCCUCUCUAGCUUUGAGGAUUGUGGUUUCUUCAUCUCAUUUUCCGAUCUUCUUUGUGGGUUUAGGAAAUCCAUGAACCACUGUACUCCAUACACGUUCAUCUAAGGACCAAAGAAACGACUUCAUUUUGGCCUUCCAAGCGCCAUAGUUGUUGCCAUCAAAAUAUGGUGGAUGUGCAAUUGAGCCCGAUGCACGAUCCAUCCUAAGGUAUAUUAGAUCUUACUGAGUAUGUCCAGCAACCUGCUCUGAUGCCAAUUGAAAAUACCUGUAAGAUAUCUAUAUAUGCCUGGAGAAAGUUAAACAAGUUAAUUCGAAUUUUUUGCAAUAAAUAACGAUCAACCUUUGAAGCAGGAUUGAUAUUAGUUAUCAAUCCUGAGAUGUGCAAAGCUUAAAAUAAAAGAACACGCAGAGAAUUAUUUUACGUGGUAAAAUUCCACCUCUGGGAAAAAUCCACGGGACUCCUCAGUCCAACUCAAAUCCACUAUAGAACGAUGAUUACAAGAAGUACUCACACACUUAUCCUAGACUCAUUCUAGAUAAUGUUUACCGACUUCUUCGUAACUCAACUUCUGUCACGGGAUGAUCUUCGACACUCCUUAUGUUGAACGCAAUACUGGCCACGAUUGCUUCAAGCUCGCCGGAGGAAAACCGCCAUCACGGUCUUGGUGCACUCAACCGUAUGAGUCACCGACAUGCAUAUGAAUGCAAUAUGAAUGAUUAAAGUGUUUGAUAAAUCACCAAGUAAACAUGGAACACUUGAUGAUUUAUCUCAAAUAUGUGCACAACAGCUUUUGCUUAAGAAUUCUAUAUGCUCAACCCAAUAUCGAAAAGUCUCGAAAAAACCAAAGAGAUGCAAGCUGCUUUUAUUCAAAGCUUCCUAUACCUAGUCAGAUCAGAUCACACGAGUACCAAACCCACUUCAAUUAUAACUAUAAACUUUUAGCUUAAUUUGGACUCUUAUGAAGACCACAAUUGGUUUUCCAACAUGAAUACAAGUUCAAUAUGGAUUCUUAUUGAAAAACGCCAACCAAUCAAUUUUUAAUAGAAAAACAAUAUCUAUUAAACCAAUAUCUAUUAAAACAAAAAAACUCAAACUAGGAAUCCUAUAAUGAAUGCAUGAUUAUGUCAUAAUUUACCUGAAAUUAAGUUUCUCAUAUCGGUCAAGUCAAGCCUCGGAUGUAUGGAGUUGAAUGAGUUGUGCCAAAACGUCCAGUAACAAUUCUUCACACACUAAUUUUCAAUCUAUGCUAGAGUCUAGGAAAUGACAAUACAAUUUUCAUACUAACAUAGUCUUUGUGAAAUCUUUGAUCUGUCCUCAGUUACUACUGUGUGCAGAUUGUUAAACCUCAGUAAUGGGGUAGCUAAUGUUUUACAAGGACUUCAAGGCUUGUUUUGUAAGUUUUUUUUUUUUUUUCUUCCAAACAAUGGAGAAGGGAAGGGAGCUCUUCUAACAGUGAGAAGAGCAAUGCAACUUGGUUGAUAGCUUGAAAGAUGGAUGGUGGGAAGUCGAACUAGUAACUCCUAUAACUUCAAGGACAAUCCAUUCUUAUGAUAUUGCAUUUUCAAAAAAGUUGAAAGCACUAUCAAUUGAAUUCGAUAAGGAUAAUGAAGUUGACAUAGCUUUUCAGAGACAGAUUCUAUAUUGAUCAUAAUAUUCACAUAUUAAAUUCGAAUUCCAUAUAUAUAUGUAUAAUGAAGUUGAUACAUCUUUCGGAAAGGAUAGAUCCAUAUCUAAUAUAUUUCUCAUUGAAGUUACUACUUUAGGUUAUCAAUACUGAUUAGAAUCUUUCUAUCAUAUCAAGAAUUCUCCACUUAUUUCGUGAGUGGUUCUUAUGUGGAUGGUGGGAAGGUUAAUUAGCUUUGUGAGUAGUUUCAAAAUUCCUUGUCACACUCGGGAGCCAGAAUAGGGGAAAAGUAUGUGUCCUAUGCCUGAUGAUAAAGUAAAUAACAACUUAAAACCAAAAGAUCAACUUUCUUAUAGAAUAACCAAAAACAUAUAUAAAAACAUGAUAUACACUUAUGCUAUAACUUCAGCUCGCCUAACCCUCUAGAGAAAAUGUCCCAUAUUGGAAAACUAAUAAAUCUUGAAAGGAUUUAUAAGGAGUUGAACUACUCGUCAUUGCCAAUUGACUUUGGGGUGAAAGAACGAUUAGACACUUGAAAUUCUACAAUUGUCAACAAAUUCAUAGCUUUGUCCAACCAUGCAAUAAUAGAUUGUAUACUCAACAAAUUCAAAUAGUACCAAAGAUGCGUACCUUGUUUCUUGCAUGCCCUUCUACAAUAUCCUUUAAAAAGAGUACCGAAGAUGCGAUUAAAAGAAAUAAAGGAAGGGAACCUUUCUUAGUUCGGAUUUCUAAUAUUCACUUCUUCUUUUAUUCCAUAUAUACAAAGAGUACCGAAGAUGCGUACCUUGUUUCUUGCAUGCCCUUUUACAAUAUCUUUUAGAGCAAGGCCAGCGCACCCAACAAACUGGGCCAAAGGCAGCCCGAGAGAAGGAAGACCAGCUCCAGCGCGGAAGGAGAAGCCCGGGCAAGGCGUGGGUCCCACCAGCCCGGGCAGGCCCAAGGGCGAAAUCAGACUGGGCUCGAGCCCGAGUUGGAUGACGUCAUCACUGACGUCACGAUGACGUCAUCCAACCCCAGUGUCCAACGGUAACCUGCCACGUGUCAACACCGGGUGGCUCCGAUUGGUUUUUUUCCAGAAAUCCUACGGUUCUCAUUUUUUUGGCCAAAAAAAUUUAAAAAAUAUCCUAAAAAAUCCGAAAAAAUUCUGAAAUUUUUUUAAAAAAAAUACCAAAAAAGUAUGUAUUUUUUCCCUAUAAAUACCUAACCAUUUUAUCUACUUUCAACACCAAAUCUUCAUACAAUUUCUUCUCCAUACAAUAUUUUCUACUCUCCACUCACAUUAUUCAUUUUCCACACCAAUUCUCCAUACAAACUCAUCUCCUUCCAAUAUUUUUUACUCUCUACUCAUAUUUUCCACUUUCCACACCAAUUCCAUACAAACUUUUCUCCUUCCAAUAUUUUUUACUAUCCACUCACAUUUUUGUACUACUUUCCAUUUGUAGAAAAUAAACAAAUGGCAUCUUCUGUCGAAAUCGGAGGCUCGUGGUCAACCCAGGAAGAUAUUGCGUUAUGCGAGUCUUGGGUGAACGUUAGUCAUGACCCUAUCACGGGCAAUGAGAUGAAGUUCCAUCAUAUGUGGAGCAAAAUUCAUGGAGAAUUUUGUCAAAGAUCGGGUUCCAUUCGGACCGAAAUGGCUUUGUCUAGUAGAUGGAAACUUCUAAACAAAGAGUUAGGGAAAUGGAGAAAUGCCUUGACAAAAGCAAAGGACAACAUUCGGAGCGGUGCGAAUCUUUCCGAUGAGGUAAAAUAUUUUUAAUUGUCAUUUUAAUCAAUUUAAUGUAACUUUUUUUUAUUGCAUAUUCUAUUUCUUUUUGUUGCACAAUGUUUAUUUUAUUUUUGCAUUUCCUAAUUGGCUUUAUUUAUUUACAUAAUCAAUUUUAUUCUUGCAUUUCAAAUAUGUUUAUAAUUUCAUGCAUAAUCUUUAUUUUUUGUUUUUGCAUUUUCAAUUUGUCUAUAUUUAUUUACAUAAUCAAUUUUAUUCUUGCAUUUCAAAAUAGUUUAUAAUUUCUUGCAUUGUAUAUUUUUUUAAUGCACUUCCAAUUAUUUAUUUUGAAUAGAUCAUACAAGCACAAAUGUGGUUCGGUGCCAUGGGACAAGGGAAAAAAAGUUUUGUGCAUUUCCAAUGUUGGGAAAUUGUCAAGGAUUGUUCCAGAUUCAAAAUUAUUCUUACCGCACCCCCGGUUGUGUUGCAUGAGACGCCGCUCCACGAAUCGCCAUUAACCGAUUCACCAUUGGACUCCCCAAUGGAAACGGAGUCACCACUCCCACGUCCGCCGAGACCUAUUGGGAGAAAGGUGGCAAAGGCCAAGAGAGGGGGCACUUCGAACAUUGAUUGUGUUCAAAUAUUCGAGCAAAUAGCUAAGAACAACUCUCUAAGAUUGGAGAGAGACUUGAGGAGAGAUGAAGCGGACAAGGCACGAUUGGAAGCCUUUGCAAUUGAAAAGCAACAUGCAAAAGAAAAAGACGACGAUGAAAAAGAGAUGAAAAUCAUGGCCAUGGAUACGAGCCAUAUGUCUCCUGAAACAAAGGCCUAUUGGAAGCAUAAACGAAGGGAUGUGAUGAGAAGAAAACUUUUCCAUGACGACGGACCUAGCAAUACGGAUUGGCUAAAUGAUGAAAACCAUUAGAUUGUAUUGUUGUAUUUUUUUAUAAUUGUUUUUUAAAUUGUUGUAUUAUCCUUUAAUUUGUUGUAUUGUUUCUUUUUUAUUCAAUCAAAAAAGCAUUCUAUAAUUGGACUACUUAUUAAAAACAUUUGAGCAUUCCUCACAAAGAUUAAUUAAAAACAAACCUUCAUUUAUUGCAAACAACACACAAAACAAACCAUACAUAAAAGCAUAAUAAUAAAAAAGACCUCGCAAUAAUUCCACAAAACACAACACACAAAAACAAAGCAUGAUUAAAAAAAAGCAUAAAUCCAAACAAAGCACAAAUCUAGCCUUCAUCCAUUGUGAUUGCCUUUCAUCUGCCACAAGUGCUCGAUCAAGUCAACUUGACGUCUUUCGUGAACAUAUGAAGAUUGCAUUUCUUGAUAACGAUCAAUCAUGGGGUUGUUGAAUCGACCAUCCUGAAGUAACGGUUCGGGCUCCAAUGGUAGUCCAUUUGGUCCUAUCGGCCUUUCAUAUAUUCUUGUCAACGCCGUGUUCAUAGGAUCGGGUUCAAACACCUCUGGAGCAUCGUAGUCAUACUCAUCCUCCACAAUCAUGUUGUGGAGGAUGAUGCAAGUCAUCAUAAUACUCCUCAGCACCUCCUCGUCUAGCAUCCGAGCAGCACCCCUGAUAAUUGCCCAACGAGCUUGCAAGAUACCGAAACACCUUUCCACGUCUUUCCUGUAACCUUCUUGAAAGGAAGCAAAGCUUCUUUCCUUCUCGGAUUGGGGAUUCGGAAUUGUUUUCACGAAUGUCGUCCACCUAGGAUAAAUUCCGUCGGCAAGGUAGUAGGCCCCAGAGUAUAUGGUAUUGUUGAUUUGGUAUAUGACCUGAGGGGAAUGACCUCGCAAUACCUCAUCGAACACCGAGGAUUGACCAAGGACAUUGAGGUCAUUCUGAGAUCCGGCAACCCCAAAAAAGGCAUGCCAAACCCAAGUGUCGAAUGAAGCUACGGCCUCCAAAAUGAUACUUUUUUGGCCCUUCCGAUUCCCAUACUCUCCUUGCCACGCAGUAGGACAAUUCUUCCACUGCCAAUGCAUGCAAUCAAUGCUUCCGAUCAUUCCUGGGAAACCUCGAGCCUCGCCUUUUUGUAGAAGCCUUUGCAGGUCCCUCGGAGUGGGUUUGCGAAGGUACUCCCUCGUGUACAAAUUUUCCACUGCAUCACAGAAUCUCACCAAGCACUCUAGGAUAGUAGAUUUUCCCAUCCUUGCAAUCUCAUCCACCUGCUCUGCAGAUGCCCCAUAAGCAAGCAUCCGCAAAGCAGCUGUAAGUUUUUGCUCCGGGAUAAGACCCAAAACUCCAACAGCAUCAUGCUUUUGAAUGAAGUAUGUGUCGUAAUUACAAAUAUCAUGCAUGAUUUUUUGGAACAAAUGUGGCUGCAUUCUAUAUCUCUCUCGAAACUUAUGAGCAGGAUAUAACGAAUUUGGGAUAAAGUAAUCCUCCAAGAGAUUCUUACCCCGAGACUCUCUGCGUCUGUCCACAUUCGGGGCACGACGACGAUGGUGUUGGCUUGAUUGAUUCAUCAUACACACCGCCGCUACUUCAAGCAUUUCUUCCUCUUCUUCAUCGGCGUCCCGAUCUUCUUCCUCACGUCUACGCCGGAUUUCUUCCCAUUCUUUCUGUUGCCUCUCCAACACCCUCCUGAAGUUUGACAUUGAGAGUAUAAUGGGAAAUUGUAAAAUCUGAGAAAUGAAGGAAUAUAUCAGAGAUGGUGUGAGAGGAGUGGUGUUGAUGGUGUAGUUAUAUAGAGGGAUUCAGAAGAUAGAGAUGACACGUGGCACAAUUUUAGAGGGUGAAAAUCUUAUCUGAAAUCUGAGAUCACUAUUUGUAAAAAAAUAUCUGAAAAUCUUAUCAGACAUGGGACACGUGGCACAAUUUUAGAGGGUGAAAAUCUUAUCUGAAAUAUGACAUUAUAAUUUUUUUAAAUUAUCUGAAAAUCUUAUCUGACAUGGGACACGCGGCACAAUUUUAGAGGGUGAAAAUUUUAUCGGAAAUCUGAGAUUAUAAUUUUUAUUAAUGAAUAUCCGAAAAUUUUAUCUGGAAUAAGACACGUGGCAACCGAGAUUCACAUCCGAAAAUCUUAUCCGAAAAUUUAAUUACAAAAAAUUAUCAAAAUUAAUGAUUUAAAGUAUUAAAAAAAUAGGAAAUAAAGUACAAUGAAUAGUAAUUGCCCUAGACUUGCCCUAGACUUUGCCCUUGUGGGUGGAACCACAAAUGGCAAGGCUGACACUAUUCACGUGAAUAGUGUCAGCCCUUGCUUGCCCUUGCCUUAGACUUUGCCCUAAGGGGUGGAGUUGCUCUUAACGUGAUCAAAAUCUUCCUCUUGACAUCUCUGUUUUGAGAUUUCCGAGGAUAGAGAUUAUAAUAUCGGUGAGCCCCUCAAUGGAAAUCCAAUCCUUGUUAAUAGAAUUCUCUGGCAUAACAUUUUGCAUUUGGCUUAAGGCAUCUAACAUGGACGUCUCAACACCUGAUAACAACUUUGCCUUGGAAGAUCUUAUCUUGAGGCAGUAAUUAAGUUCUCUCCACUCUUCUAUUGAUUGCCACAAUGGAAGGUUACCUCUCCAUGAAGUAUCUUCAAGAACCUCAUGUGUUUCGAUGACUAACUAAUUUGAUCCAACGGUUAAGAGAUAGAAAGUGCCAUAUAUAAGGACCUCACUAUAGAAUUCUUGCCCUUAGCCAACUCCUCCUAUAUCAAAACCUACUGGCUAGGCAAAACCCCCUCAGACUAUUAGGAAAGAUGCCUUUGGUUCAUUGAUAAACAAAUGUCAUGAUUCUUCUGGUGGGCGAAAGAGAGUCAACAACGAUAUAAAAGAUCCUUAUCUACAUUUUUCCAGCUACAAAUGUAUAUUAACUUUUUAUUUUUAAUGAAAUGGCGAGGGAAAUUCAAUCUUGGGAUAUGUCAAAAUAAUAUUAUUAAGACCUAGUUGGUAUUGACUAUUUGAUGUCGGAUAUCAAAUUAUAAAUGCAAAGUUACAUUGUGUACUUUUAUUAAGUACGUGGAAUGUACAUUGUGACUUUAUGCAACCUACUUUGGGUAGUGGUUUGGAACAAUUGAGUUCUAACAUUUAUAUAGUGUGCGUGAACUUAAUAUAUUAUUGUUCCUAGAAAAGGUCCUUUAAAAAAAAAAAUCCUAACAAAAAUCAUUAUUGCAUCCAAUAUAAAUAGUUUUUAACCAAUCAAUAAGGCACAAUAAAGCCAGAUAUUGAAAUCCACCUUGCUAUUUUACAUACUCACUCAAGCACAACUCAGAUAUUGUAAAAUACUAACAUCUUUGGCCACUUUUCAAAUACAUCCACGCUUUUAUGAUAUUUGUUGAUGCUCUUUUUGGGGAGGUCAACUUAGAUAAAGGUAGAAUGAUGGAUGAUGUGUGAAGAUGUUGGCCUUUAGUAUGUGUGUGAAAAUUUGGACAAGAGAUAGAUAUAAAGAAGACUAGAUAUACGUUCACCCUUAAUGAAUGGGCUACGUCCACGGAGAAGUAUGUUCUCAUUAUAAUAAUGUAUGAUUAUAUUUGUACAUGGGGUUGGACUCAAAUAUAAAGAUAAGAAGGAUAAGCCCAUGAUUAAAGAUAAAGCCCAGCCCAGGGAUCUAGAAGAGAGUCUCUCUCUCAGGGGAGAGUAGUCUUCUUUUAUAGGUGAAAGGGAGUCUCCAUCUCUUGUAGUUUUCCGAUGUGGGACUCAUCUUGCUUCGCUUAGAGUUGUGACUUGUGGUAAUGCUUCUUUGGCUAAGGUGAUGACCUCUCAAGGCAUGGCACGUGGAUGAUCUAGCCUAGCUAGUUGCUCGGUCAGUUACGAUACCAAUAGUAGUCCCCCAAGUUCGCAAGUAAGAAGAUACUUCUUGAUUGGGGACUUGUAAUUUUAAGUGCAUUGGCCGAGCAACACUAUAGUUCAUCUUCCAAGCUGCAUAGUGCACUGCCCAUAGUCCCCCAAGUCCUAGGUAAGAAUGACAUUUGGAAGGGAGAUAACUUGGCACGAAGGUGCCGAAGGUGAAGGGGUUGUCGAAGGCACAAAGUUGCAUGUCGCAGGGUGAUGUGGCUAGGCACGAGAGUGCCAAAGGCAUAAGAAUUGCAUGUCCCAAGACGAUGGGCCUAGGCACUAGGGUGCCGAAGGUGACACAAAGCUUGCAUGUUUACAAGGCGAUGUGUUUAGGCAGGGGGGUGCCGAAGAAAAAGGGGAUGCCGAGGGUGACACAAAACUUGCAUGUCGCAGGAAAAUUACCAAAGACCAUGAGACUUGGUAAGAUGCGGAAGGGCGCUACCAUGAAUCUUGCAUGUCGCAAGAAAAUUACUGAAAGGCAUGUGGGUGCCGAAGAUGCAAGACUUGUAUAUCACAAAAGAAAGCGCGUAGGAACGAGAGUGCCGAUAAUAUAAAAACUUGCAUGUCACAAAUGUUGUGCUUCCUCUGGGUCUUCAAUAACAGAGUUUUUUUUUUUUUUUUUUUUUGGGGUCUCUAUCCGUUUCGGCCCGAUGCUUGCCGUUCGGCAAGCAGGCCAAGUUUGUUUCGGCAAGGCCUAGGGUUUGAGCAUAGGUAUUUAUGAGCUAUCAUUGUGUUUCAGCAUACCUUUGGCUUACAACAAUUUUGGUGAGCUCAUUUGGAAAGGAGGAGUCUCGAGCGAAGUCGGUUUUCUUGCCACCAACUUCGGUAGCGCAGGUCCUACCGUUCGACAGGGAGACUAGGAGGAAUUCUAGUGCUCUCCAUCCAAUAUUCCUUUUGCAGGUGGCAAGGUGAAAAAGUUUCGGCAUGCCCCGGUUGGGGUACGACAAUUGUCGUGAACAUGCAUGUUGAAGAGUUGCUGGUAGUCCCUAUCGAUCGGCAAGGUUAAUCUCUUUCUCAUCGGCAAGGGGUGGUUGGGCACUUGAAGUGUCGGCAAGUACGCACUCCUCAGCAAGGGGGCUUUCGAAGGCUUUGGCAAGUGGGAUGUGUGCCUAGUGAAUGGUAUUGGAUCUUCUGCAGAGCCUGGGUCUUCUAAGAGGCAAGGUUUCGACAGGACUAUCAUGGUGGUUUGAGCCUGGGUUUUUCGAAGGUUCUGUAAUGAGCUCAAGUCGGCAGCAUAGCCUUGCUGAACGACAAGGAUGACUUGGGAGCGUUUUGGAUGGUGUCUUUGCUCAGGUGAUCUAUGUUCUUGAUCAGCGGGCACGAGUGAAGGUCAACGCAAUCUGUGGGUUGGAGUAAGGGCCUGGCAGGUCUGCUUCAGUAUGUUUUGGGGCUGGCCUUAUGAGCUGGGCUGCGGAAGAGGGGUUAGGCAAGGUCUAGUUGAAAUGAGGUUUUAUCCAAGGAGGCUAUACGUUCACGGGCGCCCCGUGAGCUUCUGCACGACCCUUGCCGUUCGGCAAGGGUGUUUUGAUGAUUUUUGUUGGCCUAUUUGGGUGCAACACUCUUGUCGUUCGACAGGGAGUUGAGGAAAUGAGUUAUGAGCGCUGAUUCAGAAGAGACCGAGAUAUAUUGGAGCUAGGCUUCAGCACAUCUUCGGCUUCAGCAUGUCGGGUUCCCUUUGUCAUGUAGUUCAACAAUGGGGCCUUGCUGUUCGGCAUAGGUGGAUUUGUGCCAUCUAUGCGAUAGGCUCUUCAUAUGCUGAACUCCUCAUCUGUACUGUCGUUCAAUAAUGGGAUCUUUUGAGCUUAGAGUAACAGUUGGAAUGACAUUGACGUUCGGUGCGAUGGGCUCUUCAUAUGCUAAACCCUUAUUCAUAUGCAAUAUUCAUGAAUCAUAUUGUUGAAUAGGAUUGUGCAAUGAAUUAUUUAAAUAUUGCAUGCUUGUAUACAAUAUUUAUAUGUAAGAGGAGAAAUCUUACCUUGUGAUGAGGAUACAUAUGGGCAUCCUUCAGAGUUGAGCAAUUUUUCCUUGGCCAUGCGCAAGCCAUGUAUGGUGAUAUCCUUGGUGCAUGUGGAAUAUUUGGCCGUUUCCAAAUUGACUCUUUCAACGUGAUUGAAAGGUGGUUCCUUGGGCUGAAAUGGUGGAUUUCUCUUUUUGGCCAUGCAAGGCGAGGUGUCGAAGGCAUCGCUCACUUCAGAGAGGCCUGCCAAAGGCAUCGCAUGCGCCACAUGAUGACGAGGUGCCGAAAGUAUCACUCACGCUGAAUGACGACGAAGUGCCAAAGGCAUCGCUCGCGUCGAAUGAUGAUGAGGUGCAGAAAGGCAUCGCUCGAGCAAAAUGACGACGGGGUGCCGAAAGCAUCGCUCGCGUCAAAUGAUGGCGGGGUACCGAAGGCAGCGCCGAAUGAUGAAGUUUGUAGAACAAGCUCAAGUCCCCAUAUUUUUACUCUUCAAAGACGUGCCGAACAGCACUUUGAAUUGAGAUGGUAGUUUGGCCAUACAAGCUAUGCAAGCCAUGCAAAAUGAUAGCCAUACUCUGACUGGCUUUUCCUUAAAAUAUCAUAUUUUGCAAUUUGUUGCCUUAUGCAAUUUGUUGCUCUAGUAAGGUAUUGCUGAACCACUUAGGUGAUGUUGAUUGUAUGGGUGCCCAAGGGCACUGAUGAAUGGGAGAACGACAUAAGCUUUUUGGGAGGGUCAACUUAGAUAGAAGUGAAAUGGUGGAUGAUGUGUGAAGAUGUGGGCUUUUAGUAUGUGUGUGAAGAUUUGGGUAAGCGAUAAAUAUAAAGAAGAUGAGAUAUACGUGAUUCACCCUUAAUGAAUGGGCUACGUCCAUGGAGAAGUAUGUUCUCAUUAUAAUAAUAUAUGAUUACAUUUGUAUAUGAGGUUGGACCCAAAUAUAAAGAUAAGAAGGGGUAAGCCCAUGAUUAAAGAUAAAGCCCAAUCCAGGGAUCCAGAAGAGAGUCCCUCUCUCAGGGAAGAGUAGUCUUCUUUUAUAGGUGAAGGGGAGUCUCCAUCUCUUGUAGUUUUUCGAUGUGAGACUCCUCUUGCUUUGCUUAGAGUUGUAAUUGUGGUAAUGCUUCUUUGGAUAAGGUGAUGACCUCUCAAGGCAUGACACGUGGAUCAUCUAGCCUAGCUAGUUGCUCAGUCAGUUACGGUACCAACAAUAUUAAAACAAACAUAAUUAAUUUACAUUGCAUCCUGGGUCACAAAGAAUCUCAUAUUAUACUUAACCAAAAUAAUGUAAUAUGUAGGAUAAACUAAUAAACUUCUCAUUUUGUUUACAUAUGUUAUAAAUUAAGUUAAUUUUUUCAAUAAUUUCUAAUCUUAAUUUGGGAUAGAAGUCAUACAUUUUGAUAAGAUUUUUUUUUUUUUUAAGACUUAGAAAAAAAUAUUAAAAAACAUUUCUAUAAAAAAAUAAAAAUAAAGCCUAGCAUGUUAAGCCCAUAGUAGUCCUCUCCGGCCAAUUAGGCCUGUCUAGGCCUAACCGGCCUUUGAAACCUUGGUCCAGCCUGCCCCGUAUCCAACUAGAACCCAAAAAUUUCGGAUCGGGCUGACGAACUAUACCUCAGGAUACUUAAAAAUGUUUUUGGCACCCAUUAUAUUCUUCUAUGGUGUUUAAUUAAUUUCUUUUUAAAAUUAUGAGUACUUUUUGAACCCAUUAUUUCUCUAUUUAUUUCGAUCUUCAUAGGAUCUAGAGGGCUAAAUAGCUAUUGUAAAGCAACAAUUCCCUUUAUUUUUUAUUUUAAAAAAGAUUCUCUAUCAAAUAAAAUACUUAUGAUAAGAGAAAAUCUGUUUCCAAGGACAUAAUCUAAAAGUUAAAUAUUGACAAACAAAAAAAUCUAAAAAUCUAAAAAGUUAAAUGUUGAAUUUGAUAUUUAAUGUCAAGCUUCAUUAAUUUAUUAGGAGGACAUCUACAUAAAAACGUGGCUUAUAGAUAAGAAAGGAGCCUCAAAUACCGCAUCAGCUCUUAUUUUAGUGUAAGAUAUUUUACUACAUUUUAUUAUGGCCUUGUUCAAUUGCAUGCUUGCAACGAGAGAUUGCCAUUACAAGAUUACACAAACAGAUAUAGUACCGACAUUGUUGUCCAAACAUCCGGGCCUGAUACGGCUGUACGUCCUACCAUUCAUUUUAGCUAAGCCCUUCAAGUAGUCAACGUCCUCUUCCGAAAUCUUAGCUCUGAUUUUAACGAGGCGUGGGUCGUUCUGAUCAAUUCUUUUGUUGGAGUUGACAAAUCCCUUCAAGUAGUCAAAGUCCUCCACAGAGAUCUUAGCUUGAAUUUUAGCGAUGCGCGAUUCGUCCACAUUAAAUGUUUAACAAGGAAUUCAAGGCUUGUUUUGUAAGUUCUGUAUUUUUUUCCGAUCAAUGGAGAAGGAAAGGGAGCUCUUCUAACGGUGAGAAGAGCAAUGCAACUUGGUUGAUAGCUUGAAAGAUGGAUGGUGGGAAGUCUAAGUAGUAAUUCCUAUAACUUCAAAGACAAUCCAUUCUUGUGAUAUUGCAUGUUUAAAAAAGUUGAAAGCACUAUUAAUUGAAUUGGAUAAGGAUAAUGAAGUUGACAUAGCUUUUCAGAGACAGAUUCUAUAUUGAUCAUAAUAUUCACAUAUUAAAUUCGAAUUCCAUAUAUAUAUGUAUAAUGAAGUUGAUAAAUCUUUUGGAAAGGAUAGAUCCAUAUCUAAUAUAUUCCUCAUUGAAGUUACUACUAUAGGUCCCCAAUACUGAUUAGAAUCUUUCUAUUAUAUCAAGAAUUCACCACUUAUUUCGUGAGUGUUGUCCUUAUAUGGAUAGUGGGAAGGUUAAUUAGCUUUGCGAGUAGUUUCAAAAUUCCUUGUCACACUUCAGAUCCGCAAUAGAGUAAAAUUUUGUGUCCCAUGCCUGAUGAUAAAGUAAAUAACAAUUUAAAACCAAAAGAUAAACUUUCUUAUAGAAUAACCAAAAACAUCUAUAAAAACGUCUUCCUCUUGACAUCUCUGUUUUGAGAUAUCCAAGGAUAGAGAUUAUAAUAUCGGUGAGCCCCUCAAUGGAAAUCCAAUCCUUGUUAAUAGAAUUCUUUCGCAUAACAUUUUGCAUUUGGCUAAAGGCAUCUAACAUGGAUGUCUCAACACCUGAUAACAACUUUGUCUUGGAAGAUCUUAUCUUGAGGCAGUAAUUAAGUUCUCCCCACUCGUCUAUUGAUUGCCUCAAUGGAAGGUUACCUCUCCAUGAAGUAUCUUCAAGAACCUUAUGUGUUUCAACGACUAACUAAUUUAAUCCAACAGUUAAGAGAUAGGACCUCACCUAAGAUCCAUAUAUAAGGCCCUCACUAUAGAAUUCUUGCCCUUAGCCAACUCCUCCUAUAUCAAAAGCUACUGGCCAGGCAAAGCCACCUCAGACUAUUAGGAAAGAUGCCUUUGGUUCAUUGAUAAACAAAGGCCACAAUUCUUCUGGUGGGCGGGAGAGAGUCAUCAACGAUAUAAAAGAUCCUAAUCUAUAUUUUUUCAGCUACAAAUGUACACUAACUUUUUAUUUUUAAUGAAAUGGCGAGGAAAAUUCUAUCUUGGGGUAUGUCGAAAUAAUAUUAUUAAGACCUAGUUGGUAUUGGCUGUUUGAUGUCAGAUAUCAAAUUAUAAACGCAAAGUUACAUUGUGUACUCUUAUUAAGUACGUGGAAUGUUCAUUGUGACUUUAUGCAACUUAUCUUGGAUAGUGGUGCAAUUGAGCCUUAAUAUUUAUGUAGUGUGUGUGAACUUAGUAUAUUAUUGCUCCAUCUCAAUAGGAAAAGUUCACAUCAUGGUAUUUACCAAAAAAUAAGAAAGGUCCUUUAAAAAAAAAAUUUCCUAACCAAAAUCAUUAUUGCAUCCAAUAUAAAUGGUUUUUAAUCAACCGAUUAGGCACAGUAAAGCCAGAUAUUGAAAUCCACCUUGCUACUUUUACAUUCUCACUCAAACACAACUCAGAUAUUGUAACAUACUAACAUGUUUGGCCACUUUUCAAAUACAUCCACGCUUUUAUGAUAUUAAAACAAACAUAAUUUACAUUACAUCCUGGGCCAAAAAAAAUUUUAUUUUAUACUUAACCAAAAUAAUGUAAUAUGUAAAAUAAACUAAUAAAUUUCUUAUUUUGUGUAUUUAUCUUAUAAAUUAAGUUAAUUUUUUUCAAUAAUCUCUAAUCUUAAUUUGUGAUAGAAGUCAUACAUUUUGAUUAAGAAAAUUUUAAGACUUUAAAAAAAAAAUUCUAUAAAUAAAUAAUAAUAAAAAACUAGCAUAUUAGGCACAUAGCAGUCUGCCCCGGCCAGUUAGGCACAUCUAGACCCAGCCGGCCCUUUGAAACCUUGUUCCAGCCUGCCCCGAAUCCAACUAGAACCCAAAAAUUUCAGACCAGGCCGACGAACCCCACAUCAGGAUACUUGAAAAUGUUUUUGGCACCCGCUAUAUUCUUCUAUGGUGUUUAAUUAAUUUCUUUUUAAAAUUAAGAAUACUUGUAUUUGAACCCAUUAUUUCUCUAUUUAUUUCCAUAUUUAUAGGAUCCAGAGGGCUAAAUAGCUCUUGUAAAGCAUGUAAAUAUAUAGUGCGCACCCAUUAUUUCUCACAAACAUAAACAUUUGUGUUACGAUUAAGCAACUAUUUGAGAAAGAAAAAGAAAAUCCAUUAAAUCUCUUGGUUUGCACUAGAGACAAAAUCUGUUUCCAUUGACAUAAUCUAGAAAGUUCUCCAUUAUUUUAUUAGAAGUACACUUACAUAAAAACGUGGCGUAGAGCCCCCCUAGCCAAGGAAGAAGCCACAGAUACUGCAUCGGCUCUUAUUUUAGUGUAGAUAUUUUAUUGUGGUACACACAUAUUAAUUAUUUAUUAUGGCCUUCUUCAGUUGCGUGCAUGCAACGAGAGAUUGCCAUUACAGGAAUACACAGCCACCGAUAGUGACGUUAUUGUCAAAACCUCCGGGAGGUGCCCGGAAACAGUUGGCCGUAUGGCUAUUUCCAAAACUUCCGGGACGGGCCCCAAAACAGCUGGCCGUCCUAACAUUAUUGUUAGCGAGGCCCGUGUUGUUUACACUAAAUCUUUUGUUGGCAAGACCCUUCAAGUAGUCAACAUCUUCCUUCGAGAUCUUAGCUUUGAUUUUAACGAGGCGUGGGUCGUUCUCAUCAAUUCUUUUGUUGGAGUUGGCAAAUCCCUUCAAGUAGUCAAAGUCCUCUACAGAGAUCUUAGCUUUGAUUUUAGUGAGGCGUGAUUCGCCCACAUCAAAUCUGUUGUUGGAGUUGGGGAUGGGAAAUCCCCUCAACUGAUUACGGCCCGUAGCUUUGAUUUGAUCAUUCCCACCCCAAAUUCCAAUAGAUUUGGGGUUGAUUUGAUCGUCCCCACCCCUAAACCCUAAAUAACCUUGGUUGUCGAAGUUGGUUUGAUCUUGAUUCGACUUUAUUAUCUCUGUCAGUCCCGUAAACCCUGAAUAGCCUUGGUUGCCGAAGUUGGUUUGAUCUUUAUUUGACGUCAUUGUCUCUCUCACUGAUUAGUUUUUAGGUUAUGGUGUGUGUUUGCUCUGAUGACCAACUCAUUGCCUCAUGGUUGGUCUCCUUUUAUAGUUGUUUGCAUAGACAGAUUCUAUACAUUUUAUCUUCUUGGAAUAAUAUUCUACAAUGAUAGACAGUACAGUCGUAGUGGCCUUUCUUGUUAGAGGAUCUUUUUAACCCUUUUCACAAACACUUGGCAAUACAUCUCACUCAAGUUACUCAUGACUCUAUACAGUGGCGGAUUGUUUAGGCUAAACUGUUAAGGCAUUUUUGUAGAACAAAUGAGUCAUUUCCUAUCCAAUUAUUAUUUUUUAAAUAUAAAAAUAAUAAUAAUUUUAAAAUAAAAACACACACACUAAUACUCUACAAUGAACCCCAACCUACCCUAGAAACUCUUUGUCUAAUAAGCAGAACAAGAAGGUUUUUUAUUUUUUUAUUUAUUUUUUUUGAGAACCCCUUUAUAGAUAAAUUCAUCACUAAAAUUUAAGAUUUUGAGCUAUCUCUUCUUCCUUUUCUUUCUAUGUCUUUUAAGAUUUCCAGAUAAUUGUUUCCUACGUAUCAUUUUUAAUUUCCAAAUAAAAAUCACAAUAAUCACAUCAACACAUAAUAAAGCAAGAAACAAUAAUAAUAAAUCAACUUUUUAGAGCAAUAAUUUGAUUAAAGGAUCAAUGAACAAUAAAACCUGGAUUUGUGUGCUUGCUUGCGUAAUGAAAUGAACAUAUUUUCAAUUACCAAAAAAAUAAAUGAACAUAUUUUUGAGUUAGACGUAGACCAGCCUAUUUGACCCAAAAAAAAAAAAAAAAAAAGACUUGGACAUUGGCCUACUUUUCUUUAUUUUAUUUUGGCUUAUUAUCACAAAACGCCCUUAAGGUUUAUGAAACUAUCAGAUUGCAUUCUUAAUGUUUUUUUUGUGUCAUUUGUGGUUCUCAAGGUUAGUAUGUAUGAUCACAAAUGGUCCCUGCCGUUAGGUUAUGCAAAAAACUCCAUUAGUUUGCUGACGUGACAUAUAUAUAUAUCACAAAACAUCCCUGAGGUUCACGCACCUAUUACAAAUGGUCCUUACGAAUUUUUUUAAUUUUUAAAAUUUAAAAUUCAUAAAAUUUUUGUUUUCUUUUUAAAAUUUUAUGAAUUUAAAUUAUCUUCAAACAUAUAUUAUAUUUUAAAUACAUGUGACACUAUAUUAUUGUAGAUGUGGGCUCCAUAUUUAUGCCACAUCAACAAACUAAUGGAGUUUUUAAAAAAUAAUUUAAAAUUUAUAAAAUUUAAAAAUGAAAAAACUAAGGUUUUAGUGUUCAUAAAUGGUCCUCAAGAUUAAAAUCCUUCUAUAAAUGGUUUUUUCAUUUAUAAAUAAUUUUAACAAGAAAACCAAAAUUUUAUGAAUUUAAAUUAAAAAAUAAAAAAAAUCGUAGAGACCAUUUGUGAUAGGUGUGUGAACCUUAGGGAUGUUUUGUGAUAUAUAUGUAUGCCACGUCAGCAAACUAACGGAGUUUUUGACGGAAUCUAACGGCAGAGACUAUUUGUGAUUGCACAUACUAACCUUGAGGACUAUGAGUGACACAAAAAAAGUUAAGGAUGCAAUCUAAUAGUUUCGUAAACCUUAGAGGCGUUUUGUGAUAAUAAGCCUUUUAUUUUUUUAGUUUUUUGUUGCUACAACUACAUGCCCAUCACUUUGCGCUUAGUGUUGCAUCAGUAUCUGGCCUACCACUUUUUGUUUUUUAAGUUUUUUGUUGCAGCAAAGGCUGCUUUCUCCACUGCCUUUCUAGCCUUUCGUCGAGCAUCUUGUGUGCAUUUGAGGUGCCCGAGCUUCUCGUCAUGGGGUUGUCUCAGACCUCCAUAGGCUGUCCACAGACACAUUUUCGGCCAUCUCAUGGGAUCAUGUGACCCCUCUUGUCCCUGAAUGGGUCUGCCCCUGACUCUAUAUGUACAGUCAGCAGGCUUCACAUGUAUUUAACAUGUUAGUUGUUAGAAACUGUUAAGAGUUUGUUAGUUUGUUAAUAGCUUACUUAAGCUUUAAGUAAGCAUACUAUAAGUAUGCUAAUGUAUACUGUAAUUCAUUCUUAACAAAUAUGCAAAUCAGAAUAUACUUCUUCUUCUUUGAUUUCUCUCUGCCUUUUCUCUACUUUCUCUAGCUUCCUUCAAUUCUAGUCUCUGUGAAAUCUUUGAUCCGUCAUCAGUUACUACUGUGCGUAGAUUGUCAAUCCUCAGUAAUGGAUUAGCUAAUGUUUAACAAGGAAUUCAAGGCUUAUUUUGUAAGUUUUUUUUUUUUUUUUUUUUUUUUCCGAACAAUGGAGAAGGGAAGGGAGCUCUUCUAACAGUGAGAAGAGCAAUGCAACUUGGUUGAUAGCUUGAAAGAUGGAAGGUGGGAAGUCGAACUAGUAAUUCCUAUAACUUCAAGGACAAUCCAUUCUUAUGAUAUUGCAUGUUUAAAAAAGUUGAAAGCAAUAUCAAUUGAAUUCGAUAAGGAUAAUGAAGUUGACAUAGCUUUUUAGAGACAGAUUCUAUAUUGAUCAAAAUAUUCACAUAUUAAAUUCGAAUUCCAUAUAAUGUAUAAUGAAGUUGAUUAAUCUUUUGGAAAGGAUAGAUCCAUAUCUAAUAUAUCCCUUAUUAAAGUUACUACUAUAGGUCCCCAAUCUUGAUUAGAAUCUUUCUAUCAUAUCAAGAAUUCACCACUUAUUUCGUGAGUUGUCCUUAUAUAGAUGGUGGGAAGGUUAAUUAGCUUUGCGAGUAGUUUCAAAAUUCCUUGUCACACUCUAGACCCAGGAUAGAGUAAAAAUCUGUAUCCCGUGCCUGAUGAUAAAGUAAAUAACGAAGGUGUUUUAACGCUAGUUUACAGAGCUUUAGGUCCCGUCAUACACAAGAAGUCUUAAACUACGUUUUCUUUUCGCCUACGUCGUUGUAGUUGAUGGAGUUGCCUGUGCUAAAGAAGCCUGUCUUCACUGAGAUUCUAAGAGAUUCCUCACUCAACUUAAAACCAAAAGAUCAACUUUCUUAUAGAAUAACCAAAACGUCUAUAAAAACAUGAUAUACACUUAUGCUAUAACUUCAGAUCUCCUAACCCUCUAUAGAAAAUUUCCCAUAUUGAAAAACUAACAAACCUUGAAAGGAUUUAUAAGGAGUUGAAUUACUCCCCAUUGCCAGUUGAUUUUGGGGUGAAAGAAGGAUUGGACACUUGAAAUUCUACAAUUGUAAACAAAUCCAGAGCUUUGUCCAACCAUGCAAUAAUAGAUUGUAUACUCAACAAAUUGGCCGCAAUUUUAUUAUAUAAAAAAUAGUAUAGCCGCACGGGGACUAAAUUGGCCAAAUACAAGGACUAUUUUGACAUUUAAGCCUACAUAAUAUACACAUAGGAGGAAGACAUGCAACGAUCAAGACCACUUGCGCCGCAAGUUCCUCUCUAAUUGAUCUUUCACUUUUUUAUUGUCAAUCUAUACAUAAAUAACAUUAGAUGAGACCAAACUUAAACAUAUACUUUUAAAUUUGCACUAAUCAAAUUUUAGCAUAAUUUGGGAACAGUAUACUCACCUUCAAUUUUGAUAGUUUAUCCUUUACUACCUGUCUACUUCAAUUAUCGGAAGAAAACUGUAUCAAAAAUAGUGUCAUCUUCAAAAUUCAAGAGACAAAAGGAAAAUCCUUUCAUUUCUAUAUAAGAAGCCAAGUUUAACAAUAAAACAAUUAAUAAGAAAUUGCUAGAGGAUUAAAGGAACAUUUUCAUAAUUUGCUACCUUAACACUAUGAUAAACACAAUUUUGGGUCUAAAGGGGCCUUAACAAUGUAAAAUAGGAGGACUAUAUGCAAUUGUGUGCUACCUUAACAUUAUGAUAAACACAAUUUUGGGCCUAAAGAGGCUUUAACAAUGUAAAAUAGGAGGACUAUAUGCAAUUGUGUGGUAAUGCAAAAUGGUAAUUUUUUUAAUUUAAGUCUCGUCACAAAUACUAUGUCAAAGAAAGUAGAGGCAUUUUCUAUGUUCUACUACAAUGCAUACAUCAACAUUUGGUUUUGCAUCUUUUUUUUUUUUUUUUGUCGCAUGUAUUUUUAUUUUUAACAUGCUAGCAUCUCCAUUUGCUACACUGUGGACCCAUUCCUGUAUUUUUAUGUAAAAUUAACCAUAUGAAUUCGCCAUUAAAAAUACCUACAAAUACCAUGAUCCUACAUAAAACAGCAAAUGUACUCAUAUCUCAUUAACAUAUUUGAAACUGAAAAUACCUGUAGGAUAUCUAUAUAUGCCUGGAGAAGGUUAAGCAAGCUAAUUCGAAUUUUUGAAAUAAAUAAUGAUCAACCUUUGAAGCAGGAUUGAUAUGAGUUAUCAAUCCUGAGAUGUGCAAAGCUUAAAAUAAAAGAACACGCAGAGAGUUAUUUUACGUGGUAAAACCCCACCUCUGAGGAAAAUCCACGGGACUUCUCAGUCCAACUCAAAUCCACUAUAGAACGAUGAUUACAAGAAGUAUUCACACACUUAUCCUAGACUCAUUCUAGAUAAUGUUUACCAACUUCUUCAUAACUCAACUUCUGUCACGGGAUGAUCUUCGACACUCCUUAUGUUGAACGCAAUACUGGCCACGAUUGCUUCAAGCUCGUCGGAGGAAAACCGCCACCACGGUCUUGGUGCCCUCAACCGUAUGAGUCACCGACAUGCAUAUGAAUGCAAUAUGAAUGAUUAAAGUGUUUGAUAAAUCACCAAGUUAAACAUGGAACACUUGAUGAUUUAACUCAAAUAUAUGCACAACAGCUUUUGCUUAAGAAUUCUAUAUGCUUAACCCAAUAUCAAAAACUGUGCAAAACCAAAGAGAUGCAAGCUGCUUUUAUUCAAAGCUUCCUAUAUCAAGUCAGAUGGCUGCACACGAGUACCAAACCCACUUCAAUUAUAACUAUGAACUUUUAGCUUAAUUUGGAUUCUUAUGAAGACCACAAUUGGUUUUCCAACAUGAAUAUUAUUUCAAUAUGGAUUCUUAUUGAAAAACGCCAACCAACCAAUUUUUAAUAGAAAAACAAUAUCUAUUAAAACAAAUGAAUUAGACCAAUCAAGUAAGAGAAGAUUUCAACCUACAAGUCAUAAUAGGAAAAGAUAAUAUUUUAUUUCAACCUACAAGUCAUAAUAGGAAAAAAUAAUAUUUUAACUUAAAUCAAAAUAGAGUCCAACUAGAAAAGUAAUCUUAAGAGAUAAAGUCUAAUCCUAUUAAAAAUAAGAUUAACAUAAAAAUACUUGAUUGAAAAAAAAACUCAAACUAGGAAUCCUAUAAUGAAUGCAUGAUUGUAUCAUGAUUUACUUGAAAUCAAGUUUCUCAUAUCGGUCAAGUCAAGCCUCGGAUGUAUGGGGUUGAAUGAGUUGUGCCAAAACGUCCAGUAACAAUUCUUUACACACUAAUUUUCAACCUAUGCUAGAGUCUAGGAAAUGACAACACUAUUUUCAUACUAACAGAAACCUUCUCUUCAUACAAUUCUGGUUUACAGAGUGGGGUGAUUUUGUUGAAUAUGAAGACUUAAUGACCAUAUUCAGCUCCUGAAUAAUCAGAUUUCCUCUGUUCUUUCAAUUCUGUAGCAAUCUUUGUUCCCACCUCCUUUAUUUUGUUGUUGAAGUAGUGGAAGCAUUUCAUUGCAUAAAAUCCUAUAACAACUCCCUGCUAAUUGUUACAUCAAUCUUCCUUUGCUGCCAUUGAAUCAAUCUCAUAAAAUUAAAGACUAUUAUUGAUAUGUCACAUGAUUGUAAGGAAGUAUCAGCAUCGUCAUAUAAACAUAGUUAAAAUUCUCAAAUAGUUCAAAAUGCUAAACGAAGAAACAAUAGGUCACUACCAAGAUAAUCAUAUAUAAAAUGUUUACUUGACAAUAAAGAAUAAGAAUCACAGAGACAGAGAAGUACCCAAAGAAAUGUAGUAAUUUAAUGAAAACCACAAAGAGAAUAUGGAUUUAAGGGUAAGAAUACAAUUCACUACGAAAAAUGAAUACAAUCUUGUACUUCUUCAUCCAUUCCAAAUGAAGGCAAAUGGAAAAGGCAAAAUCAAAUUAAGAAAAUCUCUAAGUUGCUUUUGUUCCAAAGAAAGAGUUCAUACAAUGUAUGCAUUAUUUUGCAACUGAUAAUUUUAGGAUAUAUUUAUUGUUUAGAUAAUACUUGUGUUAACAUUAGUUAUUAUUGUCAAGAUGAGAAUGAUGACAUUUUCCUAAUGGUUAUGUGAUAAAGCAAACGAUUAAACAAAUCGAUAGCAAAGAAGAGGACAGAGAAGAAACUGAGGGGAGAAAAUUAAUUGAUAUCCUGUAUAAGAAAUAGCAACGCAAGCAGGAGGACAUAGAAAUGAUAUCUUGUUAAAUUCACUCUCUUGCAUAACAAUAUUAACUGAGGAAGACAAAAGAAUAAACAUGAGUAAAUGAAUUUAUGCAAGAUUGCCCCAGAUAUUUAAAUAUCUGCAAAAAUCAACUCUCUUACAUAGUCUUUCAGCAAACCGUUAGAAAAACCAAAGACAAAAAAAUUAAGCAAAAGAAUAAACUGAAAACAAAAAUUUUAAAGCUGAAAAGAGUGGCUUCGAGGCAUUUGAAAACCACAAUGUAAAAGCUGAAGGAAAAAACAAAUAUUUCAGAAAUAAGUCAAACAAACACACAACCACAAUGAUACACACAAACAUAUUUCAGAAAAAUGUAUACUGUAAUUCAUUCUUAACAAAUAUGCAAAUCAGAAUAUACUUCUUCUUCAUUGAUUUCUCUCUGCCUUUUCUCUACUUUCUCUAGCUUCCUUCAAUUCUAGUCUCUGUGAAAUCUUUGAUCUGUCAUUAGUUACUAUUGUGCGUAGAUUGUCAAAAUCCGCAAUAAUGGGUUAGCUAAUGUUUAACAAGGAAUUCAAGGCUUGCUUUGUAAGUUUUGUUUUUUCUCCAAUCAAUGGAGAAGGAAAGGGAGCUCUUCCAACGGUGAGAAGAGCAAUGCAACUUGGUUGAUAGCUUGAAAGAUGGAUGGUGGGAAGUCUAACUAGUAAUUCCUAUAACUUCAAGGACAAUCCAUUCUUGUGAUAUUGCAUGUUUCAAAAAGUUGAAAGCAAUACUAAUUGAAUUCGAUAAGGAUAAUGAAGUUGACAUAGCUUUUCAGAGACAGAUUCUAUAUUGAUCAUAAUAUUCACAUAUUAAAUUCGAAUUCCAUAUGUAAGUAUAAUGAAGUUGAUAAAUCUUUCGGAAAGGAUAUAUAUCUAAUAUAUUCCUCAUUAAAGUUACUACUAUAGGUCUCCAACACUGAUCAGAAUCUUUCUAUCAUAUCAAGAAUUCACCACUUAUUUCCUCGAGUUGUCCUUAUAUGGAUGGUGGGAAGGUUAAUUAGCUUUGCCCAAAAGAUCAACUUUCUUAUAGAAUAACCAAAAACAUCUCUUUGCUUCCUGCUGGCAGCGUCUUCUUUCUCCUUUCUUCUUUCUGAAAUCUGCUAGCUCUUUGCUUAUUAUCUCCGCCGGCUCUAAAGGCACUCCAACUGCCAUAUCUAUGUCUGUGAGCAUGUCAUUUGCAAAACACUGGUCAAGGGUCUGAUCUUUAAGACCCUGGUUUAGCAAAUUAUAGAUAAUAAUCUCAUUCUUAGGGCAUCACCAAUGCGGGGGUCUAUAAGGGGAUGUAUGUUAAAUUUACAUCCGUUGUGAUCGGAAUCACCCGCAAUGGGGGAUGUAAAUGGACGUAUAAUUACAUCACCACCAUGAGAUGAAAAUAUAGAUGCAAUUGUACAUCUAUUUUUACAUCUCUUGCAGGUGGGACCCAGUUGGGAAAAUAAAGAAAAAAUAGAGAAAAGUCAGCAUAAAAAGUGAGACCCACGGUUACAGUAAUUUCUAGAAGAAAAAAAAAUCACCUGUUGUUUGCUCAUUUGUGGUUUUCAUGCUCCCCCAAUGUUUUUGGAUGAAAUCAUAUCUUCUCCGAAUUUAAAUAUUUUUAUAUACAAAAAAAAUUAAUUUUAUAAAGUAAACACAAAAACGAAUUAAGACAAACAAAACAAUUAUACAUCUUAGAUUUACAUCUUUUUGGAGCAAAAAAACGUAUUACACCCCCCGAAGAUUUAAAGAGAAUGUAAAAGUGGCUUUACACCCCCCAUUAGUUAUGCUCUUACAGACACACAAAUAUUCAUGUACAUUGCUACAAAUUUCGGGAGGGAAAAGUUAACAAAUCUUUCAUCUCUCUUGGGGAAAAAAUUAACACACACACACACCCCAAUUAGCAUACUAAUUGGCCAAGGACAGAAACUUACAGUUGAAUCGUAGGAAACUAAAAGUAAUACCUGUUCUCAAACAACUAAGAAAGCAUAAACAAACAAAAGCUAGAAGUUCAAUGAUUUAGGAAAUUAAAGUUAAAAUUAAUCAUAGUUAGAAAACUACUAUUUGAUACGUGGAACGAUUUUGUGUGCUACGAGUCAAUGUUUGUAGAAUUGGGCCUGGUUUGGUUCAUCUCCUCUUUCUCUGGGCUUUGCUUUUUUUUUUUAAAAACAUUAGUAAUGAAUCCCCAAAACCCCAAGCCUACAAGUAAAACUUAAUUUGGAGAAAAAAUUAGUUACAAUGGGAUAAUAUUAUUUUACUAUUAUCGGCCAUUAAUGCUAUGACACGUAUAAUAAUUUUUUCAUGUAGCAAAACGUUAUUGCCCCCGGUUUGAUGUAAGUGUUUCUCCCUCCAAUUUGACAUACAAAUCAAGAUCCCACAUUUGAAUAUUCUUGGAUUAGGCAUGUAUUAAACUUAAUGUAGAUUUGCAAAUCUAAUGCCCUCUUUGCUGUGGUCUAACGAUGCACACAAGAAUCCAAUUAUGCGAGGCUAUUGGUCCAACUAAUAAACAAAAACAUCCAGCUAAUUAAUUUCUUUUUAAAAUUAAGAGUACUUGUAUUUGAACCCAUUAUUUCUCUAUUUAUUUCCAUAUUCAUAGGAUCCAUAGGGCUAAAUAGCUGUUGUAAAGGAACAAGUCCCUUUAUUUUUUAUUUUGAAAAAAAGAUUCUCUAUCAAAUAAAAUACUUAUGAUAAGAGAAAAUCUUUUUCCACUGCCAUAAUCUAAAAGUUAAAUAUUGACAAACAAAAAAAAUCUAAAAAUCUAAAAAGUUAAAUGUUGAAUUUGAUAUUUAAUGUCAAGCUCCAUUUAUUUAUUAGAUGAAAAUUUACAUAAAAACGUGGCCUGCAGAUAAGAAAGGAGCCUCAAAUACCGCAUCAGCUCUUAUUUUAGUGUAAGAUAUUUUACUACAUACACACAUAUUAUUAUGGCCUUGUUCAAUUGCAUGCUUGCAACGACAGAUUGCCAUUACAGGAUUACACAGAUUUUAAUAUGGAUAAUAUGUCCCUGCACAAGGCCGUCCUCAUCAAAUCUUUUGUUGAAGUUGGAGUUGGCAAGUUCCUUCAAGUAGUCAACGUCUUUCUCCGAGAUCUUAGCUCUGAUUUUAGCGAGCCGUGGGUCGUUCACAUCAAUUUUUUUGUUGGAGUUGGCAAAUCCCUUCAAGUAGUCAAAGUCCUCCACAGAGAUCUUAGCUUUGAUUUUAGCGAGACGCGAUUCGUCCACAUGAUCAAAUCUGUUGUUGAAGUUGGAGUUGGAAAAUCCCUUCACCAGAGGGCCGCCUUUAGCUUUGAUUUCAUCGUCCCCACCCCUAAACCCUAAGCUGGGUUGAUUUGACGUCAUUGUCUCUCUCACCGAUUAGUUUUUAGGUUAUGGUGUGUUUGCUCUGAUGAUCAACUCAUUGCCUCAUGGUUGGUCUCCUUUUAUAGUUGUUUGCAUGUGCAAAAGCAGAAGAUAUUUUAUAACAGUCGAUACCCUGAGCAUAAUACAGAUUCUAUACAUUUUAUCUUCUUGGAAUAAUAUCUUAUAACGGCCAAUACCCUAAACCCUUAAGUCAGCAUACUAUAUGCUAAUGUAUACUGUAAUUUGCCAACGAGGGUUGGUUGAGUUGGUAAGGAUCGUUCUCUUUACUAUCAAGGCCUAGGUUUGAAUCUUGUUACCGACAAUCCUUCUUGAUGGGUAAUCUGUAAAAACCCAAAAAGGGGCUCAGACUCCCCUCCCCCUAAACUUUUUUUCACCAAGAAAAAAAUGUAUACUGUAUUUCAUUCUUAACAAAUAUAACUUGGUUGAUAGCUUGAAAGAUGGAUGGUGGGAAGUCUAACUAGUAAUUUCUAUAACUUCAAGGACAAUCCAUUCUUAUGAUAUUGCAUGUUUAAAAAAGUUGAAAGCAAAUUCAUAUUAAUUGAAUUCGAUAAGGAUAACGAAGUUGACAUAGAUUUUCAGAGACAGAUUCAAUAUUGAUCAUAAUAUUCACAUCUUAAAUUCGAAUUCGAUAUAUAUGUAUAAUGAAGUUGAUAAAUCUUUCAGAAAGGAUAGAUCCAAAUAUAUACAAAGAGUGUUAUAAAAAAUAUAGUUUUUUUUUUUCCGUAAAGCCAAAUACAAAAUAUUUAUAUUAUAAAUAACAUAUAAACAAAUUGGAAAGCUUUUAAAGUGCAAUGAAAGUGAAGAAAACAAAUUAAUAGGUAAGUAAAAUUAAAAUAAAUAAUAAGUAAGAAUAUGAGUUUGGUACGAUGAAACACGUCAAAGACGUUGUCCUAAAGCCUUUGUAACCUCUCUACUGGCGAUUUACAAGACUCCAAGAUACAACCCCUUGUACACAAACUCAAGAUCCGCUAUAAGCACGUUCAUAGAUGAAUAUAAGUAUCCAAGUCAUAAAAUCGUUGCCAAAAAUAAUAAUAUGUGUAGAGAAAAUAUAAAGGGAGCUUUAGUUUUAAAACACAAUAUAGUUUACUAAUUUGGAAGAUAGUAAUACAAUUUCAUCUAAUUAGCAUAAGGCAAAAGACCAAAUUGUGGUACCUAAUUUUACAAAAAUAUCAUUAAAACAUAUCAAAAUUACACACAAUGCCACUCCUUCUAAGGCAAGCAUACUAUGCCACAUGUCCAUAUCUAGCCAAUCAUAUCUCGCCGCCGGCCACCACCGCCGGACUCCCGCUGCCGGCCACCACCGCCGGACUCCCGCUGCCGGCCACCUGCCACCACCACCGUUGGUCGCCACCGCCCGUCGCCGACCACCACCGUCGGACUCCAGCCGCCGGCCACCUGCCACCGUCUGUAGAUGACCAACUCCGUUGCCCUUUAUUCGCCUUUAAAAAAAAGAUUGUGUCAUUGAAUGGACUCGAACCUUGACCCUCAAAGGAGGAAGGCUCACUCACAAACCACUACACCAAACUUGAUUUUGUAAUAUUUAUUCAAUUAUACAAUAUUUAUAUAAACAAUCAAUGGUUUAUUAAAAUAAAAAUAAAAAGCAUUUUAACACUUAUUCACACAAAAACUGCAAAUAAAAACAGAAACUGCAAUAAAAAUAUAAUGUAGAUAUCAAUUAUGUUAAAAAAAAAAAAAAAAACGAAAACAGCUACAAAAAACAAUUGUAAUUAAAUGAAAACUGCAAUGCAGUUUCCGGUUUCCAAAAGUCCAAUUUUGAGUUCUCUUGCUCUUAGGUAGUUCUACUCUUCUCUUGCUCUUAGGUAGUUCUACUCUUCUCUUGCCCACCUAAUUCCUCAUCUAGGUAGCUUCUACUCUUUAAAUUGGUGAGGUUGAAGACCAAGGAAAGAGCAAAAAUCCAAUUGUAAUUAAAUCCAAACGUCCAAUUUUGAGUUCUCUUGCUCUUGAGUAGUUCUACUCUUCUAUUUCCAACCCAAUUCCUCAUCUGGGUAGCCUCUACUCUUCAAAUUGGUGAGAUUGAAGGCCAAGAAAAGAGCAAAAAUCCAAUUGUAAUUACAAAAACUGCAAUGCAGUUUCCAAAACUGCAAUGCAGUUUCUGAAACUGCAAUGUAGUUUGUGCAAAACUAUAAUGCAGAACUUGUAUAAAAUUUUACUGAACCAAAGCUCUGCACAAGGGAAAAGAACAAGCUGCAAUAGUGCACCACAAGCAAAACAUAAGAAAUGACCUAACACAGACAUUCUUAUGAUACAAGAAAUUCAACACACAACAACUUCAGACAUAGGGAGAAUGAAGUUGGCACUAUGAAGGAGCUCUGGAUUUUAUUUUUUUUCAAUGAUCUAAACUACUCUUAUCAGUGCCUAAGCUCCACACCAUCAAUUUCUCCAUUGAAGUGUUCAUGACAGGUUUUGGUAAUUGCAUCUAUGCCUGAGUCUGACCAAAAGGAAAAUGGUAUUUGAAUUUACUCAUAUGAAUGGGAUGGACCCAUUGUGGGGAUUGUAGUCUAGAAUUACUAUGAUAAAAACCAACUUGAUCGUUCUGUAAGAAUACAAAUCUAAUUCUAAUGCAAGAACUGUCAAUUGGUGCAACAGAAAAAGGGAAAAGUUAGAUGUCGUUAAAAAGGAAGAAAAGUUUGGAUGUCUUCACAUCUAUUUCCACCAACUCUUCAAAUUUUGUCAAGAUCCAAGGUUGAUAGUUAUAACCUUCCAAAAACAUUUAACGGAGAAUUCUGACCAAAGAAAGCUCAAGCCCAGACAAAGAAAAGUGUUACACACACUCUGAAAUUUCUGUUUAACUUGAAUUUGGAAUUACAUGACAGGGAAGACUGGAAUUAAUUGAACCUUGGUUGUAAGUUAUAACCAAACCAAAGAAGCUGAGGCAAGCAAUUUAUUGUAUGUAAUAGGUGGCCCAAAAUUACAAAUGCCAGCCUAUAUGCAAUCUGACUGUAAUUGAGCAUAUCAAAUUAAAAAAUGUAGAAGAAACACACAGGUCACCAAUUCAAGGACAAACUAUAUCAAUUAACACAUAAUAGCAGCACAGGGGAGCUAAGCAAUCAUACCAGUACAGGUUGUUCGACCCGAUCUUCAUGCUGAUUACGGUGAACGACUAACAAAAUCAGGACUGCAAUCGAGAAGAGUCCAAAAGGAGCCCAGAUUCAAUACGAAAACCUCCUUUCAACCAGGCGCCGAUACUCGACUCGCAACGAUGAUGAUCUCAUAUACUUGCUUCUUGCUCGCCGUGCGAUGUCGCUUUAAAGAUCGCCACCUGAAGGUCCGGCGCUAGGUUGAUCGAUGUGGUCGCGAUGCCGAUGCUCGUCUAGUCUUUGCCGAUCGCUAAUUUUAAUAUCACGGUGGAAAAAAAAAAAAGAAAAUGGCAAAAAUGUAAAUGUAACUCUUAUAUUAAUCAUGCUUUUAGCACGUGGGCUUACUAAUUGGUCUUUAACAAAAUAAAAUUUAAAACUCAUCCACCUUAUCCAAACAAAAAUAAGUAAUGUAUCAAAUGCUAAUUACUAAAGUUUUUUGUGGGUAAACACUAAUUUUUCUAAAUAUAAAAAGUAUAAGAGGAGAGAAUCAGAUUAUGGUAUAUGAUAUUCUGAUGGUGUAUUGUGUGUUGUACAAAAGGGUUAAAUUUUUAAAACCUUUUAAAAUUCCAACCAAGAGUACCGAAGAUGCUUACCUUGUUUCUUGCAUGCCCUUCUACAAUAUCCUUGACAUCUCUGUUGUGAGAUUUCCAAGGAUAGAGCAGUAAUUAAGUUCUCUCCACUCUUCUAUUGAUUGCCUCAAUGGAAGUAUCUUCAAGAACCUCAUGAGUUUCUGGGUCAGUUCUCUGAGCUCGUCUGUGGUGCAUCGGCUGUACCGGUACGCCGAUCACAUGCUAGUCACGUGGGCUUUUUUUAAAAACAAUUGAAACUGGUUGUUUUGGUUAACCAGUUAAAAUGAGGAAAAAAAAUCAUGCUCCUUCAAAACCUAGGAUGCGUACUCGAUUUCGUCUAUCUCCUCCUCCAUAGCUUUGCACAGCCACAGCUCUAUUUCGUUGAAGUCACAACUGCACAGCUUUCUACAGCCUGAAGAAGCUCCCCCCACUUCGUCUUCUCCAUCUGAGGAGCAGAUUUCAACCAAAACCCAGAAACCCACUUUGUCUUCUCCAGCUGCUUCCUCCAUCUCGGUAAGUUCGUGUGUUGAUUUUCGUUAUGUGUAAUUGAUGGUUCUAUUUAAUUUAUUCUUCUUUUGUGUGAAUUUUGACCGGUGUGGCUGUAAAUGAAAUUUUGGGUUUUGCCAUUUAUUUGUUCCUUUUAAAAUUUAAUAUGUGAUUUACAAUUUGGCUGUAAAUGAGAAUUUGGUAGAUUAUUGUGCAGUUGAUUAAAGAAUUUAGAAAAUUAAAGUUAUGUACUUAACGAACUGCUCUAUUUUUGCUUUUCAGUAACUUGCUGCUCUAGGUAAACAUCGAUUUGUCUUCCCUUUUUGUGCCAAAAGAUAGACAACUCCAAUUUUAUCGCAUAUAUUUUUAUGUUCUGUAAUGAUUGUUAGUAAGUAAUCUCUAUUAAGUCAGCCAACCAGCUUUCAUUUUCUCUUUUUUGGUAAUUAAAUCAAGGAUUUUGUUAUCAUGUUUAUAUGAUGUGAGUGAGGUGAUUUUUGGUGCUGUAAAUUGCUAAUCACUAGUGAUUUUGAAUUGUUGUUUCAGUUUUUUCACUGAACAAUUCCAGAAAUUAAUUAUUCAAAUUUUGUAUUUCUUUUCCCACUCUGCAUUUCUGCUGGGUUGUUAUAGUGCCUCUUGAUCUGAUUGUAUAUAUAAAUACCCAUGAGGCCUCUGAUUGUGUAUGAUUUAAUUGUGGUGGGAACUUCACUUCACACAGGACUUGGCAAGCAAGUCGAUGUUUCAGUAAUUUGUUGGUUAUCUAAAGCCUGUAUUGCAAGCAUUAGUGCCUGGUAUGAAGCACUCGUUUCAGUCUCUUAAGAUAUGCCAUGUAGAAACCCGGAGAUCAUUUAUGUACCCUUUAUGUUGGUAUGUGUUUGCUUGAAUUCCAAAUACUUGGAGGGUGUUGAUAUGUUUAAACUCAACUUUAAGAACUUGAAAGGGAAGAUGGGGGUCUGUUGUGUGAACAAAAAUUUAUUAGGUAGUCAAAAUAUAAAGCUUAUGUUGGUCAGAUUUUUGGUGUAUUUGAUUAGAGUCCUUCUGUACAGCCGAGCACGUGACUUUUUUUAAAAUACAAGGGAAACCAGCUGACCUGGUCAACAAGUAAACGAUUUCACGAGCUGCUGCUAAGGUGAACAGGUAAACGAUUUCACAUGCACACUCAGUUGAUGUUCUUCUUCCGCAAAGUGGUAUGCUUCAACUUCAAACUGAUAAUCUUCAUCAUCUUCAAAGUCAUUUUCUUCAACUCCUCUUCUGUAGAAAGUUUCUUCCUCCUUUCUGCAACCUCUCUCUCUCUUUUUUGACAUCAUUGUCAAAAACCACCUAUUCUAGGGUUUGAAUUUUGGGGAAAAUUUUAGGGGUUAGCAUUUUGGGUUGAUAAUAGGAAUUGGAAUUCAGUUUUUCCAGUCACUGGUGGGUUAUUGGCACUCCUCUCGUCUGCAAUCGAGCCCUUGUGAAAGCAUUUGGUAUUAGUUCCUUGUGAAGGUAAGUUAACAUUGUUUUAUGGUAUUGUUAAUUGAAAUUCUGUGGUGAUGACUUGGGGCAAGAGGGGAAGUAGGUUUCUCACAUUCAUGAGAUGAAGUGGGUUUGUCAUUUUGAAAGUGUCGUGAAGUGAAGUGGGUAUCUCACAUUCAUGGUUGUAAUGUUCAUGCAAUUGCAUAUCUCUAUAUGCAAUUACUAAUAGCCUGUAUGCAAAUCCAAGUCAUUGAAUGCAAUUAGAGUAUAUAGUUUUGUUUUCAAAUUAUGCAAGUGAGGUGAUUUCGUGGUAGGUAGGUAGGUUUGACUGUGUUUUUGAAUAAUUUGUUAUAGGGAGUAAAAUGUUCCGAAAGUGUAAUGUUAGGCUUCGUUAAGAUUUGGAUCGGGAUUUGAAAUGAGUAAGAAUCUCGGCCCAAUAGAGAAAUGCAUGUGUGGGUUGUGUGCAUUAUCUAUGCAAUGUUAUAAUCGAGGGCUGAUGCACUUGUAAGUAGUAUCGAGCAAUUGCAUAUCAGUAUAUGCAAUUACUAAGCAACUGUAUGCAAAUCCAGGUCGCCGUAUUUUUUUAAUUAAGCAAUGUGAUGUUGUGGUGUUUACGGGGUUUAGGGGGUAUUAGGCUUUGGAUUAGUAUUCAAAUUCUCGACGCUAGAGACAAUUGCAUGAUAGUGUUUUGUACUUGAUUUGUGCAAGUUAUGGAAGCUCAAAAAAGGGGAUCAACAAAAGGAAAGCGCAAAGUCGACAGUAAUGUGCAACAAUCAAGAGUUGGCCGAGAUGCAUUUUUUAAUUUCAUGUAAGUUACACGUACAUCUAAAAAUCGGAAAUGUAGUUGCUUAAUAUUAUGAUGGUUUUUUGAUUAAAAAUAAAUGAUUUACAAAAAAAAAAAAAGAAAAAAAAAAGACAUAAAAUGGGGAAAGUGGCAAAUGCAAAGUUGGACAAUAAGGUGAGAGAUGGCAAUGGAUUGGGUUAGUUUAUUAAUUGUUUUAUUAAAAAUGCUCUUUUAAUGAGAUUUUUUUUCCAGGUACAAGAAGAGAUUGCUAAUAAAUGGAGGAAAUUAAAUCUUAAAGAGAAGGCUACAUAUGAUUCUGCCUUGGAAGGUUCGAGUGGGCAAGUAAACGACUCAGUGAAUGAGAAGGGUUUUAUCACUAGAUGCAGCCCGGACCGAUUCCAAAAAACACGCGUCUAAAGGAAGUAAGGGAGUUCGUUCGAAGAGUUGUCGAUGAACAACUUGACAAGUUGGCCGAACAUGGUCCCUUCAUCCCUCAUCAUCCCAUCGCAAGGAAGCCAAUAACACGCUCCCAAGCAAAGUAGAAAGUUUGACAGUAAGUCAUAAGGGUUUACAGUUUACAAAUUAGGUGUAAUUGCAUGUAUAUAUCCCUAUUUGCGCACAGUCAGGGUUCUUUUGUAGUAUAGCAAGUGCAAUUGCAUGACACGACCGUCGCACGUCAUGUAAUUCCAUUAUUCGCUUACAAAUGGUUUUUUGGUUUAUUCACGACAUCGAAACAUUUCACGACCAGAUUGAACCGCCUAGUUUCAUUUGUUUGCUAUGGUACAUGUCUUGUUUCAAUAUUCAUCCACUAUAAUUUUAUUUUAUUUCUAUUACUUUGUAUUUAGAUAUAAUUUAGAUAUAAUAAAUAUAAGUAUAUAUUGAUUUUAGACAUACUGUAAAUCUAAACUAUUUAUUCGAGACCUGAAUCCAAUUUCUUCACCUCGCAGAGAUAAGGCCAAGGAUUACAAUAUCAACCAUGUAAAUAAUAUAGGGCCUCCAAUUUACGGAUAUUUCGUGGAUAUAUUAUUAUCGUCUUAGGUAUCGGAAAAAAAAAAGACAGAUAUAGGUAUUGAAACACAUAAUUUUGGUAUAAAACUUUCAUAAAUGUUAUGUACAUUAUCAAUGAAUGUAUUGAACAAAUAAAACUCAAAAUUUACUAAUAAUAAGAUAUACAUAUGAUGAAAUAUAAGUGGUAUGUAAUGCGUGUUAAUGAAAAGUUUGAAAAUAAAAUGUUGAUUAGAAUGAAUAAACCAUGCAUAAAUCCAUAGUUUGUUUUAACAUUGGAUUACAAUUUAGAUAAGUGUCCAUCUACAUAAAUGAAGAGCUCCAAUGAGGUUCAAACAAUGAGGAACAACCAUCUAGAUUCAUACAAUAGUCAUCCCAAGUUACGUAACCCGAGCAGUUUGUAAGCCAUGUUUGAACAUGGUGCACAUAGGUCUCUCUUGAGCUCUCUACUAUUUUCCCAUAUAUGAGAUAGUUAAGAUUAACCCAACUAGUAGAAAAGGGCGGCCCUGAAAUAGUGCAAGUGGCGCCAAUACACAGGGCCCCUGAUUUUUGAGGACCCCCUAAAUUUUUUUAUUUUACAUAAUUUAUAUUAAUAUUAUAACAACUGUAUAUAUACUCCAACGUGCAACAAAUUGACACAAAAAUUUAUUUAGUGGAGUUGGUUUCUAGUGCAUAUCCCUUGGUACAAGGCUUACAUGAAAAAUUUUAAGAACCACAUUUUAAAUAGUUUUAAAAAAGAAGCACCUGAAAAAUAUCAGGGGAAAGAUCCAGUUAAAUUAACAAUACUAUAUAUCACCCAUACGCUUUUUCUUUAAAAAAUAAUAAUAAUAAUUUCUUCGACUCAAAACAAAACAACAUAAAAAAUAAAAAAUCAUGUCUUCUUCUUUCUCAUGAACUCUUAUUUUUUUUCUUACCGAACACACCAACAUUUAACUUUAUCAAAUGAACACAACGUACUCAACAAACGCAACCUUUGCGUUCGCGUGAAAAAUAGUGUGUUUGUUUGAAAAAGAAGGUUAGUGGGGUCCAUUUUCCUGAGGAACGGGCAACUUUACUCUAUGAACGCACUCCUUGCAUUCGCAUGAAUAAAUAUCCCGUUUGUUUGAAAAAGUAAGUUUAUUUGGCCCAUUUUUUCGGGGAAUGGGCAACUUUACUCAACGAACGCAACCCCAGCAUUCGCGUGAACAAAUAGCCCGUUUGUUUGAAAAAUUAAGUUAGUUGGACCCAUUUUUCCGGGGAAUGGGCAACUUAACUCAACAAACGCAACCUCUAUAGCCCGUUUGUUUGAAAAAUUAAGUUAGUUUGGCCUAUUUUUUCGGGAAACGGGCAACUUUACUUAACAAACACAACCCCUGCGUUCGCAUGAACAAAUAGUCCGUUUGUUUGAAAAAGUAAGUUAAUUAGGCCCUUUUUUUAGGAAACGGACAACUUUACUCCACGAACGCAACCCAUUGCGUUCGCGUGAACAAAAAGCCUGUUUGUUUGAAAAAGUAAGUUAUUGGGCCAAUUUUUCCGAAGAACGAGCAACUUUACUCAAUGAACGCAAUCCCUGCGUUUACAUGAACAAAUAGCCUGUUUGUUUGAAAAAGUAAAUUAGUUUGGCCAUUUUUUCAGGGAACGGGGAACUUUACUCAACGAACGCAACCCCUGCAUUCGCGUGAACAAAUAGCUUGUUUUCUUGAAAAAGUAGGUUAGUUGGGCCCAUUUUUCCGGAGAACGGACAACUUUACUCAAUGAACGCAACCCAUUGCGUUCGCGUGAACAAAUAGCCCGUUUGUUUGAAAAAGUAAGUUAGUUGGGCUCAUUUUUCCGGGGAACGAGCAACUUUACUCAACGAACGUAACCCCUGCGUUUAUGUGAACAAAUAACCCAUUUGUUUGAAAAAGUAAGUUAGUUUGGCACAUUUUUUCAGGGAACGGGCAACUUUACUCAACGAACGCAACCUCUGUGUUCGCAUGAACAAAUAGCCCGUUUGUUUGAAAAAGUAAGUUAGUUGAGCCCAUUUUUCUAGGGAACGGACAACUUUACUCAACGAAUGCAACCCCUGCGUUCGUAUGAACAAAUAGCCCGUUUGUUUGAAAAAGUAAGUUCGUUUAGCCCAUUUUCUCGAGGAACGGGCAACUUUACUCAACGAACGCAACCCUUGCGUUUACGUGAACAAAUAGCCCGUUUGUUUGAAAAAGUAAGUUAGUUGUGCCCAUUUUUCGUGGACCAUGCAAGUUUAUUCAACAAAUGCAACCCCUGCGUUUACGUGAACAAAUAACUCGUUUGUUUGAAAAAGUAAGUUAGUUUGGCCAAUUUUUCCGGGGAACGGACAACUUUACUCAACGAACGCAAACCCAACGUUCGUGUGAACAAAUAGCCCGUUUGUUUGAAAAAGUAAGUUAGUUGUGCCCAUUUUUCAUGGAACAUGCAAGUUUAUUCAACAAACGCAACCCUUGCGUUUACGAGAACAAAUAGCCCGUUUGUUUGAAAGUUUGGCCCAUUUUUCCUGGGAAUGGCCAACUUUACUCAACGAACGCAACCUCUGCGUUCGCGUGAACAAAUAGCUCGUUUGUUUGAAAAAGUAAGUUAGUUGGGCCCAUUUUUUCGGGAACGGACAACUUUACUCAACGUUGCGUUCGUGUGAACAAAUAGCUCGUUUGUUUGAGAAAGUAAGUUAGUUGGGGCCAUUUUUCCGCAAAAUGGGCAACUUUACUCAACGAACGCAACCCUUGUAUUUGCGUGAACAAAUAGCUCAUUUGUUUGAAAAAGUAAGUUAGUUAUAGCUAUUUUUCCGGAUAAUGUGUAUUACAACGUAAUUUCGAUAAUUGGUCGUUUUGUAAUAUAAUAUGUUCGCCUUAUUGCCCAUUACCGUUUCUCAUGCUCCGUAUUUCGGUUAAUUUCGAUUUUCGAUUUAUAGUUCAAAAAACAGGUGUAAUUAUGCCUGUACAAAAGAGUAUGAUUCAAUUUUCUGAACAAUUAAGGGUUUGCGCACAGAAGGACUUGCAUUGCAUCAUCGGCAUGCAAUUGCAUGUGUUAAAUGCAAAUACCAACCCCCUGUGUACAAACUGAACAAAGUUUAACAACGCUAUGCUGGUUAAUGAAUGUAUAUACCAAAGAACAACAAAGCUUAACAACGGUAUGCUGAUUAAUGCUGAUUAAUGAAUGUAUAAUAUUAAUUGUUACAUGUAAACCAAGUUCGAAAACUACAAUUGUUUUGGGUUGAACCAGUACAUAGGGAAUUAGGUUCCCCAUUGUCGAAUGAGAAACCAUCGUCACUGUUGGGGGUAGAACCAGUUGGGUCUGCAGUAGAAAAACUAUCAGAACCAGGCAAAUCAACCACAUAGUUCCCAUGGCAUUGAGAAACUGUUUGACUAGGAUAACUGUAGCUAAUGUCCGGGAACGGCCGGAUAUCAGAAGUAUACUGAUAUCCUUCACUACCUGAUGAGAUAUUCACACCUGCAUGUCUACUUGGAUGCAAAUUUCUUUUAGAGCAAUUACGCGUUGUAUGUCCAUAUCCGCGACACAAAUGACAUUGUCGACGCUUGCGCAUUCCACCAUGCCUUGCUUGAGUGCCUUUUGUCCUAACGAUAUUUAGAUCUUUCACAAUAUUUGGAGGGCAUUGCUCACCAGUACCCAAUUUCAGACUUGUCUGUUCUUCCUUUUGCCGUAAGCCUUCACAAAUUCCCUCCCAUCUACUAAACUCAUUCGUCAACAUGGCAUAACCAUCUGCACUCUUCGAUGCAUAAAAACAAACUUUGUUUGACAUAGCACUUAAAUGUCCAUACCUCGUCAUUUCUACAACUUCGUUGGUCGUGUCUUCGCCUUUGCCGAUAAAUUCCCUACAUGUAUCAGUUUGGCCAUUCUUUGUCCAUCUCUUCAUUAUGAGUGCGGGAGGAAUUUCCGUAAGGUGCUCGCACUUCAUUACAUAAAAUAGGUGGCAACACGGGAUCUCUUCACUUUCAUAUUUCCGGCAUCCACACUCUAUCCGCAUAUUUUCCCCACCGUGGUAAAUACAAGUCCAAUUAUUAUGCGGUUCAUCAUAUUUUGACAAUACGUAUACACGACCUCCAAAAUUAUGCAUCACAUUAUCAUGGGUGAGUGCUGAACAAGCUUCGAUCUCAUGACGUACCAAUACAAAACACCUAUGCGUGUAAAUCAGAGAAGCUUGUUGCUCGAGUUUUGUCAAUCCGGUUUUAAGGACUGGUGUUGAGUACUUUGCAUUGAAACCUUCCUUCGCCGUGGUAUUCCUAAGACGUAAUAUAGCCCUAUCAAUUGCUGGAAUACAUUCAAACAACUUCACGCCUUUCCUCAAGUAAUCUUUCACAUACUUGUUCAUGGACUCCACGCGUUGAGUGGUGCACAUACCACCGAAAAACUGUCCUCUCAGACAUGAUUCAGCCCAUGCGUCUCUUUUUGCAUACAUCAUUUCCAACCAUUCUUUUUGUUUCGGAGUACUCGCUCUUUCCCUCAGAACCUCCCAUUUCUUCUCAAACUCGUCCAAUGCAAAUGGUUCCCAAAUACAUGCCUGAAAAUUUCUAAGCAAUUCAUCAUCCUUCAAGUUAUUUUGUGCAUUCCUUGACACAUGCCAUGAGCACAACCGAUGGUUAGACAUGGUGCAAUAAUGUCAACACCAUUAUCAUCACUACUUUCACUAACCAUAUGUUCGACCGACAUAUGCCCACUCUCUGUUGCCGGUGCCCUGUGACUUGACCUUUCACAACCACCCAAAUACCCUGAAUCACUACAACCACCCUUUGAUGUCUCUCCACCCCUGUCCAUCUUACCAGACCUCUCCAUGCCUGAGAAACAUAAUUUCAAACUGAAAUUACAUUAUACUUUAUGUGCUAACAUACUUUCUCUUAAAAAAAAACUCAAAUGAAUAAUGUCAUGCUAUUGCACAUACUAAGGUCAAUAAUUGCACCACGUAUAACUGUUUCGCAACAAAAAAACAUGCAAUUGCAUCAACUCAGUACCCAAAAUACAUUCAAGUCCUAAACCAAAAAAUAGGGUUCUUUGAAAUCUUACUUGAUGUUUCCAUACUUUCAAAGCCUCCUCCUUUCACUUCCUUUUGCCACCACCUCAAAUUUCGUCGUUAACACCCAAGGAUCUUCAAAAUCUUUACAAGCACGUUAUUAUUAAAAAUCCAUUCCCCUGCAACAUUUUAAUUAUAUAUCAGACAAUGCCAACAGCCCAUACUAAAUUACUUAAAUCCCUCCAAUUUGGUGACCAUUUCAUCAUGGAGGUUGGACCCACCAUCAAUUUUGUAUCUGCAUAUCAGUUUUGGGCAACUAGAGAGAAGAGUUGAGGACCUCAAUUCUAUUACCAUUACCUUCUUGCAGAUGCGUUUUGCCCAAGCACAGACAGGAGUUGCUAAGGAUUGGAUUUGGGCAAGCACAGAGAAGAGCUCCUGGAGGUGCUACGGAUUGGAUGGGCUUCAUGUACAGUUUCCUCUGGUGCUGUGAAAAUUCAGUAUUCAAUGAGGUAGACAGGAAAUGGGGUCUCACAAAGUCCUCUAGUUCCCUAUGUUGUGUUCGAUUUGGGAAACCAGAUGGAGCGGACUCGGCGCGUCUUCUUCUCCUCCAAACCUGCCUUUCUCUUUCCUCACAUGCCACUCACAUGCUGAAUCACAAAGGCUGAACAGGUCAUUAAGUCAUUGAAUCUCAGCCAUCCUUUUUUAACAUGGAACCUCAACUGUUGGAUAGCCGGCUGUACCGGUACAGCUGAGGCACCACAGAAUUUUCCCAGUUGUCUUUCCACUGUCAAACCAAGCUAUGAUGGCGACUCUCUCCCAUGUAGUACCACUGUCAAAUCAGCAUACUAAUUGGCCAUGGACACACACCAAAUCUUUCAUCUCUCGUAGGAAACUAAAAGUAAUACCUGUUCUCAAACAACUAAGAAAGCAUAAACAAACAAAAGCUAGAAGUUCAAUAAUUUAGGAAAUUAAAGUUAAAAUUAAUCGUAGUUAGAAAACUAUUAUUUGAUACGUGGAACGAUUUUGUGUACUACAAGUCAAUGUUUGUAGAAUUGGGCCGGGCUUUUUUCGUCUCCUCUUUCUCUGGGCUUUGCCUUUUUAUAUAAAAAAAAAACAUUAAUAAUGAAUCCCCCAAACCCAAGCCCGAAAGUCAAAACUUAAUUUGAAGAAAAACUUAGUUACAACAGGAUAACAUUAUUUUGUUAUCACCGGCCAUUAAUGCUAUAACACGCGUAAUAAUUUUUUCACGUGACAAAACGUUAUUGGCCGCCAGUCUGAUGCAAGUGUUUCUCCCUUCAAUUUCACAUACAAAUCAAGAUCCCACAUUUGAAUAUUGUUGGAAAAUAAAAAUUAAAGAACUCAGAGAGAAUAUCGUACCACAAAAAUGCGUUCUUAGAAGACUCACCUACGAGACAAAAGUAAAACACAAUAAAAUCAAGAUUUUUUGUGUAAGAUUAUUAGUACAUAGAGCCUCUUCUUUUGUAGUCGUUCUACACUCUUAAAAUCUAAAAAUCAACCUUGACUAGUGUUAGGUGACGAUGUGGCCAUCACGCUUGAAAGAAGACCGAGAAAAAAGAGUAGACUGAUGGAGAUUGGUAAGGAAUGCAAUGCAGAUAGAGACUUAGGUCUACCUAAUUAUUUCUAGCCAUGAAUUUUUGUUUGCCCCAGGAACCCCACCAAAGUAGAUACCAUAUUGAUAAUCAGCCACGGUUAGCAUGUCUUUUCUUGUACUUAGAAAUUGUAAAUUUCAUAAAAUAUAUAUAUAAACAAAUGAAUAAUAAGUCGUGGGUUUAAAUUCCAUGGCUUAAAUUAAAUCCAACACAGCUUAGUUUAAAACGUACGUGAUAUAGACUUGGAUUAGGCAUGUAUUAACGAUGCACACAAGAAUCCAAUUAUGCGAGGCUAUUGGUCCAACUAAUAAACAAAAACAUCCAAGCAUUUCAUUGUUAAAAUUACCAACUUGUUUUCAAACAACAGUUUCUUAAUUAAGAUAUUUUAACCAUGGAAGGACCGAAUAGGAUUAGUUUUGAGAGGGACUUAUUAAUACUUCCAAACACAUAUAUCCCUUGUUACUCUUUUGAGCGUACUCAUAAAAUAGAAAUCCAAACAAGGGGCUUGUAGCUUUCAAUUGGUUAAGAACAAUUAUUCAUGCACCUGAACUCCUGUGUUAGAAUUCUCCCUUCUUUAAUAUCACCUGUAUCAAAUAAUAAUAAUAAUAAUAAAAUAAAAUGAGAUCAAAAUUUAAUGAACAGAGAACAAGAUUUUUUUUAAACAUCUUUUUAACUUUACUUCGAAGUCACUCCCCAGGAUACUCGAAAAGUUUUGGCAGGCACCGACUAUAUUCUUCUAAAGGCCAUCUUGAAUUUUGAUUCAUGAUGAGAGAGCGCUUGUUUGAUACUAUUUAAUUAAUUAAUUUUUAAAACUAAGGGCGCAUCAUUUCUCAAUUAUUUCCACACUCAUAAGGUCAAUUUGUCAUUGUUAUACUGUAAAAAUAACAGUUUUUAAAUUUAAUAUAAACAAAAAAUAAGCUGUGAAUGAAGGUAGUUCAAUUUUUUUGCUUUUUUAAUUAUUGAAGUCAACUUUUGAGGAAAAUAUCUAAGCCGUUGUUUGAGGACAAAAUUGGGUAGUUUAGGUUUUAAUCUAAUUGAAUACGUAUAAUGCUCAGACAAUGAUAUCGACAUCCAUCUAAUUAAAUGUAAUUAGUGGAAGUAAUUAGUGGAAGGAUUGGCCCAUUGUUUUAUUUUUAUAUUUUGGUAAUAUUUGGACCCACACUCAAUUUUUGUGACGUAAUGUAAAUGGCACUUUCAAAGUUACGUACAAGGAGACAAUACUUAUGUUCAUUUAAUAAUAUGAUAACCAAACACAAUUAAUAAAAUAAGAUGAAGACUAUCAUAAAAUACUAUAUGCUAUAUAUUACUUGGACAUUAUUGAAUGCAAUCAAAUGAUUCAGUGCGUCUCUGGAGAAUAGCAUAGCAUAAACAAACCCGAUGUUUCUUGGACAAUUAAUUUUUUCUUCUUCUUCUUUUAACACUAAUGUUAGGUUAUCAAAUUUUGUCACAAAAUGGCAUAUUCUAGAUAUAAAUCAAGUCAAGAAUGAAACCAUAAUUGAUUUUUUUAACUUGGCGAUAUUAUAUUACUAUAAGAGGUUAUAAAAGAAGACAUCGGACAAGACAUUAGGUGAGUUAAUUUACAUAUAAGAAUUCAGUUCUCGGACUAACCUGUAAUUUAUUUUUCUUCCCAUGAUGAUUAGAAGGGACUAAAGCCCCCAAUAAAUGAUCCCUGUUUCAUAAUUGAUUUGAAUAAAUAAAAAAAUACCUGUGACAUUUAGUGAAUAAAUUCAAUAAGUGUAAUACUACUUUGUUAAUAGCAAUGCUGAAAGGAGAAGUCUAAUGCAAAAUAUAACCAUUGUUGUUGUUGAGCUAAAUUUUGACUAGAUUCAUAAUCAAAACUAUUUACUCUAUCUUUUUCACUUGUAUGCAUUCUUUCUCUUUCCAACGGCGGAUUCAAGAAUUUUGUUAGAGGUAGGCUAAUAUUUUUCUUAACUUUGGGGACUCCAAAUAAUUUUAAAAAAAAUCAUAACAUUCUUUUAAAAUAUUUAAAAACCAAAAAAUAACUUCUUCUUUUUUAAACAAAAACAAAUAAUCUUAAACAAACAUUUUCUCCUUCUCUCUCUUCCCCAUCCUGACCUUGAGAAGCAAAGAACCUCACCCUAAUGUUUCGAGUGGAAGCUCAAGUAGAGAAGCAACUUCUCUUUCAAAUAGCAUAAGAAAAAAAUCUUAACAACCAAACCCUAAAUCUUAAAACCUAACGAUAACCAUUAAAAUUUAACAACCAGAACCUAAAUGUUAUUACUGUGAGAAGCAUUUCUGCCUUUGCUUCUCUUGCUUCUCAGAGAGAGAGAGAGAGAGAGAGAGGGUCGGGAGAGGGGUAAUUCGGAGAGUCAGUGAGAGAAAGAGCGGUGAGAGAAAGAGAGAAAUAGAGGCGGAGAAGCGGUGAUUCACAUAAACAAAGUAAGAGAACAAAGUAGAAGAGAAAAUAAAUUGUAUACAUAAAGAAAAUAAAUAAAUAAAUAAAGGUAAGAGAAACAAAAUUUGGUUAGUUUAUUAGAUUAAAAAACAAAAAGCAACUGCAAGAGACAACAUGUGGCAAAGAGGGGUAGGCUAAUAUUUGUGGGAGUAGGGACAGCUUUGUAAAAUUUGAACCAAAGUCUAGUAACUUUAAAUCUUGCACUAGGUUGGCACCCACUCCAGCCUAUACAUGUCUCUUUCUGUUUCCCUUUUCAAUAUAUAUGUCAAUAAAUUUCUUUUUUAAAGAAGAAAACUCAUGGCCUAUUAAGUAUUUUCUAAUGUAAAUUCUAAUUUGUAGCUCAUAGAAUAUGCAUUAAUAAUAAAAUAUAUUUAUACAAUUCAGAAAAGAAACCAACCUAAUAAUAUAAUUGAAUGAAAACUAAUAUAAAGUAUAAUUGGAAAAGGUUUAAAAUGUCUUUUUAUUUGUUUAAUAUUUUGGAGCGCAUGCUACAGCAUGCGUGAUCAACCACCGUUUACUCUCUAGUGUCUCCGGCUAUGCAGGCCCCUACUACACAAGCAAGUAGGUCAACAGUUGGCCGACGUGGCACUCCCAUGGCCGUCAAACAGGGCCAAUAGCAAAAUGAGAUCCACAGUCUUAUGUGGACUUGAUUUAAAAUAAAAUAUUAUAUUUGAAUUUGUUGUAUUGUGAUUCACAAUAUCAUACUCUAUUAAGUGGGGCUCAUAAUGCAUAAUUUCAAACUUAUAAAUAGUCUCAUUCCACAUGAUUACAAGGCUCACACUCACUUAGUUAGGUAGAAAUCGUAAUAUUCUUAAAGAAUCAUAUGGGAAUCAUUCCAUAUUCCAUGAGUAAAAAAUAAACAAAUGAAGGAUAGCAUGUCUCAUAUAAAAACUAAGAAAACAAUGCGAAUGUAUGAAUGAGAUUUUUAUUUUUAUUUUAUUUUUAUAGCAUCGACAAUCUAUAUUAUUUUAAAUUAAUAAUUUAUUAGGAGGAAUUCAAACGUUAAUGUAAGGGCUUGUUUGGUUCGUCGAUUGAACUUCUUGGGAAUUAACUUCCCAUGUUUGAAAAUGGAGAAUGUUCAUUCCCAUGUUUGGGAGCGCUGGAAAAUGAGGACUAGGAAAUAUAAUUUGAAACUCAUUCUCAAAUUCCUAAAUCUUUAAUCAAACAAGCCCUAAGAUGACGGACUCACUACUCUAGGGUGAAUUGCUCAAUUGGAGCUUUUAAUAUUAUAUUACAUUGAAAUAAAUUGGUUGUAAAUUAAAAGAUAUUAGUUUCGAAUAAAAUGAGUUAGGAUUUAAAUGAACAAACAAAAUGUUGAAUCUCAUAUAUUUGAAUUGUUAUGACUUUGAUUUUUUUCAAGCUUUAUUGUUAUAAUCAUUUAUGACUAAUAAAUUUUUUAACUAAAUUAUAAAUGCAAUUCCAUAAUUUCUCAACAACAUAAAAAGUCAAAGAAAAUAUACAAAUCAUAACAUAACCCAUCAAGUAGAUAGAAAAGGAAAACAUGAAAACAAUAUGGAAAAAAUAAUAAUAAUAAUAAGUGUACAUAUAUAGUUGAAAUUUUUGCGAGGCAAAGACAAUAAUGCGGCAACAACCUCCUGCCAUCCCAGUGGCCAGGAGCAGGAGAUAAGUCGUUGGCAGAUGCAGCCUAGGCAAUCCUAACGUGCCCAAAUAGUGUGCUCCUGUACCUGUUUAAAUUACCUAAAUACCCUUUUCCCUUUAUACAAUACAUACAUGUGAAUUUGACCACGCAAGUUGAGAGCAGGCACUAGGAAGGCAGGCAGAAGUAAACCAACCACGUGACACUUUUGCAAGAAAACGACACAACGAAAGGUCGUAUUACCUCCUAAUUUGACUUAUCAGAUCAGAGGGGGCCAAGUUGCUCCCAUAUCAUGUCGCUCCAUUAAUUAAUUAAUUAAUAAUUAUGAUUUGAUUUGAUCUAAUCUUAUGUAUUAUGCGUGUUUAUUGUUGAAGCUGGUGCCUUUCAUUUUACAGUCUGUCAUAUAAUUACCCGUUACUAUAGAAUUUUUUUAAAUUAAAAAAACACAAAUAAAAGACGCUUUGCUUUGAAAAGAGAAUGAUAUAUAAUUACACUUUUGUUCAAGGCUUUACGCAUGGGGUCAUCUCAUUUGUCGGCACCCUAAUUAGUUUAUUAGCGUUAUAUUCUUAAUUGGUAGUGGAAAUACUUUUACCUUGAUGCAUUUGUUUAUGUUUGUGACCUUCCACAACUUGGAACGAUGGGAAGUUACAAAAGAAAGUUCCUUCUGCGUUCCCAAUUGCCCACUUUGAUAUUUAUCUAAUGACAAAUGAUAAUACCCAUUUCUUCAAUUGUUUUCGCGUAUUAACAUUGUAAGCACGUACAUCAUUGUUUAUGGCAGCAUUACGUGGUGGUUACCAUAAAAAGGUUUUAAUUUUGGUAAAGUUUUUUUUCGACAACCAAUUGGAUAUUUACAAAGAUAUUUUUAAAAUGAAGCACUCAUAACAAAAUUCACCAAAUAGAACUAACCAUAAUUAGGUAUUGACUUCAUCAUAAAUAUAUAUCGUCUUUGUAUUUAUGUGAGUUAAAUAUGAGAUCUGAAUUUAAACAAAGAGAAACAAUAGAUUAAAGGUUGGUUGGUGAGAAAAAAAAGUUCAUCCUCAUAUAAGUAUGAUUUGGAAAGAAUAUCUAUAACUACCUAGCUAAGCCUGACAUGGAAUUUAAUAAACAUGUAUUUGCACAUAUAUGGAAUAAAUGCCGACUCGGAAUAUAUAUCAUAUAUGCUUUUGGGUGAUGAUAUCAAAAUACAUAUACAAAUUAUGUUGCACGGAUAUGAACAUGGAAAUACAAAUAUGCGACACAUAAAUACGAAUAUACAAUACGGGAACACGGGAAUAUAGAAAAUAUCAAAAAAUUAGAACACGGACACGACUAGGAUACGAUAAUUAAAAAAUAAUUAUAUAUAUAAUAAACAAAAUGUUCAUGUUCAUAGGAUACAAAUUAAAGUGAGAAAAAUAAACUCACACAGAUGUGCAAAGUGUUAAAUACACGAAAAAAAUCUCAGAUAUCAUAUCUAUCUGGUCAAAUUUUACUUUUUUUAUUUUUUAUUUUUUGAGAAAUUCUAUGAUUGCAUUCAUAAUUCUGCCAAAAAAGCCACUAACCACAAAUGGUCAAUACAAACUAGUUACAAAAAGGUCAUUACAAUAACGGAGCGGUUUAAUAUCAAAAUUAAGAAAAUCAGGUAUGUCUCCACUAACGAUCAGGCAAUAUCGAAGAAACUCUGGUAUAGGUGUCACAUCCCGAGAUCGGCUCCGUCGUAGCACGAUAUUGUCCGCUUUAGGCCUCUCCUCUCUGGCCCUCACGGUUUUGUUUCAGGGAGCUCAUGACCAACUUCCCAGUGGGUCACCCAUCCUUGAAUUGCUCUAGCCCCCAACUCGCUUAACUUCGGAGUUCCUACGACGCCGAAGCCAGUGAGCUCCCAAAAGGCCUCGUGCUAGAUGGAUGCGGGUGCACAUAUAAGGCACAUCGCCCCCUCUCCGUUGUUUGAUGUGUGAUCUUACAAUCCACCCCCCUCAAGGGCCCGACGUCCUCGUCAGCACACUCGCACCACACGGCAGAGUGACUCUGAUAAUAGGCAUCUCAACUAAGAUUGCAAACUUAGAAUAACAAAAAAGAGAUAAAGCUUGAAAAAAUCAAGUCAUAACAAUACAAAUAAAACUCUCACCAAGGAGAGAUGAAAAGCUCUCACGAAGGAGAGAUGAAAAACUCUCAAAAAAAUAGAAGUGAAAACUACACAGAGAACCCAAAGAGUCUCUGCAACUUAUUCCAAAUAUAAAGAAAUUGCAAAAAAUAUGAUGGUGGAGAUUCGACGCCGAAAUACAGGUGAAGAUCAGACGCUGAGCCGCAGCUGCCUAUAAUAGUUGGAUGAAAAUCAUAACAAAAUUAAGAUAAAUAGGAAAAACCCUUUGUCUUUGAAAGGAAGAGGGGGGAGAGGGGGAAAAACAAUGGCUUCCUCCCCAUCUAAGAGUGUUUUUUGGAAGAAAGGGGACUAGGAUUAUGGCUUAUGGUCUUAGAAUAUUACUUCCAAACCUGGUCAAAUUUUACUUACGCGAAAAUUGAAUUGACCCUUAAACACGUAUUUUUUCCGAUUAAAGUUGUAAUCAUUACAAGUACAAAAAACCAAAACAAAAAAUACAAGGGUAGUAUGGGAAACAAAAAAUUUGACAGUAGAAGGCCAACUAGCAGGCUCAAAAACAAUAUGCUAUAAAAGCCAACACCCAAACCACAUCAGCCCUUGUCCUCAACAGUCUCUAGGUUGCUGCUGCUGCUUUUAGCUUUCUCCAACCUACGAGCCAUGGACCAAGGGGUCCCACAAACCCCUCCACCUUCCACCGCCGCCACCACCACCACCCUCCUCGGCAAAUACAAAUUGGGCCGGAUAUUGGGCCGGGGAAGCUUCGCCAAGGUCUACAAGGCCCAAUCCCUCGUGGACAAUACCGCCGUCGCCAUAAAAAUCAUCGACAAACCCCAAAUCGACGCCGUCAUGGAGCCUCGGAUCCUCCGAGAAAUCUCCGCCAUGCGCCGCCUCCACCACCACCCCAACAUCCUCAAAAUCCACGAGGUCCUCGCCACCAAGUCCAAAAUCUACCUCGUCGUCGAGCUUGCCACCGGCGGCGAGUUAUUCGCCAAAAUCUCGCGCCACGGUAAAUUGCCGGAGUCCCUGUCCCGCCGGUACUUCCAGCAGCUCGUCUCGGCCCUGCACUUCUGCCACCAGAACGGCGUCGCUCACCGCGACGUGAAGCCCCAGAACCUUCUGCUCGACAAGAACGGGAACUUAAAAGUCUCGGAUUUCGGGCUCUCGGCCUUGCCUGAUCAGCUCAAAAACGGGCUGCUGCAGACGGCCUGCGGAACCCCCGCGUACACGGCGCCCGAGGUGGUUUACCGGCGCGGCUACGACGGCUCCAAAGCCGACGCGUGGUCCUGCGGUGUUAUCCUCUUCGUCUUGCUCGCCGGGCGCCUACCGUUCGAAGACAGCAAUUUGGCUGCCAUGUACAAGAAGGUUCAGAGGCGAGAGUACGAGAUUCCGGGUUGGAUUUCGAAGCCGGCAGGUCGGAUCAUAUACCAACUGCUCGACCCGAACCCGAACACGAGGUUGGGGAUCGAGGCGCUGAUGGAGAAGGCGUGGUUUAAAAAAUCGAUGGAUUUGGGGCUGACGGGCGCUUUCGAACCGGAGGAGGAGAAGUCGAAAUGCGACGCCGUACCGUGCGGGAUGAAUGCAUUUGAUAUAAUCUCGAUGUCGUCGGGAUUGGAUCUGUCGGGGCUCUUCGAGGUGGAGAGCCGGAUGGAGAGGCGGUUCACGGCUGAGGCGGCGGCGGAGACGGUGGUGGAAAAAGUGGCGGAAGUUGGGGAGAGGUUAGGGUAUAAAGUGGAGAAAGGGAAGAGCGGUGUGAAUGUAGGGUUGGGGAAACGAGGGAAGGGGGUGAUGACGAAGGUGAUAAUGGCGGUUGAGGUGAAGGAGGUUGCGCUGAGUUUGGUGUUGGGGGAAGUGAAAAUGGCGGAGGGUGGCGGUGUCGAGCUUGAUCAGGAGGCUAGGCUUUGGGAGGAGUUGAGAGCUGGGUUGCAGGACUUUGUCGUUUCGUGGCAUAACGUCGUCGUUUGAUUUUGUGUGCAUUAUUUGGAUCUAAUUAAGGCUACGACAUAAGUUUUACUUUUAUUUAGGUUUAGUGGUAUGUUAGUUGAGUUGGGUUUAAGAGUUUAGAAUUUGUACAUUGGAUCAAAACUUCAGAUGUUGCUUUGAUUUGUGGUUACUGGUACUAAUAUAUGAUUAAUCAAAAUUAGUUUCAUCUUUUUAAGGAGUUCAUCAAUGGUUGGAAGUCAUAUCGCAUACGAAAUAGAUCCAAUCCAACGAAAAAGAAGUGAAUCGGUUAAUCCAAUGAUUAAAAAGUUUUAUGUAGCAUAUGAAUUCCUUGAGAUUGGAUCUGUGGAGCUUAUUUGAAGUGCUUACUAAUGGAGCAUAGGAUCGUGUAGUUCCAGUAGUAGUUCUACAAAUUGCAUAUGCAUAUGCAGUGAUUAAGAGUAGUUACCCAAUAAUAUCAAUCAACUAAGAAAUACUCAAACAAAUCUUAAAAUUAUCGUUGAAAAGGUGGAGUGUUCCAUGGCGCUCCUUUUUAUUUUUUAGCAAACAAAUUAUUGUAUUCGUCACAAAAUAUGAGGCUUGCUUUGGUGACCCUUGCCUUGCAAGAAAAGAAGAAGAAAAAGUUGUAGAUUGUUGAGCAAACCCGCCUUUUUUUUUUGUCUGGAAUUACAUUUGUUGCUUGUGCAUCCAUAAAAAUCUUCCACAUACGACAUGCAAAUGAAUCUGAACAAGAAAAUAUGAAAAGAUACACACAUACAUGUUGAUCGUUGCUGUCUUUUUACAUACUACUGUAUAUAAAAAAGGGAUCUGAAAACGCAAAAAGAAGUUGAAAAAAAAAUCAAACUGUGCAAUAAAUAAUUCACUAAUUUGGCAGCUGGUUCUACUUUCUAUCUUUCUUUGUUGCAAGUUGCCUGAACAGAACAGAAGAAGAGAAAAACAAGAGGCCGUUCACGGGCAUUAUUCUUCUCAGCGUCAGAAGAUACUUACUGAUGCUAACAGCUGCUGACUGUAUACAAAAAGCACCUACACCAACUUGAGCUUUUGGAACACACCAUAUAAGAGCAUUAAGCAAACGUUUGUUUCUGUCAUGCUCCAUGCUGUUUCUGUUUCAGUUUCUGUUGCUCUAUGGACUAGUUUGGUAUUGCUGUGCGAGCUGCUUCUAUGGCGCUGUGAGAAUAAUUGUUAGAUAUUUUCAAAAUGAACUAUUAUUAUUUGGAGUGUCAGCCAAAAUGUAAAGGUGGUUGGGUGUCAAGUUGUCAACCUGUCAACCCCCACCAAAACAUGAAUAUGAAUGGGUGUACAGAGAGAGACCUGUGAUGUGUGAAUAACAUAAGAGACUCUGAUAAUCUGGCAUCAAGUUUCAACAAUUAUUGUUGUCUUCUUCUCCAUUUUACUGAUUUGAAAUCAAUCAUCCUAUCGAGUAUGUGAACCUACUGUCCUUGUUUUCGGAAGAAAAAAAGAGAGGAAAAUGAUCUGAUCAAAUCAAAUCAGCUUCUGCAUUAGCACAGCUGCAUUUUUGUACUAAAGCGACCAGGCAAAUAGAUAAUGAAAUGAACUAAUGAAGAAUGGAUUAUAAUUUCUAGUCCAUUUGGUAAUCUUUUCAUUUUUGGUUUUUAGUUUUUAUUUUUAUUGUUUUGUUGCCUAACGAUAGAGGGGAAAUACAUGGAGAAAAAGAGAGAUGAAAAAAAAGUGGUGGGAUGAAAAUGAAGUGGUAAUCAAAUGGACCCUUAAUUACAUUAUCCCGUUAUACCAUAUGGAAUAUCCAAUUUGGAAAGAACUGGUUUAAUUCAAGCAACAUUUAAAAUACCGGGCUUGUAAAUUUUGCCGAGGGUGAAUUCAGAAACUAAAAGUACUGAAAAAGAGCAAAGUCCAGAAUAUGUUUUCCUAAACAUAUAUGUUUUACAAAGGACCCACUAGUGUAGUAGUUUGGAGCAAUUGAUUCCCCAUGCAAGAUUCUAGGUUCAAGUCCUAACAUCCGUAUAGUGUAUGUGAGUUUAGUAUAUUAUCACUCCUCUCAAUAGGAAAGGUCUUAAAAAAAAAAAACAGAAAUGCUUUUGUAAGGAAAUAUGUAUUCUAUAAGCUUGAGAGGUGAACAAAAAAAACGUAGAGAAAGUUCUGCAUUAAGCAUGAGAGGAGACCUCAGUUAACUUACAUAGUACUUGAACCUUGCUUGCAUAUUACAACCAUAUAUUAAGAGAUACAAUUUGUCAUACAAGGAUUUUACAAAAUAUUCAAUUUGGCUCAAGGACUUGUUCCUGUAAAGUUGGCUAUACAAUUCUUGUGCUGGGCAAUAAGCUCUAUACAGGUUCAUCCACGUCCUGUUCCCGUCAAACGACAGACCAUCUACGUUGUGUUCCUGUCAAAAAAUUCCACCUCCUUUCUCAGUGCCUUUGAGUGGUAUGUACUAUGUAGGACGCAACUUUACAUACAACACCACGCAAACUUCUACACUGAAGUUCCACAGCCCAGUUUCCUCAUUGAAUUUCAUAAAUCAGCAAGAAAUUGGAGCACAGGAUCUGAUGGUCAUUACUCAAAACGCUGGAUGCAAAGAUAGUAUCUACACAUAAUUACUUCCACUCAUUCUUACAACAGAAUAGAGGGCUGACAUCCAUGCUUGCAAACCACUCUGGGCAUCCUUCUUCACCGAUACUUCCAGCUUCGCAACAGCCUGCUUUGAAAUACCAGAUUUCACCAAAACAAGUCCAAGUGAUUUGAAUGUACAAUCAUCAGGUUGAAUGGCAGCUCUCAUCAUUUCCUUGAAAGUUUCCACAACCUCUUUGAAUCUUCCAUACAUCACAUACAACCCAAGCACAUUAUUAUAACUCAACAGAUCAGUUAAAAGUCGCAGUUCUCUCAUCUGCUCUGCAAUCUGAAUGGCUUCCUCAAACCUCCCCAUUUUUUUAUACAUGCACAACAUCAUUGCACAUGAAAACUCAUUGGCAUUUCCCUUUCUCUUCAAGCCAUCAAAGAUUUCUUCUGCUGGUUUAACCAUAGAUUGCUCACUAUAAAGAUCAAUCAUACAAUUUGAAGCAUAUAUGGAAGGACCAUCCUCUGAUGAUUGAAUAAGUCUGUAUGUUUCUUCUGCUUCUUUCAAAAAACCAACUUUAGUAUAGAGCUUGAUCAAUGAGUUGUAAAUCACCGUGUUCCCAGGCAAACCUGCCUUUUUCAUUGCAUCAGCAUAACUGAGAGCUUCUUUAACACUUCCAACAUCAGCAAAAGCAUUUAUCAGCACCCCAAAGACAAUAACAUCUGGUUGAACACUGAAUCCAACCAUCUCUUUAUAUAGUCCCUCUGCCAUUUCCAAUUGUCCUAAUUUUGCAAAGCUUGAGAUCACAGCACAAUAAGGGAUGCAAUCACUUACCAAUCUUGCCUCCUGCAUCUUCCUGAGAUAGGGUUUUGCUAUAUGUGGCAUAUUAGCACUAGACAAAAUUUGUAUGAGAGAACUAUAGCUACAUUUGUCUGGAACUACACCAUGACUCUCCAUGCUAUUAAACAACUCACAUGCUUUAUCAUAAUGUUUCCCCACCCCAUAAGCUUUAAUCAUCACGUUAAACUCAAGGACACUCAAUUUCUUCACUUCUUGACAGCAAAAAAAAACUUUCUCAGCUUCCAAAAUAUGCCCACGCUCUCCAUAUGCAUCAAUAUUAGCAGAACAGCACUCAGAACUCAUUUUCCCUGAAAGAUGAAACCUCAUGAACCAAAACCAUGACUUCUCAAGCAUCCCAGAUUCUAUGUACAUCCUAGUCAGAGCUGACUGAGUGAAUUCAUCAAUCUCAAGGCCCCUUUCAUCCAUCUCUGAUAUGAGAUCUUCGGCUUCGCUAACCAUGUGUCUUAAUGAGUAUGCAUACAAAAGGAUGCGGUAACUCACAUGGUCUGGCUCAAGGUGAGCCUCCUUCAUCUUUGUGAAGUAUUUUGUCGCCAUGUCUAUAUUAUCAUGCUUUGCAUGGAGCGAAAUUAGAAUAUUAUAUGUUCUCGUGUCCGCUGGGCAUCGAAUCUCUUCCAUCUUCUGCAUGAGGGAAGCAACUUCUUCUAGCCGGCCAUGGUUACCGCAAAUGUGCAUCAUUGUAUUGAAAGUCACUGUAGUCGGAGCAAUCCCUUCCCUAAGCAUCGUCGCAAAUAUUUCAGAUGCUUCUUUAAGUUGGCCAGCCUUUCCAUACGUGUCAAUCAAUGUAUUAUAUGUAUGUGAGCUCAAAGAAACAUGAGAGUGCAAAGAGCUCCCCAAUCCACCAGCAGCUGUUGUACUAGUGCCCUCUUGUCUAAAAGAUAGGCUCAAUGACCAUUUGUCGAAAAAAUCCUCAGCUUUUUGAAAUUCUCCCGCUUUCUUAUACAAAUGAACGACAAUCCCCAUAGUAACCUCAUCAGGUUUCAUUCCUUGUUUGUUCAUCUUCUCCAGCCAAAGAAGUGCUUCUUCUUUCAACCCACCUUUACUAUAAACAUCAAUCAAAGUUCCAUAAGUCGAAUUGAUAGGCGCUAUUCCUUUAACCUUCAUCUCAUCCCAAAGAUUCUCUACAAGGCUCCACUUCCUUGCCUUCCCAAGAAUUCUAAGCAGUAUAUUAUAGUGAAUCACAUUCAAUUCAUAAAAGUCCUUUCUCUUGAACCACUCAAAAAUCUCCCAAGCCCUUUUCCAACUCACCUGCUCCUUCAAAAUUAUGCUCCUUUCCUUGUUAGUAAGCCUAUCUUCCCAUGGCUUCAAAGCCUUAUCCAAAUCCUCAACUUCAUCCAAUGCCUUCAAAAUUGCAGGUAAGCAACCCCCAUAAGUGACCCAUUUCGUCGAACACUUGGAAGGCACUUUCUUCACCACUCCAUUUCCAUUCACCGCUCUCAAUUCAAAAUCAAAAUCCCUGCUGUUCACAUAAGCACCACUACCCUUAGUGAUUUUCCUCUUUUCCCCACCUGGGUUGCACAGAAAACUAUGUUUCUUCUGCUCAACCUCAUGAACAACAGCACCAUUUCCACAUCUAUCAUGGAUGGGUCUAUGAACUUCACUUAAACCCUUCUUGGCCGUUCCUCCUCCAUUGGGGCUCUGAACCACUCUGGGUUUCCUCUCCUUGUUUAUUAGUUCAAGUUUGUCUAAUGGAGAAUGCCUUAUGUUGGGUGAGGUUUUUAUGGAACCCAAAAUGGGGAAGCAACUGGUGUCCAACUGGAGCUUCACAAACAUUGUUUUCACAGAAACUGAAACAUACUAUAUUUUUCUUGGGUAUUAGGAAAGUGAUAAUAACAUGGUUAGAGUCCUCCAAACGUUGUUGGAGUAAUUUGCAGAGACUCGGAGAGUAUCAACUUUGGUAGGCUCAAAUGGACAGGCAGAGAAAUCAAAUAGGAGAAAAGUUGAAGGCAGUCGGACGAUUCGGAUCAUCCAUAUACUAAAAUCGGGUCGACCCAACCCAUCAAAACAAGAUGCAGGUUCUAUAUCCACCCAAAGCAUGUCUUUGCACACCUAUUAUUAUUCUUAUAUUAUUAUUAUUUUUUGUGAAUGACAACUGUAUAUUCCUAUGUGAAACUAUCACACAUCGGUUAAUAGACCCUACAAAACUUGACAAUUUAAUAGAGCUAAAUGAAGUCCAAUUAUAAUUUAGCCCUCUAAAAUAUUAUUUAGUCUAAGAUUAUUAUAUUUGAGUAAUGUCAUACUUAUUAUAUUUUUAUUUUACAUUUCUAUAUCAUAUAAUGUGGCAUGUCCAUAUCAUAUAUCACAUCAAUUAAAUCAAUGAAGUUUAUCUAUAUAUAUAAAGCAAAAGGCAGAGAAUGGUGAAACAUUCAAAAUACCAGAAAAUGCCCUUAGUUAAUGCAAACAUUAAGAAUUCAAAUUAUUAAUUAAAUGAGGAUAAUAUGGUAAAUUCACAAUUUUUCGUAUUAAAAAAAAUAAAAUUAAAAGAAAAUUCAGAUAAUGGGUCCUAUUUUUAUGGAACACAAAUAUCCAUUAUCUUUUUUAAUUCUAAAAUAAAUUUAAAUUUUUUUUAAAAAAAACCUCUCGCAUGCGCGGAAACGCGUGCAGAGAGGCUAGUUUUAAUAAAGAAAGUUUAAUUAAUAGUUUUUUUUAAGUGUUAAUAAAUUAUAUAAGAAAAGAAAAUAUUAAUUAAUUUUAAUUGAUGCGGCGGUCUACCUCAUCUGCCACAUAAGGUAGACAACCACAUCAAUUAAAAUAAUAUAUUUCAGGCAUAUAACCGCUCGGCUAUACUAUAUAUAUAUAUAUAUAUAUAUAUAUAUUUUCUCAAAAGAACCCGCUCCAGCGAUCAGGUGAUUUCCGAGUAGGCCAAAGUGACAGUUGGAGCUCGAACCUUCUCUUUUCCCUAGCAAUUUUGAAAUUUUGUGGCCCAUUUCCAUUAGUUUAUAUUUUAUAGUUAUUAAUUUGCUAGCUUCAACAUAUGCAAAAUAAAUAUUGAAGGGAAAGAAAUUUCACAUUAAAUCAAUAUAACAGUUCUUUUUUUUUUUUUUGGGUAGGAAAACGCGUAGGAAAACGCCUUUGAUCUACCUCAUUCUCUUGAGUGCUACUAAAUUCUAUUUAACAUAUAUUAAUACGUGAAUUUUGUAUAUAUAAUAUGUGAAAAUUAUGUGUAUAGUACUUGAAUUUUGUUUAUAUUAUUAAAAAUUUUGUAAAAAAAUAAGUAUAUUAAACAUGAAAAAUACGUAUGUAUGUGUAUAACACGAGUAUUAAAAGAGAAAAUGUUAAAUUCUUUAUACGGGUAGUAACUUUGAAAAAGUAAAACAUCAAAAGGGGACAACAUAGAUUCGGGUAAUAGCCUAAUAGUAAUGGAUAAUGUUAAUGCUCUAAACAACUCUUACAAUAAAUGAAAAUAAAAAGACCCCAGUAUAGCUGAUCGGCUAUACUCUUUUAAUAUAAUAAUAUACUAGCCUCUUGACACAUGCUCACGCAUGUGCCAAUUGGUUUUUUUUUUCUUUUUUAUUUUAUUUUUGAAUUAAUAUAAAGAUAACAAGGGUAGUAUCUUCCAUAAAAGUAGGACCUAUUAUCUUAUUUUGUUUUUAAUUUUAAUUUUUUUAAUAUUAAAAAAUGUGAAUUUACCAUAUUAUCCUCAUUUAAUUAAUAAUUUCAAUUCUUAAUGUUUGAAUUAACAAAGGGCAUUUUCUGGUAUUUUAAAUGUUUCACCAUUCUCUGCCUUUUGCUUUAUCUAUACUAGCCUCUCCACACGCGCUUCCGCGCUUGCAAGAGGCUUUUUAAAAAAAAUAAAUAAAUUUAUUUUAGAAUUAAAAAAGAUAAUGAGUAGUUGUGUUCCAUAAAAAUAGGAUCCAUUAUCUAUUUUUUCUUUUUUUUUUAAUUUUUUUAAAUAUGAAAAAGUGUGAAUUUACAAUAUUAUCCUCAUUUAAUUAAUAAUUUGAAUUCUUAAUGUUUGCAUUAACCAAGGGCAUUUUCUGGUAUUUUGAAUGUUUCACCAUUCUCUGUCUUUUGCUUUAUAUAUAUAGAUUUAAUGAGUAUAGCCUCGUUACAUAUAAUAAUAUAUUUCACGCAGCCUCCCAAAUAUACUCUUUAAGUAUACCAGAGUAUAGCCGCGCUGCUAUACUCUUUUUGUUUUGUUUUGUUUUGUUUUUUUGACUAAGGUGACUAGGAUCUAACUAAGUAAACUUACCUAAUCAAGCUUAUGUGUAAUAUUUCAUGGGUAAUGCUAGGCUUACCACAUUUUUAUACCACACUGUGUACCACCUCUCUUAUAGAGGUGGAGCCCACCAAUACAAUUGGGCCACCUCUAUUAGAGAGGUGGUAUAGAAUGUGGUAUAAAAAUGUGGUAAAUCUAGCAUUUUUCAUAUUUUAUAUAUUUGUCCCUAAGAUACCCUGAACUAAGCCAUUAUUGCAUUUUUUAUAUUAAUGUAGGGGUCAAUAUACGGAAACAAUUUUUAUUCGAUUGUAACUAAUGAGACACGUUGAAUUUGGAAAGAUCUCCAUGAUAUCUGAUUGUAAUGGACGUAAGAAUUAAUUUGGAAACCUUCUUGAAUUUCAACAAUAAAUUCAGAUUUAAUGUACCUAGUCGUUUUAUCAAGGUUAUAUAUGGAACGUUGAGCGAACAACGAUUUAGCGUUCGCUUGUUUACCUGCUUUUCCAUUUAUUCCCAGGAAAUUGUUACCAGGUUGGUUCUACGUACCUCAUCCGUUACCUUUUUAAAACUGCAUGCAUUCUAGACUAUAAGAAAACCUGAUGCAUUGCAUUCCAGUGUGUUUUCCAACUAAGAUUAAACAAGCAUGGCUUGGUUCAUUCGAAAUGCAAUGCUGCUGCUAAUUCUGUUUUCGUUGUAUCGAAUAAACAUAUGUGACACUGACGAAGGAACGCUGCUCAUAAAACGAAGAUUUGUUAGAGUCACAAAUGAUUUGGGUGGAAACUUGACCCUUACAGUUCACUGUAAAUCAGCGGAUGACGACAUUGGUGUCCAAGUGCUUCCUCCUCAUGCUUCCUUUGGAUUCAAUUUUCGACCUAGCUGGAUAUUCAGUACACAAUUCUACUGCAGUUUUCAGUGGCCAAACACAUUUAAAUGGUUCGAUAUAUACGAUAACCGGAGAGACGCACCGCAUUGCAGCAAAUGUUGGUGGCGUAUAGUACCAAAUGGUCCAUGUAGGUUUAACUGGUAUGACAAAACGUAUGAGGUUUGCUGUCAGUGGAAUAAAGACUGAACUGAUUUCAUCAUCUAUUAAUUUAUUAUGUCUUUAUGAAAUAAUAAGAGUUCGAUUGUUGUUAUUUUGGUGAAUGAGUAUGAUUGUUGUUGGAAAGGUUUAGGCCUUAGCUUUGAGUCUUGAUGUAAUCAAAGAAAAAAAAAAUGUUGCAAUGUUAAACUAAACGUUAUGGAAACGGUGCAAUUUAAUCUCAUACUAAUCAACCAAAUAAUUCGUAAUCAAGAUAUAUAACAGUUUAACUUUCCACAUUGAUUUCGAUAAUGUUAGCUUCUAAAACAUAAAUAUUUGCCAUCCAGAUUGCAGAUUAUACAUGAUGAACAAAGGCAUGGCUAGCCACCUUCAACAAGUUCAAGGUGAAGAGUUCGGUUAUAAGUGGAUCAAACCUACAGAGUGGAACUUUAAUAAACAGCAAUAUUGCAUUAAAGAUUUGUACAGUAAAAGCAGGGGAGAGAAAUGCUGGCUCAUGUAGGAUAAAUAUUUCUUGAACCACACACCAAUAUUCAGAAAGCUCUCAAAGUCGGAUUGUGGCCUGCAAACAGGAUUUCAAAUCAGAUUGAAAUGAAACCAAGUAUGAACUUUUAUGAGCUUGAUUGUAGUAGUGACUGAGACACUACAAGUUUACAAUGCAGAAUCACGUUUGGAUCAUGUGCGUACUUUACCUCUCAAUUGCAUGAGUAUCAUUUGGAAACACAAUGACUUUGACAGGAACUCCUUUUUCCUUCAAUGCCCGAGCAUACUACAAACAAUAAACAUCCAUGUUAAGAUUUCAAGAAACAGAUCAGCGGCCCACUACUACUGCUGACACGUAUACUAUUGAUAACUUAACCACUUGUAAAGUCCGUGUGUGAGGUUUUAUCAUAAAAGGCCUCGGUGCUAGAUCACUUUUCUACUUACAUCAUUUUGAUUAGGUAAAUGUGGAUGCAUCAAAAUUUUCAGGUAAAUGUGGAUGCAUCAAAAUUUUCCCACCCCUUUGGGGACAAAGGAAAUCUUUAAAAGAUGAAAAAGAGUAAUUUUCUACUGCAAUGCAGGGAAGAAGAAUAAUUAUCCAAGCACUAGUUAUUGUUUUCAAACCAUUGAGAUAGGAUAAGUGUUCAGUUUGUAGUUCAUUAUGAGGGGAGCAUAUUAGCUUACUUGCAAUCCAGUAAAAACGGGAAGACGAACAUCCUGAGCACCCAAAAGAAAAAGGGUUGGUGUUUUGACCUGCAAAGAGCAUCAAAAAUAAAAAAGUUAGAAGUAGCAGACGACUCCUCUCAGUAAAUAAUAUCUUUCUCAAUAUUAACUGUUUUUCGGUUUUAGUUCUUUUUGUAGAUUUUCCUUCUAUUCCAAUAUACUGCUAGUUUCAUAGUCCAGAACAGGCUCAAAAUUAUAGUAACAGAAAAAGGAGACCAAACCUAAGCAUAUACCUUUGAGAUAUGUGAAAUAGGAGAUUUCCUGUGAAAGAGAGUCAGAUGCUCAGCUGAAGGUGCUUCUGUGAAUGUAUUUUUACUCUCACUUCCAUAGGCCUCCACAUAGCACCAAUCUGGGAUGUCUGUCGUGCCCACCAUCAAUGCGAGGUUACAAGCAGGAUUUCUUGUUGCUGCCGCAGCAAAUUUAUCUGGUGCCUGCAGCAUUUCAGUUACAAGAUUAUUAAAUUCUUAAAUAUGCCUAAAAGUACAUGAAAUAUCACCUUCUAAAGCAUCUACCAGAAGUGCAUAAGUUAUAGAUGCCUAAAAACAAAAAACAAAAAACUCUAUGCAAAUGAAAUCCCCAAACCACUAAUGUUCAUGAAGAUACUUAUAAUACGAGAAGCUUUGCACCAGAUGGUGAUGGAACCAUCACAGAGACUCCUGUCAUCUCCACAGGAAAUGGGGCCCAUUGGAAAUUUACAGAAUUGUUACUUUCUCUUAAAACAUGAGAGGACAGAAUGAACUUCUUCCUUUUGUUUGCCAAAAGAUUUGGUUGACUAAUUGAAAACAUUGCCUGGGAUCCAAUUCCUAUAACAAAGUUUUGUGUGCAAGUAUCUUCAUCAGAAAUGGGUCUUUGGCUUUCAACGGCUUGUAUGUGAAAUAAGGACAUGCAUGUUAGAAAUAUGAGAAAUCGUACCGCUGUCAGAUUUAAAUAUCCAUGCCUUAUCAAUGCUGGAAAUACCAGUAAAUUCUUGAAGUAGUCUAGACUGGGAAGCAUAUUCUUCCUCAGGAAAAUUGUAAAUUCUGAUUUCUGUAUUUCUUAAAACUAAUUCACCAGCACUGUUACACUUUAUAUCAGUUUAUGCAAAGCUUACCCGUAUAACAGAUCUAACUGUCUAACUAAUUCUACUAACAACCCACGUGCCUUGCACACCUGAUUUACUAACUGUUUAAUGUCACAGUUAACAUUUUCCCUACCCUGUUACAUCCCCUAAUCGAAGAUGACUACAAUGUCUUGAGAAUAUAGGACUAUGUAAUCCCUUUGUGAAUACAUCUGCCACUUGUUCUUCUGUAGGGACAUACUGUACCAGUAAGUCUUUCUUCUGAACUUUCUCUCUCACAAAAUGAUAGUCAAUGUCCAGAUGUUUGAUCCUGGAAUGGUAGACAGGAUUGGAGCUAAGUGCUAAGGCAGAUAGAUUGUCACAAUACAUUACAGGAGGAUUAGGUAGAAAGAAUUUCACAUCCUGCAACACCUGUCUGAUCCAAGCAAUAUUUGCAGCAGUGUUUGCCAAGGCUCUAUACUCUGCCUCUGUUGAGCUCCUGGAGACUAAUCCCUGCUUUUUGGACUGCCAAGAGAUGGGAUUAGGUCCUAAAAACACUACAAAACCUGUGGUAGAUCUCCUUGUGUUGAUGUCCCCAGCCCAGUCAGCAUCACUAUAUGCUGACAACUGCCAAGGAUCACUUACUCUAGAACUGAUACUCGUAAAAUUGAUGCCAAAACUCAGAGUACCUUGAACAUAUCUUAAGAUUCUUUUGACUAGCAACCAAUGAACAUCAGUAGGAUUAUUCAUAUAUUGACAGACUGUGUUUACUGCAUAGGCCAAGUCAGGUCUUGUGAAUGUCAAAUACUGUAAAGCCCCAACAACAGUUCUAAACAUGGUGGGAUCAGAUAACAGUUCACCACAAUCUGUCAAAAUUUGAUUAUGUGGUUUACACGGAGUUGAACAAGCUCUGCAUGACUGCAUUCCAGCUUUAUGCAACAGGUCCUUAGCAUAUUUCGUUUGACUCACAAACAAACCUCCUGAGGCAGGAUAUGUAAUUUGCAAUCCUAAGAAAUAAGCAAGGCGCCCCAUAUCUUUCAUUUCAAAUACUGAACUCAGGUUAUCAACCACACUUUGUACCAAAUCUGCAUUAGAGCCAGUUAAUAUAAUAUCAUCGACAUAUAGCAGCAACACGAUCACAUCUGAACCUUCGUGUUUCACAAACAGACUCGGAUCAGAGUGGGAUAUUUUGAACCCCAGUGCUGGCAGAUAUCCUGUGAAUUUAGCAUUCCAAGCCCUUGGAGCUUGCUUUAGACCAUAUAAUGAUUUCUUGAGCUUACACAUAUACUGUGGAUGAGCAGGAUCUUCAUACCCUUGUGGUUGACGCAUAAACACCUCCUCCUCUAAAUCUCCAUGAAGGAAGGCAUUUUUCACAUCGAGUUGCCUUAGUGACCACUGAUUCAUAGCAGCAAGACUUAAUACCAACCGAACUGUGGUAUGUCUGACGACAGGGCUAAAUGUUUCCCCAAAGUCUAAACCAGGUUGUUGACUAAAUCCCUGAGCAACUAGCCUAGCUUUGUACCUUGCAACAGAACCAUCUGAGUUCUUCUUUAUUUUAUACAGCCAUUUACUUCCAACUAUAUUUUUGUUGCCAGGAUUAGGCUCUAAACUCCAAGUACCUUGGGAUUGAAGAGCCUCAAUUUCCUCCUGCAUAGCUUGCCGCCAUUCAGCCGAGUACGAGGCCACCUUAUAACUACACGGUUCAUCUAACUCAACACCAGCAGUUAAACAGGUGAAAUAGCCUUGAUAAUCUUGAAACUGUUUCGGCUUAACAAUACCCAACUUGGAUCUAGUCUGCAUUGCAUGAGUGUUUACUGGUUCUGGGUUAGGAGGAAGUGGAAGAGGGGAAGAGGCGUCAUAAGGUAUGAUAGCCUGUAGUUGCUGGUCACUAAAGGCAUGCUGAUCAUUCUCAAACUGUACAGAGGGAGAUGCAUCUGAUAUAGGUCCAAUUCUAGGAAUAGAAUGGGCAGGUAUAGAGCUGGAGCUUACGGAGACCAUACCCUCAGAUAUAUCAGGACCUGCAGAAUCAGACUCUAACUGAGAUGGGAGAGAAAUUAUAAUUGGAGAUGUGUUCAUACCAGAAGAUGAAGUGGAGGACUGCUGUGGAGUGAUGGGAGGCACAAAAGGAUACACAGACUCAUCAUGGAUGACAUCCCUAGAAAUCACACAUUUUGCAGUUGCACAAUUAUAUCCAAUAACCCCUUUAUAUCCAGUAGCAUAUCCUAGAAAUACACACUUAGUUGUGCGAGGUUGUAGCUUGUGUACAUUAUAAUGACGAAGAUAAGGAUAUACAGCUGUACCAAAAACCCUCAAUGAGUGAAUACUAGGAUCCUUUCCAAACAACCGAAAAUAUGAAGCUUGAUUAUCCAAGGUAGAACUUGGCAUUCGAUUUAUUAAAUAGGCAGCAUGAGCAGUCGCAUGAAACCAAAACUUUCCUGGUAAUGAAGCUUCAGUCAACAUAGUAAUAGCAGUUUCGAUAAUAUGCCUAUUCUUUCGCUCGGCCAUUCCAUUUUGUUGAGGUGUGUAUGGGCAGGACACUUGAUGAAGAAUACCUUUGGAUGACAGAAACUUAGAAAACAAGUGGCUACUAUAUUCACCACCCCCAUCACUCUGCAGACAUUGAAUAGUUGCCUUAAACUGAUUCUGAACAUAUGCAGUGAAAUGAAGAAACUUAGAAAACACCUCUGAUUUAUUGAAUAGUGGAAAAAGCCACAAGUAACCGGUACACUCAUCCAAAAACGAUACAAAGUACCUAUAGCCAUCUAGAGACUUGAAAUGGGAAGGUCCCCAUACAUCACUAUGGAUUCUAGAAAAAGGAAUCCUAGUUUUAAUAUGAGUAUCUGUAAAUGGCAGCUUGUGUAUUUUCCCAUGAAGGCAAGAAGAGCAAAUCACUUUUGAAUCAUCAUUUAGAGACUCUAACUGUGAAUUCUUAAGCAUCAAUUUGACGAUGUCAUUGGAGGGAUGGCCAAGUCUUCGAUGCCACAAAGAGGAACUGACUUUCUUUCCAAGAAAUGCCACUGCCUUGGACUGUGAUGGCAGCGUACAUGGGAUGGGGUAGAUACCAUUAUGGCUCAUUCCUCGAAGUAGAAUUUUCCUGGUUCGUUUGUCCUGUAUAUAAAAACUAGAAGCAUCAAAGCAUAUAAGACACUGAUUGUCUUUGCACAACUGAUGAACAGAUAAGAGGUUUGAAGACAAUUUAGGCACAUGAAAAACAGAUGGCAUAUGUAAAGAAGAAGAGCUGCAAGAGAGGGAUGUAGUGCCAAUAUUCUGAAUUUUCAAACCUUCACCAUUUCCCACUGUAACAUGUUCUGCAGAUUCACAGGGAGUAACAUGAUGCAAUGAGGAUACGUCAGCAACCAUGUGAUGAGAUGCACCACUAUCUGCAAUCCAGACUUGAGUAGGGGUAUAAGCGCUCUGUGCAGUCAUAGCGGAGAUCUUAGGAGAAGGAGGUUGUCCCUGAUAGGAGUAAUUGGAACGCUGGUAGCAAUCAAGAGCUCCAUGCCCCCUUUUGCCACAGAUCUGGCAUUCAAUCACUGGGGCAGAGCCCUGGGCUGUAGAGGUAUCAUGCCUAGAAUAACAGUUUGCAGCAGUAUGACCCCGCUUGCAACAAAUCUGACAUUCAGGGACAAUAUUGCUCCUAUGAAACGAGUUAGACCCAAAUUUGGAGCCCGACAUCUGAGAGGAUGCAGAUGCUGGUUUGUCAAAUCCUCCAGUAGAGAACUUUCCUCUACCAAAACCAUUAGAACUAUUGGACAUCAGAGAACCACUCGGCCCAGACACACCACGUGAGCUAUGAAACCGAUUAUGAGCAUUAGAUGCAUAACAUGCAACUGUUGAACUAGAAGGAAUCGGCAGUAAACCUGUAUUCGUAGACAAAGGAGGAGGAAAUUGAGGCUCAAGCUAUGCAGGAGGAAAUUGAGGCUCUUCAAUCCCAAGGUACUUGGAGUUUAGAGCCUAAUCCUGGCAACAAAAAUAUAGUUGGAAGUAAAUGGCUGUAUAAAAUAAAGAAGAACUCAGAUGGUUCUGUUGCAAGGUACAAAGCUAGGCUAGUUGCUCAGGGAUUUAGUCAACAACCUGGUUUAGACUUUGGGGAAACAUUUAGCCCUGUCGUCAGACAUCCCACAGUUCGGUUGGUAUUAAGUCUUGCUGCUAUGAAUCAGUGGUCACUAAGGCAACUCGAUGUGAAAAAUGCCUUCCUUCAUGGAGAUUUAGAGGAGGAGGUGUUUAUGCGUCAACCACAAGGGUAUGAAGAUCCUGCUCAUCCACAGUAUGUGUGUAAGCUCAAGAAAUCAUUAUAUGGUCUAAAGCAAGCUCCAAGGGCUUGGAAUGCUAAAUUCACAGGAUAUCUGCCAGCACUGGGGUUCAAAAUAUCCCACUCUGAUCCGAGUUUGUUUGUGAAACACGAAGGUUCAGAUGUGAUCGUGUUGCUGCUAUAUGUCGAUGAUAUUAUAUUAACUGGCUCUAAUGCAGAUUUGGUACAAAGUGUGGUUGAUAACCUGAGUUCAGUAUUUGAAAUGAAAGAUAUGGGGCGCCUUGCUUAUUUCUUAGGAUUGCAAAUUACAUAUCCUGCCUCAGGAGGUUUGUUUGUGAGUCAAACGAAAUAUGCUAAGGACCUGUUGCAUAAAGCUGGAAUGCAGUCAUGCAGAGCCUGUUCAACUCCGUGUAAACCACAUAAUCAAAUUUUGACAGAUUGUGGUGAACUGUUAUCUGAUCCCACCAUGUUUAGAACUGUUGUUGGGGCUUUACAGUAUUUGACAUUCACAAGACCUGACUUGGCCUAUGCAGUAAACACAGUCUGUCAAUAUAUGAAUAAUCCUACUGAUGUUCAUUGGUUGCUAGUCAAAAGAAUCUUAAGAUAUGUUCAAGGUACUCUGAGUUUUGGCAUCAAUUUUACGAGUAUCAGUUCUAGAGUAAGUGAUCCUUGGCAGUUGUCAGCAUAUAGUGAUGCUGACUGGGCUGGGGACAUCAACACAAGGAGAUCUACCACAGGUUUUGUAGUGUUUUUAGGACCUAAUCCCAUCUCUUGGCAGUCCAAAAAGCAGGGAUCAGUCUCCAGGAGCUCAACAGAGGCAGAGUAUAGAGCCUUGGCAAACACUGCUGCAGAUAUUGCUUGGAUCAGACAGGUGUUGCAGGAUGUGAAAUUCUUUCUACCUAAUCCUCCUGUAAUGUAUUGUGACAAUCUAUCUGCCUUAGCACUUAGCUUCAAUCCUGUCUACCAUUCCAGGAUCAAACAUCUGGACAUUGACUAUCAUUUUGUGAGAGAGAAAGUUCAGAAGAAAGACUUACUGGUACAGUAUGUCCCUACAGAAGAACAAGUGGCAGAUGUAUUCACAAAAGGAUUACAUAGUCCUAUAUUCUCAAGACAUUGUAGUCAUCUUCGAUUAGGGGAUGUAACAGGGUAGGGAAAAUGUUAACUGUGAUAUUAAACAGUUAGUAAAUCAGGUGUGCAAGGCACGUGGGUUGUUAGUAGAAUUAGUUAGACAGUUAGAUCUGUUAUACGGGUAAGCUUUGCAUAAACUGAUAUAAAGUGUAACAGUGCUGGUGAAUUAGUUUUAAGAAAUACAGAAAUCAGAAUUUACAAUUUUCUCUCUGUUUCUAUUUCCUUCCUCUUCUUCUUCUUUAGAUAUCGUCUUCACUCCUCUAUGAAAAUGUUUGUUCACAGUUGCAUCUAUCCCCAGAGGCAUCUCCUUAAACGAACCAGCUUUUGAACCCUCCAUGGCUAAAACUGUUGACAAUCUUUUACUAGAGCGUAGAUCGUAAGGAAGAUCAACAAGAAGAAAACAACCAACAGAAAGUAUGGGAUAAUGUUUUUCAUUCGGGAGAUAAAUAUAUGAUUUCAAAGGGGUAAUGAAAGUAUAUAGCUGAAAUGUGCAGUGGCAAUUGUAACCAAAAGAAUUCUGUAAGUAACUUGAAAUAUAGAUACCAUUGCCAACGAGGGAGGGUUGGUUGAGUUAGUAAAGAUAGUUAUCUUCACUACUAAGGCAUAGGUUCGAGUUCCGCUGGUAAUCUGUGAAAACCAAAAAAAGACUAAUACCAAAGAGGCCUUGGUAUGCCCUGAUGAACCCAGAAAAACUAGAUUCAGCGACUAAAAGUCAACAGAAUGUAAGGAACAAGAACACACAGGAACUAAAAAGGAGGGAGAGAGAAAGAGAGAGCUCACGUAGAGAGAAAAGAGCAAGAGGGUCUCCAUGUAAAUUACAGCUUAAUCAUGCACUGCCCAUUAUUAGACAUUUCUGUGUCUGCUGGUUAAGGUAGAGUUGGGUCAUGCUCAAGCCAGCUAACUGGCUCAGCAACCGUCUUCUUCCCUGGUGACCACUGUCUUUUUCUAUUGGGUUCAGCGAAAUCUUUCAUAGGAUUCAUUGUUUUCAAUAUAUUCAUGUUGGCAUUUCAUUUCACCAAAAAAUAAAAAUAUGCAAGUUGGCAACUUGACUCUAGUUUUGUAUUGUAUAUACCAAAAGAGAGAUGUGAACAAAAUAGGCAUCUGCCCAGUUAAAUAUGAUCAAAAUGGGCAAAUCGCUCGCUAUUUAACUAACGAGUGAAAUAUGAUUGUACACCUCAUCUGCCACAUAAGGUGUUAUAGAAAUGUGGUAUAUAAAUGUGGUAAGAGUAGCAUUAUUCUUAACUAAAUAUUGACUCUCACAUUCUUUCAUAGUUAGUAAAGAGAUUGUAAAAUCACCAUCUUGCAUUUCUGUUACAACAAGUAAGCAAUAAUCUUAGCCUCUCACAUUCUUUCACGGUUAAUAAAAUACGUAAUGGAAAAAGUAUGAAUAUUUGGCAAGUUACAAUUGAAAAGUUCAGCCACAACAUAAUAUUUUAAUAUAAUUUAUUUGAAUAUAUAAAUAUAUAUUAUUUCUAUUCAAUAAUAUGGGAAAAUUAUGUGUAUAAUAUAUGAAUUUUGUCUGUAUUAUUGAAAAUUUUGUAAAAAAUAUGUGUAUUAAACAUGAAAAAUAUGUACGUACAUGUAUAAUACGAGUAUUAUACGGGAAAAUGUUAAAUUCUUUAUAUGAGUAAUAACUUUGGAAAAGUAAAAAGUCAAAAAGGGACAGUAGAGACUAGGGUUAUGGCCUAAUAGUAAUGGAUAAUACUAUAAACUACUCUUAUGAUAAAUGACCCCAAUAUAGCCGCACGGCUGUACUCCUCAAAUAUUAUAAUAUAUUUAAGGGUAUAGCCGCACAGAUAUACUAAUUAUUAUAAAUUAAGAACUUAUAAAUAAAAAAGGACCCACCUAGCGAUUAGCCGAUUUACGAGUAGGCCAAAGUGACAAUUGGAGCUCGAAGCUUCUCUUUUCCCUAGCAAUUUUGAAAUUUUGUGGCAUACUUCCAUUAGUUUAUACUUUAUAGUUAUUAAUUUCCUAGUUUCAACAUAUGCAAAGUAGAUAUUGAAGGGAGAGAAAUGUCACAGUAAAUCAAUAUGAGAGUUCAAUUUUUAAAAUUUUUUUUUUCGUGGGAAUGUUUGCCUUUGAUCUACCUCAUUCUCUCGAGUGCUACUAAAUUUUGUUUAAUAUAUAUUAAUACGUGAAUUUUUUCUAUAUAAUACAUGAAAAUUAUGUAUAUAAUACGUGAAUUUUGUCUCUAUUAUUGAAAAUUUUGUAUUAAAAAAUACGUACGUGUGUGUAUAACACAAGUAUUAAAGGAGAAAAUGCUAAAUUCUUUAUACGCGUAAUAAGUAUGGAAAAAUAAAAAAUCAAAAGGAGACAGCAGAGACUCGAGUAAUAGUAAUGGAUAAUGCUCUAAACUACUCUUACGAUAAAUGAAAAUCAGGGAAAAAAAAUUUAAAAAGGACCCCCUGUAUAGCCGCACGGCUAUACUAGUUCAAUAUAAUAAUAUAUUUCAGGCGUGUAGCCGGGCUGCUAUACCAUUUAAAAUUAAUAUAUUUAAGCAAUAUAGCCGCACAACGAUACCCUUUAAAUAUAAUAAUAUGUUUUAGGAGUAUAGCCCGGUAGCUAUACUAUUUAUUAAUUUAAAAAACAAAAACAAAAACAAAAAAAGGAAAAAGGACCAGCCCAACGAUUAGGCGAUUUCCUAGUAGCCCAAAGUGACAUUUGGAGCUCGAAGCUUCUCUUUUCUGUAGCAAUUUUGAAAUUUUGUGGCCUACUUCGACUCAUUUAUACUUUAAAGUCAUUACUGCUUGAACAUCUACAAAGUAGAUAUUGAAGGGAGAGAAAUUUCAUAUUAAAUCAAUUUGAGAGUUCAAUUUUUUCUUCUUUUUUUGGUGGAAAUGUUUGCCUUUGAUCUACCGAGUGCUACUAAAUUAUGUUUUAUAUAUAUACGUGAAUUUUGUCUAUACAUAUGUGAAAAUUAUGUGUAUAAUACGUGAAUUUUGUCUGUAUUAUUAAAAAAUUUGUAAAAAACCAAGUGUAUUAAACAUGAAAUAUAUGUGCUUAUGUGUAUAACACAAGUAUUAAAGGAGAAAAUACUAAAUUCUUUAUACAGGUAAUAAAUUUGGAAAAAUAAAAAAUCAAAAGGGGAAAGCAGAGACUUAGGUAAUGGUCUAAUAGUAAUGGAUAAUAAUAUAAACUACUUUUACGAUAAAUGAAAAUCAGGGAAAUUUUUUUUUUAUAUAAAAAAAACUAUAAAAAAAUAAUAAUAAAAAAAGACCCUAGUAUGGCCGCGUGGUUAUCCUGAGGUUGGCUAUACUCAUUAAAUAUAAUAAUAUAUUUCAGGAGGACAGCCGCUCGGCUAUACUCUUUAAAUAUAAUAAUAUAUUUAACGAGUAUAGUCGUGCGGCUAUACUAUUUAAAAUUAAUAUAUUUCAGGAGUAUAGGUGCGCGACAAUACUAUUUUUUUAUUUUUUUAUUUAUUAAAAAAAAGGACAGUUGGAGCUUGAAGCUUCUCUUUUCCCGAGCAAUUUUGAAAUUUUGUGGCCCACUUCCAUUAGUUUAUACUUUAAAGUUAUUAAUUUGCUAGCUUGAACAUAUACAAAGUAGAUAUUGAAGGGGGAGAAAUUUCACGUUAAAUCAAUCUGAGAGUUCAAUUUUUUCUUUUUUCUUUUUUCAUGGGAAUGUUUACCUUUGAUCUACCUCAUUCUCUUGAGUGCUACUAAAUUAUGUCUAAUAUAUAUUAAUUUGAUCUACCUCAUUCUCUUGAGUGCUACUAAAUUAUGUCUAAUAUAUAUUAAUACGUGAAUUUUGUCUGUAUAAUAUGUGAAAAUUAGUGUGUAUAAUACAUGAAUUUUGUCUUCUUGUAAAAAAAACACGUGUGUUAAACAUGAAAAAUACAUACGUGUGUGUAUAACACAAGUAUUAAAGGAGAAAAUGCUAAAUUCUUUAUACAAGUAAUAAGUCUGAAAAAAUAAAAAAAAAUCAAAAGAGGACAUUAGAGACUCAUGUAAUGGCCUAAUAGUAAUGGAUAAUGCUCUAAACUACUCUUACGAUAAAUGAAAAUCGGGGAUUUUUUUUUAAGGACCCUAGUAUAGCCUCGCGGCUAUACGUUUUAAAAUAAUAUAUUUAAGGAGUAUAACCGCACGUCUAUACGCUUUAAUAAUAACAUAUUUCAUGAAUAUAGUCAUGUAGCUAUACUGUUUAUUUAUUUAUUUUAUUUUUUUAAAGACCCACCUAGAGAUUAUGCGAUUUCAAGUAGCCAAAGUGACACUUGGAGCUCAAAGCUUCUCUUUUCCAUAGCAUUUUCGAAAUUUUUUGGUCUACUCCAUUAGUUUAUACUUUGUAGCCAAAUUUACUAGCUCAUCUUUCAACAGUUGGUGAAAUGAUCUGUGUAUACUAACUAGGAUGUUAUAUUUCUAUUCAAAGGUUCUUAAAGGGAGCUUUAGGCAUUGAUCAACACUUCUACUCAACACCAUUUGAGAAAAAUAUACCUGUAAGUGCCCAAAGUUGUUAUCGUCAUAAUUAUUGCUAGAGUGAUUGUCUUGCAUUUCCUACUGAAAAUGGUAAGAUGGUACCUGUAACACUGGUUACAGAAAUAUGUGUGCACAAUGAACCUCAUCAGAGUUCCACUUCAUUCAUAUAAUAUUUUUGUAGAAGCUAAUAUGUCAGAACAAUGCAAGCCAAAAGCUGAUGAUAGAAGGUAAUAUAUAAAACAGGUUUUUCUUCUUCUUUUUUUUCAAGUAGGGGAAUGCUAGAAUCCCAAAGGAUGUAAACAAAUACAAUGGUGUCAUCACGUGCAGUAAGAACACAAUCUUUACAUCAAGUGAACAACUUUAAACAUAUGCUGGGAGGUAAAUAUUGGAACGAUGUUGUGUUCUGCUGGUCAGGAAAAAUUUCUUGAAGCAGGCCAAGGGAACAUUUACACUUCAGGAAUACUUUUAUCUUUUCCGUUGACAAUUUUGACAAUUUUGACUUUAUACCUAUCCCAACUCCAGCAACAAAUGCCUUAGGGCAGAAAAAUGACUCAAUUUUGACAAUUUCCACAAAUACCUGUACUCUUUUGAUUCUCCAACUUUAUAAUCUUCCUUACAAGUCUUGUGCAAUCACUAUGACUGUCUGGAAUAAAUGGCACCCACCCAUAUUCAAGAUUUGAUAAAUUUAUUCUAUCAAGGAACAGAAAUUCAUGUACAUGGUUGGGCAGCCAAAACUGUUUGCUGCAAGAACCUACGAAAAAGCUUGAUUGAAUGAGUUUAAUUUGACAGAUUUCAGUUGCAAAGAUCAAGCACAUUUGGAUCCCUGUGUGAUAAGUCCAUGUUAUAUAAGCGUUGGGUUACACAGCUCCAAGUAUGAGGAUUUCAAAAGAGCAACAUUCAAGUCGCCAUUCUCUUACGUGAGGUGAUAAGUUAGACUUUCAGCUACCAGAAUGCCUUCAUGCAUUGUUGAAACACAUGAAAUUGCGUCUGUAGGAGCGACGUCAAAGGCAGGGCCAACAGCUUGGUUCCUUAAGCACCAAUAAGCUAGGAGUCACAACUAAAAUUUGUCAAUCAAACUCCGACUCCAUAAUGUAGACGUCAGGGAACAUUGUCUGUCAUCUGCAUAAAUUCCAUGCAUUGCAUCAAGAGAGUUAGCAAGAAGCUCAGCCUUUUGAACUAAUCCAACUGCAACCGCUUAUCUUUUUAAUUCCCUGCUCUUCCAUUUUGUCCCUCACAGAAGAAACAUCAAACCAGCAGUCCGCUGCCGCAUAGAUGUUGGACAAUAGCACAUAAUUACCAGGAUUUAGGGGUUCAAUCUCAAAAAGUCGAUUAGCAACCAAUUCUCCUAACUCUAUAUUGCCAUUUAGCUUACAGGCUCCAAGUAGUGCACCCCAAGCACCAGCAUGAGGCUCCAUAGGCAUUGAUUUUAGAAGAUCAUAAGCUGCAUUUAACCGUCCCAACCGGCUAAGAAGAUCAACCAUACAUGCAUAAUGAUCAGGAGAGGGUGUCAAAUGGUACUUACGUCUCAUUGAUUCAAAGAAGUGCCAACCCUCCUCAACGAGCCCUGCCCGGCUACAGGCUGUCAGGAUGACUGUAAAAGCAACCUCAUCCGGAGCCAAACCUUCAUUUAACAUCUUAUUGAAGAGGGCAACAGCUUGAUUCCCUCGACCAUGAACCGACAACCCUUGUAUCAUAGAACAAUAUGAAAUCAUGUCCUGUUUAGGCAUCGCUUCGAACAAACUUGUUGCUCUUUCGAUAUUACCACACUUUGCAUUCAUGUCAAUUAGAGCCGCACGAACAUGAUCCUGACGAACGUCAAUUGAGCUCUGGCUCAGGUAAGAAUCAACCCAUUUGGCCACUUGCAAGCAACCCACUUGGGAACAAGCUGACAUCAAGCUCACCAUUAUAAACUCAUCAGGCUUAACAUUCCUCGUACUCAUUUCAAGAAAUAUCUUCAAAGCCUCGUUGGGUUGACCAUUUUGUGCAUACCCAGAUAUCAAUGCCGACCACGCAACAAUAUCUUUGUUAGGGGCUUGGUCAAACAAAAACCUUGCAGACGCCAUAUCUCCGUACUUGGCAUAUCCAUCAAUCAUCGUAGUAAAAGAAACCACAUUCUUCUCAGGCAUCUGAUCAAAGAUCCUCCUAGCAUUUGUCAAAUCACCCAAUUUCACAAACCCACUGAUUAUCACAUUCCACGACACCACAUUUCUCUGCGGCAUCUGAUCAAACAGCCUGCGGGCCUCGUCCAAGUCCCCAACACUGGCAUACCCAACAACCAUAGCUGUCCAAGAAACUACAUUUCUCUCAGACAUUCCAUAAAACACCUUGCGAGCGCACAAAAUCUCCCUACAUUUUCCAUACAAGUCAAUCAAACUGGUGCUCACAAACACAUCCCCAUCAACCCCACACCUCACAGCAGACCCAUGUAUUGCCUUGCCUUCCCAGACCUUCGCCUCACUCGCGCAGGCCUUAACGAGAGACGGGUACGUAUACCUAUCGGGAACACCCUCCUCUCUCUUCAUCCGAACAAAGAGGCCAACAGUAUCGGCAAAACUCGACCUUUCGCAGUACCCUUUGAUCAAAGUGUUCCAGAGAAAGGUACUGGGACUGUGAACGCUGUCGAAGAUGGCGGUGGAGUAAGAGAGGGAAGAGAGAGUGUUGCAGAGGCAAAUGAACUGGGUUAUGAGGAAGCAGUCUUGCUCUAAACCCUUGUGUAUAAUCUGCGCAUGAACUUGUUGUAGAUGGUAUUGGGUUUUACAGGCUUUGAGCAAAGUCGCGAUUGAGGCUAAAAACGAACUGGGCAAGCUAUUGGGUGAAGCUAACGAUGAGCAGGAGCGGAUGGUAGGCAUGGGAUUGAAAAAAGGUUCGUGCUUUGCUUUGCAUGGCUUUGAAAUCUAUUCUUCUUCGUUUGGAUUUUCAUCGCACAGACACAGCUAUCUCCGCUCUCUGUUAAGAUCCUUGUGCCGACAAGCAAGCAAAUAAAUUCUUGAAAAAUCAGAGAAUGAAAUUGCCAGCAGCUGCAUGCUUCGUGGCUUUAGGGUUCAGGGUUUAGGGCUAUGGUGGCAGCCUCGUGUGACGGCGUUCGUUUGCUUUUGGCGGUGAUGAGAGGUUGGCACAGAUUCAACAGUCGGGGACGGAGAGAAUGAUGAGCUCCAGCUAUACUAUUUUUUUUUUUAAAUCAAAAAUCAAAAAAUCAAAAAAAACCUUGUAUAGCCGAGCGGCUAGACUAUUUAUAUUAAAAAAUACCCUCCUCGCGAUUAGGCGCCCACGUGUCAAAAUACGUAUAGCCGUGCGGCUAUACUAUUUUUUUAAAAAUAAGAACAACCUGGUAUAGCCGGGCGGCUAUACUAAUAUAUUAAAAAGCAACUCAAAAUAGUAUAGCCGCGCGGCUAUACUAUUGCCACGGUCGAAAUCAGUAUAGCCGCCCGGCUAUACUACUUCUAAAAAAAUCAAAAAGGAGUAUAGCCGCGCGGCUAUACUAUGAGGAUAGCGCGCCCACGUCGAAAUUCGUAUAGCCGCGCGGCUAUACUAUUUUUAAAACAAAAAAACAAGUACAGUCGCGCAGACACAGCCUUCUCUGCUGUAUGUCAAGAUCCUUGUGAAGACAAUGUCGUUUUUCUCUCUUUUCCGUAUUUUCUCACAAGCAAGCAAAUAAAUUCUUGAAAAAUCAGAGAAGGAAAUUACCAGCAGCGGCGUGCUUCGUGCCUAUAGUGGCAGCCUCGUGUGACGGCGUUCGAAUGUUUGCUUUUGGCGGUGAUGAGAGGUUGGCACAGAUUCAACAGUUGGGCACGGAGAGGAUGAUGAGCUCCAUCUAUUUCUCAGCAGAAAUUAUAAACCCAAAUUCAGCGAGAGAGUUUGAGCUGUCUCUGAAGAACCCAAAUCAAAAUCAAGAGAAAGCAAAAGCCAAUUCUCAGUAGUGAAGGGUUGAUUUGAAUUUGUUAAGAAGGAUGAUGGCCAGCGCUACGCUUGAGAAAUCCAAACUGAGAGGAAACCCAAAAAAUAAAAAUAAAAAAUAAACCCGAGAGAGAAAGGAAACGUUUGACUGAGAAGGUUUAGGGGGUUUGGGUGAAGUUAGGAAGGGGAAGGGUAACUCUCACACAGGCGUAUAUUUGGAUCCGUGAAGACUUGGGAGCACGACUUUUAUCCAUGACGACUUUUAGGAGCACAACAAAAGUCGGGUCAAUCCAAACCCCCAUUGAAUAUAAGAGAUUUAGAAGCAAGUACAUUAGCUAGUGAUUGGGGUCUAUCCUCAAUUAAAACACUAAAAAUGUGUUGCCUGUUUACAUUCACAAUACGCAUGAUUAGCUAUACCGACUCUGUUUUGUAGUUUUCAAUUAAAUUCUUUACAUGAAAUGCACAAUUCUAUAUGGUACAUAAACAAGCCAACGACAAGUAUGAUUCAAACAAACAAUUACACAAUUCUAUAGUGAUUUCAGUAACUGUAACUUUUAAUAUCUCAUCCAGACUGAAGAUUGUACAUGAUGGACAAAUGCUUGGACAGUUCAAAAAGUUCAAAGUCAAGAGUUUGGUUAUAAGUAGAUCCAACCUACUGGGUGUAACUAUUUUAUUUUAUUUUUGUGAAAGUGUAAUUUUAAUGGACAGCAUUGCAUUAUAGAUUUCUACUGCCCAUAAAAACAGCAAUAUUAAGUAAGCUCUUGAAGUCGAAUUGUGGCGGUAAAAGCAGGGGAGAAAUGCCGGCUAAUUUACGACAAAUACUUCUUGAACCACACACCAAUAUUCAGAAAGCUCUCAAAGUCCGAUUGUGGCCUGCAGACAGGAGUUGGAAUCAGAUGGAAUUGAAACCCAAGUAUCAAAUUUUAUGAACUUGAUUGUACUAGUGACCGAGAGACUACUACAACGCAGAAGCAAGUUUGCCUCAUGUGUUUACUUUACCUCUCAAUGGCAUGAGUAUCAUUAGGAAACACAAUGACUUUGACAGGAACUCCUCUCUCUUUCAAUGCCCGAGCAUACUACAAACAAUAAACAUCUAGAUCACUUUUCUAAUUACAUAUCAUUACAAUUAUGUAACUGUGUAUGCAUCAAAUUCUUCCCACCCACUUGGGGGACAAAGGAAAUCACUUUAAAAGAAAAAAAUGAGUUUAAAAAUAAAUUUCUAGAUUCCAAUUGUUUGCGUAUUUUAUGUUUCAUUCACUUUCUACUGCAAUGCAGCCAAGAAGAAUUAUUAUCCAAGCACUUGUUAUUGUUGUAAAACCAUUUAAAUAGAAUAAAGUGUUCAAUGUGUAGUUCAUUAGGAAGGGAACACAUUAGCUUACUUGCAACCCAGUAGAAACUGGAACACGAAGAUCCUGAGCACCCAAAAGAAAAAGGGUGGGUGUUUUGACCUGCAGAGAGCAUCAAAAAUCAAAAAGUUAGAAAUAGCAAACUCCUAGAUAAUAUCGUUAUAAAUAUUAGCUGUUUUUGGAAAAGGAAAAUUAAUUUCAUGUUUCACGUUUCUCGACAAAAUGUUAAUUUUAUAUAUAUAUUACCGAAAACUUCAACCCAGUGGAGUAACAUAAAAAUCUCAGUACUGGUCCCAGUAAAGUGGUCAUAGGAGGGAAUAUCUAGAUACAAUCUUAACCCUUGGAUGGAUUCGCUUGAAUUAGCCACUCUCAAGAGUCAAGAAUUGAACUUGCACACAGAUGUAUUUGACAACAUGACAUGUACCAACUCUUUCCCAUUUCUUCACUCUUUUCUGUCUCUGUUUUUUACUUCAAUUAAUAUUUUUCUUCACAUCUUGCGGUGACAAUACACAUCUUGCCUGUGCAAAUGGCAAAUAUCAUGCUACUCUGCUUUUCCAAAGUCAAUGCACGGUUGCAAAUUGCAGCUAUGAUAUCCCUGUAGUUGCUUAAAAUGUGCAAGUGCAUGCAGUUAAUCAAUGUUGGGAGCUCUGUUAUCUUGAGAUUGUUUGGUUUUAAAUGUUUCUGUAGAUUUUCCGUCUAUUCCAAUAUACUUCUAGUAAAAGCUUCAAAAUCCAGAGUACGAUCAUAAGAUCGUAAUAUGAAAGAAGCCUAAACAAAGCAUAUACCUUCGAGACAUGUGCAAUAGGAGAUUUGCUCUGGAAGAGAGUCAGAUGCUCAGCAGAAGGUGCAUCUGUGAAGCUAUUUUUACCCUCACUUCCAUAGGCCUCGACAUAGAUCCAAUCAGGGAUGUCUGUUGUACCCACCAUUAAUGCGAGGUUACAAACAGGAUUCCUAGCUGCUGCCGCAACAAAUUUAUCUGGUGCCUGCAGCAUUUCAGUUACAAUAUUAUUGAAUUCUUAAGCACGCCUAAAACUACAUGUACUAUCCACCGUUUAGAGCAUUCAUCUACCAACCUUGCAUAAGUUAGAUGCUUUAAAAAUAAAAAUGAAAACUUUACGCAUGAAAGCCCCAAACCACCAGUCUAUGUACACAAAUAAGCAGCUGUCCAAAAGUUGAACCACCAACUAGUGGUAUCCAGGACUUGGAAUGCAUAAUAAUAACAAGAUAGAAUACACAUGAAGAUAGUCUGCGUGUCUGUGCAUUGUACAUUAAAGGCACAUAGUCAAGCUUUUUGAUAAACUACCACACCUGGCCAAUCAAGUGGGUUGUGAGAAAGCCACCAUGAGAACCACCAAGAACUGCAAGUUUUGAUGGACUGGCAAGGCCCAAGUCAAUUACAUGAUCUAUAGCCACCAGUACAUCAUUCACGUCCUGUAGAGAAGCAACUAAGAGAUUAGGGUCCAGAAAUACCAUGUACACAAAGUAAAUAAUAGUUCUAUAGGUGCAUUAUUAAAGUAAAUGCUUAAAUUACAUAAGUAUAUACAUAUGUGUUUUGUGUAUGAUACUACAUUAGUAUAAAAUGGCAGCGCAUAGGGCACAAAGCCACACAAGCACACAGGUGGUAUAGAGUAUGUACCCCAAAGGCAUAAUACCAGCUAGUAUAACAAAAGUAAGAAUGCUAAAAAAACAAAUUAGAAGUAAAUAUGUAUAAGUAAGCACCUGGGACCCAACUUUCCCUAGAAGAGACUGAAGUGCUUCUUCACCAAAGCCCAGUGAACCUCUGAGAUAAACUAAUAUGUCAGAACAAUGCAAGCCAAAAGCUGAUGAUAGAAGCUAAAUAUAAAACAGGCUUCUUUUUUUCAAGUAGGGGAUGCUAGAAUCCCAAAGGAUGAAAAACAAAUUCAAAGGUGUUGUCAUGUGCAGUAAGAAUACAAUCGAUACAUCAGGUUAACAACUUUAGUUUAAACAGAUAUGCUACGAGGUAAAUAUUGCAACACUGUUGUGUUAUAUCCUAAGAAAAAUCAGAAUUAACGGGAAAAGGGAGAAUCAUAACUUACCUAUAAUUUACAAUGAACAAAUUGAACCCAAUUGAAGAGAGAAAUGCUAAAGACUUUGAAAAGCUUGAUAAUGAAACAGAAUGCGGGCCUCCAUGAAGAAUUACAAUUAAUGGAUCAAAUGGAUCAUUUCUUUUAGUUUUGGAAGACACGAAUAUAGCUUCAAUUGGUUUGGCAGCACCUGAAAGGUUUUAAGCAUAUACAGGACGUCAAAAUCAACUAUCUUUUGAGACACAAGAAAGUGAUUUUGUUUAUAAUACCUUUUGUUACGCUAUCAGAAACAUCCCUGAGGGGAAUCUUCAUUAUACUGAAUUGAAGAGAUGAGAGCAAAGAUUUAACCUGUAGCAAGGAGAAACUUGAGUAAACAGAUGUAAAGUUUGAAGAUAAUCUUGAUAGUAGAAAUAUUUGGCUUUGGAAAAGCGAAUUGACAGACCUUCUCAGAACAUUCAUUUGUGGGGCUUGGUACAUUUAGCCAACUCCAUGCGGUACUUUUACUUUCCUUAUCAACAAGAUAACCAUACUUGAUAUGAGGUACAUCUACUGGACUGCUAGACACUUCAGAAAUGAAACAAGAAGUGAAUUUUUUUAUAUUUCAGUAUAAUUGUCUGAGAAGUUAUCAGUAAAAAAUGGUAGUUUAUGUUACCAGCAACGAUAUUGUCCCCAUCCAGUGUCAGAACACUCCAUGAUGAAUUUGAAUCAGUAGGGCUGAUACGUAUUACUUCUCCACUGUAAUUUCAUAAAUCUCAUUAGUAAAUUAUAAAAACAAGGUAACAAAGGUAUUCAAAUACAAGAGAGAAUAUGACAGAUCAUUACAGUUACCUCAACACAUUCACAGAAAGUAUUACUUGACAGCUGCCCCAUAUGGAAGUUAUGAUCAUCGUGCAUCCAUCCGAAAGCCAUGGAUUACUAAGGAAACUUGACCAGUAAAGCCCAGGGAAGGAACCAUCCUCAGCACACAUUACAACGGGAACCUUCAAACAAGAAGUGUAUUAAGUGUAGUUAUACAGGGAGGGAGAGAGAUAAAGAGAGAAACUCUCAUACAAAAUGUUCUAAAUCUUCUAUUAUUAUGUUGUGAAAUAUCAACUUCGUGACACUAAUACCUUUUGUCAAAUAUAAAUUAACCAAGAGUUCAAUGUUUCCCCUCCCUUUUUUUUUUUUCAGAAAGGUACAUUUUACAUGAUCAUAUAAAAAUUUCACCAAUGAAGCAUCAAUGGGAGACUAUCCAUGUACAUACGUAUCAUGCACCAAAAAGAGAGAGAGAGAGAGAGAGAGAGAGAGAGAGAGAACAAGCCGAGGAUAACAGCAUCAAAUUCCAAAUACAACACAACAUACCACUGGUAUAUAGUAGCAACGCAGAACAUUCUUGUCUAAGCAAAAGCAAAAAAGAUCAGAGCAAGACAUAAACCGUGAUUUUUAAUUCUAAUAAUUCUGGAAUGUGAGCUGUAUAAGUUUUCAUCUUUACAAGGAAAACACUUAAUGCUCAUAUCCACAUGCUAACAAAUUAAUCUUUGUUCACAAUUUACUUUCACAAGGAAUCAAGUCAAGAAUAGAACGCGCAUAAAAAGAAAGAUUAUUAUACUCGAAUAAAAAAGAGACAAGUUGAAGAGCUCACCACAUCAACAAUUUUUGCAGAUGAGGAUAGCAGUCCAUCAAUUGGCCAAUCUAUUCUGUGAAGAGAAUCUGUUGCAGAAUGUGCCCCAGAGUCCACAGAACUUCUUGCAGAUAAAAACGAAAGGAAUUUUCCAUCUGGGCUGGCAAAAUUACAUUCAUUUAUGCUUCAGAUACAAUCAGCCAUCUAGUAGAUAAUGUUUGAAACAAUCAGCAAUCUAUUAAAUAACGUAUGAAAAAUCAGCAAAAUUUCAAUUCUGCUGUUCAUAAAACUCCUGUUGACAUUAACAUAUCAAUUUCAGUUUUGAAACUGAAAGAAAGGCAACGAGUUCCAAAAAAUUAAUUUCCAGUUCUAUCUAGAGUAGCACUUCAAGCGGAAAUGUCCUUGACAUGAAGAAAACAUAGAACAAUUCUCUAAAAUCUAAAAAAGCAUUCCACGUAAGAUAUAUCACAGACUAAAUUUAAGUAACACAUGAGGUUACAGACCCCUGUAAAGGGUACACAAAGACAGAACUAAGUGCCUAUGGGGAAAAACACAAUACCUGAACCGUGGAUAGAAAGCACUACUUAUGCUUUGAGUUAGAUUUACCACAGGAACAUCUUCAGUUGAAUUAUCUCUGGAACAGUUAAAGAAAUUGAUAGUUAUAUGAUAUAACUAAGCACAAUGAAUUCCCUAAACCAUUGACAUGAAUGAGGGUCCAAAAAAAGAGACAUAAGCAUUGCACAAAGCAACUCACUUGAGUUCAGGUCCAUCAGCUUCUGAUUCAAAAUUUGGUGCCCUAACCGCAUACAAGGCACAGGGCCUAUUAAAGCAGUACUUGAUACCGAGCUUUCUGGUACCUUCUGACCACCCAACAAAAACCAAAUAUUGAUGUGAACCUCUAACUGGUGGCGCCCACACAACUUGACCAACACUCAAAGACUUUUCAAUUCCUUUAACAGCUUGUGCCUCUCCACUGUACAUCAUGGGAUAUUUUAAUAAGUUUGACAUCCUAAGAAAAAAUCUCCUUAAUUUUAAUCCUGUAUGAUAAAAAGUAAACCAAUUGUACAAGACCUGUUAAUGUUGAUGACAAAAAGUGCAGGCUGCCUUUUUCCAGCAUAGGUUUCCCCCCAUUCCUCCUUCCAAUCCCCUUGACCUUUCCAGUUACCAAAGUCCUUUUCUGUGGAGCUACCUUUCUUGUAGCCCUGGCCUGUAAAUGUGGGCUUGGAGGGAGAUGGUUCCUCAGCAACAUAAGCAACAAGAGUUUCAUCAGAGUUCCAAGAAAUUCCCUGAAACCUGUAUAAUUGAAAGUUUAAUCUCUUCUAUGUUUAAAGAAAAUAUAGAUAAUUGAAAGGAGUAACGCUCAAAAUUGAGGUGCACCUCCACUACUAAUCACUAUAGACAUAGGCAAGUGUCUAGCACACAAUGCUAACAUCAAAUAUCCUAUAAAGCGAUCAUCAGAAAUAUUACAUUCACAUGAUUUAUUACCAUCCAUCAGCGUAUACUGAGCCAUGAACAGAUUGGGGGAUGUGGAAUUCUUUUUCCACUUGAGCUCGGCCCCAAAUUUCAAAUUGACAGGGAGAUUCAUUUUCAGGAUUGCGUACUACAAGAAGCUUUGCGCCAGACGGAGAUGGAACAAUUACAGAGACUCCCGUCAUCUCAACAGGAAAUGGGGCCCAUUGGAAGUUUACAGAAUUGUUACUUUCUCUUGAAAUAUGAGAGGAUAGAAUGAAUUUCUUCCUCUUGUUUGCCAAAAGAUUUGGUUGACUAAUUGAAAACAUUGCCUGGGAGCCAAUUCCUAUAACAAAGUUUAAUGUACAAAUAUCUUCAUCAGAAAUGGGUUUUUGGCUUUCAAUUGGAGGGAAGGAACAUAAAAUUUUAUAAACACACACACACACACACACACACACACACACACACACACACAUAUAUAUAUAUUUGAAGGAAUUUGUAUUCAUAUAUUGAUAUGUCCAUACGUAUGUAUUAUAUGUAUGUAUAAGGACAUGCAUGUUCGAAAAUGAGAAAUCAUACCACUGUCAGAUUUAAAAAUCCAUGCCUUGUCAAUGCUGGAAAUGCUAGUGAAUUCUUGAAGUAACUUAGACUGCGAAGCAUAUUCUUCCUCAGUUGUUGCAUCUAUCCCCAGAGGUAGCUCCUUUAAUGGACCAGCUUUAGAUCCGUCCAUGGCUAAAAAUGUUGACAAUCUUUUACUACAGAGUAGAUUGCGAUGAAGAUAUUGUUAAUACAUGAAAUCAAAAGGGGUAAUGAAAGUACAUAGAUAAUCAACAAGUUCUGGAAAAAGGGGGUUGGUGGGAGAGUCUAACACAUAAGAUGAAAAGAACUGAAAAUGGCAUCUAAAAGAAAAUAUGUUUUCUUGUUUUUCUUUAAUGAUGCAAUGAGAAUUAGCAUGUCAUUCUUUCUUCAACAGAAUAUAGAAGAUCCACAUUCCAACAACAGAAACAAGUACUUUUGCAGUUGAUAACUUUAAGGUCGCCUUGUGCAAACAGUUAACCAGAAUUCGAAAGCAGUAUCAAGAUUAAGGGCCCUCAUGGUUCUCAAAUAACUAAAUAUAAUGGAAAGUAGAACAAAUCGCUAAAAUUUAAUCCCACAAAAAAAUUUCAUAUCCAUCACCAUGAUUCCAUUUAGUAAGGAUUUAGUAGCAAAUUUGAGCAAUAUGGUUUUAUUGGAAUUCUGUUACGAACUUGAAAUUUAGAAUUGCUCAGUUAUGCCCAGAACCAAUUAUCCUUUUUGAGAUGUUGGUAUUGAGAAUCUAAUUCCAAAUGUGCUAAAGGCGGCUCCUCCAUCGAUCUAGAGACAAUAUGCUACACAUAAUCUUGAAAAAGGGAAAAUGGUAAUCCAAAGUAACAAUCAAAAACAUUAUACAUUACUUCAUGAUUUCAAAGGAACGUGUAACUCAAAGAUUUCCACACUACCCAACAAAAAAAAAAUGAAGACCAGAACAAGCAAUAUGAAUCAAAGUACUGAGCUGAGAGAGAUAAAGAAGGAAAAUAAGAAAUAACAGCUACCAUCUAAGCAGUUCAGCACAAAAACUAGAUUCAAUGACUAAAAGUCAACAGAAUUGAAGUAAGAUGAGCAUAGAGGAAAUAAAAAAAAAGGAGGGCGAAAGAGAGAGCUCACGUAGAGAAAAAAUCGCGAAAGGGUCUCCAAGUGAGAAGAAGAGUGGGAGGGUGAGAUAAAAUAGGAGGGGGAGAAGGGUAUCUGGGACAAAGCAAGUUGACGCACCAAUCCGAGGUGGUUUUGCUCAACAAUGCACUGGCCAUUCGUAGGCAUUAUUCUACGGCUAAGGUAAGGUUGGGCUGUUUUAGGAUGUCCAUGCUCAAGCCUCAAGGCUAAGCCACUGUAUUGUGAUAAUUUUUGUUGGGUUCACCCAAUUCCAAUCUUUUAUUUGGGUUCACCAUUUAUUGAGAAAUGUAGCUACAUUUCCCUCUUACAUUCUUCAUUCAUCUUGUGCUACGUAUAUUCUACUCAUGCAUAGAUCUAUGUAUUUAGAAAUUGUUUAGGAUUGCUUUUUUGGGCCAAAAAUUAGCUUUACUUAUUUAAGGUGUUUGGUAAAAAUAAAAUAUCAUGAUUAUUUUAAAAGUAAUAGUUUCUUGACAACAACCUUUCAAAACUCCUUCCACAAGAAGCAGAUAAGAGUCUUUAAUGAAUAUUUUUCAAUUCUUAUAAUACCAUCAUUAAUUUUUAAAAGUGACAUCGUCUAACACCACCACCACCACCAUCGGCUCCACCUCUAUCACCACCACUACCACCUCACUUCCACCUUCAUCACCACCACCCACAAUCAACCCCUCCACCACCACCACUACCCUCCACUUCCAUUUCCACCACCACAUCCACAUCCACCUCCACCUCUACCACCACCACCACCUCUACCACUACCACUACCACUACAACUACCACCACCCAAAAAAAACCACGACAUCUAUUUUCACCACNNNNNNNNNNNNNNNNNNNNNNNNNNNNNNNNNNNNNNNNNNNNNNNNNNNNNNNNNNNNNNNNNNNNNNNNNNNNNNNNNNNNNNNNNNNNNNNNNNNNCUCACCACCACGUCCACCUCCACCACCACCACCACCACAUAGUUAGCACAUAACACUUUCAACAUCAUGUCCAUUUUAGUCAUUAUUUACAGUUAUAAUAGUUUUAUAUUAAAAUUGACCAAACGAUUUUUACACUGUUUUUUAUAUUAACAACACUUUAAGAAUAUUGUUUACUAAACAUGAAACUGCUUUACUUUACAGUGGAUUAUUUUUAAAGCACGACAGAAGUAACUUUUUAAAAAAGUGAUAACAAUCCCAAACUGGGCCUUAAUGUGUUCAGAAAAAGUUUAUUCUAUUUACAAGCAAAAUAUUAGUACUUUGUAUUAAAUACAUAUAUUUAUUUAUAAAUAAAAUACACAUGACACAAAAUGAACGAAUACGACAAAAAAGGGAAAGUAAAAUGAAAGGUAACUAGCACUCCUAUUUGAACAUAUGCAUGCAACUUGAAUAUAGCUUUGUGUUGUAAACCAAAUGUGAGAUGUGAACCAAAUAAAUAGGCUUGUCCCGUAAUCUGGGCAAAUGGCUAGUAAACUUUAUUAGCAUUACUCUAUUAAAGUCCCACAAUGUUUUCCCUCAAACACUUUAUUUUGAGAAAUCCCUUAAUUGAAAGUUUUUGUGCACAUGUACUUUAUACAAGAGAUACUUGUGUGGAGAAAAUGGUAACACGCCCUUGAGUGUGGUGGUUAACAUUCUUUGCAACAUAAUCACUUGAAUUAUAACUUAUGAGUGAAUAUAAAAUACUAUGAUAGUACGGUCACGUUAUAUAUUUUGUACAUGUAUUAUAAUAUAAGUGGAUAUUUAUUGAUACUAUUCCCUAAAUUGAGAGGAGAGAAAAUAAACCAUAUCGUCCACCCAUAUUAUAACACAUAUACAAAAUAUACCGUAUGACCAUACUAUUACUAACAUAGUAUAUUCUAUAAUUUCUCAUAACUUAUAAGCUAAUUGCAGUACAAUUUUUAAUAUGAGUUUGUCAUUUAAAAAUAAGGAAUAAAAAAAACAUUGUUGGACUAGAGCACUACUCAAAUAGUCACCCAAUGCAUGGGCCACAAGGCAAAGCAAACCCAUAUACGGUCCAACAAGCACAUACACAUAAAUCAUGAUCAGACUACCUCCUGUGACGCAAACUCUGGAAAGACCAACAGAGAGAGCCACUGUGCACGCAUAUCUUCCUCAAUACGUGGCAAAAUACAAUUAGUCAUUCUCAAGGUUUAAAGAUCACCGCAAGUGACCGUAACAAACCUUACCAUUGCAGAGAAGAAGCGCGCAAUUGAACCUCACACAACGGCCACAAAAUCGAAGAUAAACCAGAAAUGGCGGUUUGCUCCUCCCUCGCGGUCGUCUGCCCCUGCGCUGUGCCCAAACUCAGCUCCAAGCUAUCGAAAACUCGGGUUAGGGUUUCCUCUGGUGAUCAGAGUUUCACAACCUCCAAAUUGUACGGAAACUUGGGGAAGAAAAGGCUCACUAGGUUGAAUGCAGCUGGGUUCGCGGAGAUUGAGCCUGAUCUCAACGAAGACCCCCAUGAUCGUUGGGAGACUAACAGUAUCAGCAUGGUACAAACAUUCACAGACUAUAUAUAUAUAUAAUUAGAUGAAUUUAUCUUGAUUGAUGAUUAAUUAAGAAUUCAAAUGUGGUUUAUUUUUCAGGAAGAUUUUAAGUUCGGUGAGUAUGAUGGGCACCACACUUACCACGAAGGCGAGGACAAAGGUACCCUUACUUUAAUUUUGUAUAUAAAAAAGCAGUUGAACUUGACAAUAGCAUAGUUAUGAAAUCAUGAGUAACAUUCCUUUUAGCUAGCACUUAGGCCGGGAGUGUGACACGUUAUGUUGCUAAACUUUGAAUUAGAACCGCAUCGGAUAUGAUUUCUUCUAAUCGAUGUUUACCAGUGCAGUGAUGUAACAUAUUAGCUUGUUGGAUAAAAGAACAUUUAAGAGUAUAUGGUGUUUUUGUUAUGAUUGACAAAUAUGUUUUGGUCUUUUUGUACUAAAAACGUAAUGUUAACAAGAUUUUAAGGACUUUACAAGGGAUGGUAAUUAAAUUUGCAGUGUUUUCCCCCUCUAGAGCCAGUUAUAGAGAAUAUUAGACAACCAAAACACAGUAGUAUGCAAGAGGUUAUUGAGCAAUAACAUCUAAGGAGUCAUUUUAGAGCUAUGAGUUUGGUACAAUUUUCCCUCCUUAUGGUUGAGAUUCUCACAAACAGCUAUCUCUCUGAUCCAGGAACUUUUUGGGGAUCCAUAGCAGAAGACAUUGAAGCAGUAGAAACCCCUACGGGUUUUCAGGGUAUAACAACUCACAGCCGAAUUUUGAUAAAUCACUAGCUUACAUUACAAUGAACAUCAUCUGGUUUGAUUGUUUUGGCAGGUCUUAUAUCAUGGCUUUUUCUCCCUGCAAUUGCUACUGGGAUGUUUCUCCACGUACCGGUAAUGCCACUUUUAGAUGUGACAUAUAUGAAGGAUGGAGUCAUUUAGGCCAUCUAAAUAUGAUGUUUUUGCUCAUCGUCAAUGGGAAAUCUUAUGCAAUUACUUUGUUUUUCAGGGGGAGUACUUAUACAUCGGAGCCGGUCUGUUUACGAUUGUAUUUUGCAUCAUUGAGAUGGAUAAGCCAGAUAAACCCCACAACUUUGAGCCUCAGAUAUACAACAUGGAGAGGGGAGCUCGUGACAAGUUGAUUGCUGACUACAAUACCAUGAACAUUUGGGAUUUCAAUGAGAAAUAUGGAGAUCUAUGGGAUUUCACUGUGACUGUGAAGAAGGAAGAUAUAAUGAAGAGAUAAUUGAUGUUCUGUAAAUUCCACCAUAAUGGGAAUUCUCAACCUACUUGUGGAUGAAAGGUAUAGCUAAUUUUCUAAGGCCUCUUUUAAUUCUCUAUGUUGUCCUUUCUUUCUGCAUUGUCCUUUUGACUUCCUUGUUUAUAUAUUAGGCGUUGUAAUUGUAAAUUCAGAAGCCAAUGAGAACACAUAAUUUUAUUAGAUUUUCUUGGAUGGUGUACAAAUUACAUACGAUAUGCAGCAUGUUCCUAUUUGUCAGCUCUGCUUCUCCUUAAGAAUAAGAACCCAUCUGUCAGUCGAAAUAGGAAUGUUUGAUUUGGCCGGUAAAUUUGAAAAUAUCCAAGUGACACAAUCAAAUAUUGCUGCUCAUAUGGUGCAUGUUGUCCUCUUCCAAUUAAAAUGGACAAGACUUUUGGUCAUUGUUUGGUGGGUUGAGACUGAAAUUUUUAAAUUGGACAAUAAUCCAAUAUAUUGUGUUUUAUAAGUCUCACCUAAAUGAGUGGAAUUCAUGAAAAUUAGUUUGCACUCAACUUCAAUCCAAUCCAAUCCAAUUCGGGCACGACUUAGUGUCAUGGUAAAAGUGUUUUUUUUUUUUUAAAAAAAAACUGAAGUGUUGCAUUCAAGGUCUAAAAUAUCGAGAGUUUCGGAAAUAUCGGUGGUCUAAAAACACAGAUAUAUCGAUGGAAAUAACGAGGAAAUAUUGAUACCGAUAAAAAUUGAAUAAAAAUCAAGGAAAUUGUGAGAAAAACUUGGAAAUUUUUAUUGAAACUUUAGAGGAUGUUUACUUAGGGCCAGUUUGGUAUUACUGUGCUAUGAAAAUAAUUGCUGUGAGAUUUGCUGUGAGAAAAAUCAGUUGUGAGAGAAAGCAAUUUGGCGUUUGGUAAAAUUUUUGUUGAAAGUGUUGUUGAUAUUGAUUUUACGCAUAAUCAGAAAAUGAUUGUGCAUAAUCAUUAAACCCAGUGCCUCUUUGAAACUGAUUCCUGCAUAAUUAAAAAAUGAAAGCACCUCAUUAGCUGCUUUCCCUUAUAGUUUUCUCUCACAGUAAUUUUUAAUAAUAAGUGAUUUUCUCACAGUUUACCAAACGGGACUCCUCAGUCCAACUCAAAUCCACUAUAGAACGAUGAUUACAAGAAGUACUCACACACUUAUCCUAGACUCAUUCUAGAUAAUGUUUACCGACUUCUUCGUAACUCAACUUCUGUCACGGGAUGAUCUUCGACACUCCUUAUGUUGAAAGCAAUACUGGCCACGAUUGCUUCAAGCUCGCCGGAGGAAAACCGCCACCACGGUCUUGGUGCACUCAACCGUAUGAGUCACCGACAUGCAUAUGAAUGCAAUAUGAAUGAUUAAAGUGUUUGAUAAAUCACCAAGUAAACAUGGAACACUUGAUGAUUUAUCUCAAAUAUGUGCACAACAGCUUUUUGCUUAAGAAUUCUAUAUGCUCAACCCAAUAUCAAAAACUGUAUAAAAACCAAAGAGAUGCAAGCUGCUUUUAUUCAAAGCUUCCAAUACCUAGUCAGAUGGCAGCACACAAGUACCAAACCCACUUCAAUUAUAACUAUGAACUUUUAGCUUAAUUUGGACUCUUAUGAAGACCACAAUUGGUUUUCCAACAAGAAUAUUAGUUCAAUAAGGAUUCUUAUUGAAAAACGUCAACCAAUCAAUUUUUAAUAGAAAAACAAUAUCUAUUAAAACAAUAUCUAUUAAAACAAAAAACUCAAACUAGGAAUCCUAUAAUGAAUGCAUGAUUAUGUCAUGAUUUACCUGAAAUUAAGUUUCUCAUAUCGGUCAAGUCAAGCCUUGGAUGUAUGGGAUUGAAUGAGUUGUGCCAAAACGUCCAGUAACAAUUCUUCACACACUAAUUUUCAACCUAUGCUAGAGUCUAGGAAAUGACAACACUAUUUUCAUACUAACAGAAUAAUAAUACAACUCCAUAAUAUAUAACAACAAAAAAUACAACUCCAUAAUAAAAUAAUAAAUAACAUUAAAUAUAUGCUCAAAUUUAUCCUUUAGAAUUUUUUUAAUAUGAAAAUUUAUCCUAGAUAAUAUUAGUUUGCAGACAUUUUAAAAACUUUAUAAAUAUUACAUGCUGAAGAUAUAAUCAAAAACUCAUCCUUAGUGGGUUGGAUAAAGCUCAGUGGGUGGUUGAGAAAGGGAGGGGUUGAUAAUUAAGUGAAUAUGUACUAAAAUAUCUAUGGCCAAUAAUAUCGAUAUUUAAUGCUAUGGUUGCAUUCAAUAGACGGCAAGAGGGCCCAACCAUAGAGAAAAACAUCAUGGUGCUCAAGGUUAAAAACUAACACUACUAGUGCCAAAGAUAAAACCGUUAAAGGAGUUACAUGAGCCAUAAAAGUGUUCUAAACCAUAAAAAAUAAAAAAAUAAAAAAACUAAGACCCAUAUAUAUUGUUUCUGUUGGCUUUGGUUUUCAGCUUUGCAAGACACUAUUUGUACCAGAUAUUUUUUUUUUGAUUUGGUUUUCAAAGUAAAACCCAUGUGAGUGUGACCAUGUCCCAUGACUCUUACUUUAUCUAGAAGCAGUCAAACAGUGGAUGGAAAUGUCAACUGUAAACUUGAUGAUCUUCUGUAAGAAUUUUGGAUCUGGUGGUCACCGUUGACCCAAAAGAGCAAGACUUCUAUUGGCGACCUCUCCCAUACGGCACUCUAUCUUGGCAUCUACCGUCAACAUUGCCGGUGAAAUCACAAUCAAACGCAUGACUUCAAUUUCUCACGCUGACCCCGAAAAAAAGACUUCAAUUUCUCACAGAUAUUUUUCUUCUCUUAACUGUAAUUAGCUUGAAAGGCACGUUAUGGCAGAAAUUUUACAGCUCUUUGUGGUAUUACCUCUGUCUUCCAAUUUAAACCUCUGUAGUAGUAGGUCAAGUAAGUCAAUCUGCGUCUGCUUUGUGUUUAGGAAAGUAGGAUCAUUCAAAUGGAGUAUCACCUGGCAUAAAUAAUUCAUUCUGAUAGUAUGGAAUAUGAAAUAUGUUACAGUUAGUCGCUCAAACUCUCUACUGUUUCUAGCAAAACCCAUUAAGUCUUAAUAAUUCAGUGGUUCUACUAUCAUAGGACGUUCUGAUCAGAAAUCCAAACUUAAUUAUAUCGACUUGAUCUGAACAAAACAAAUCAUGUUAACAAAUCCACUGGAUUAUGGUUAUGAAUUAAUGACUACACGGAUUUCCCUGGUUGACUAGAAAAAUUGUAUAAGUUUGAAAAAAUUUAUGUGGUGGGGCCCUGAUCCAAUUGACGAUUGGAAAAUAGAUCACUACACUGUACAGAAGCAUCUUUUGACUACAAUCUUGACAAGGUUUUCCAAUUCUUAAUUUUCUUCCACUUCAAAUAACACCAAUACAUUACAUUAUAUAUAUAUAUAUAUAUAUAUAUAUAUAUAUAUACACAUGUAGAUCUAAUUCAAAGACAAAACAAAGAGCAAGAACUAGAAAAGAAGAAGAAGAAGAAAAAAAUGAGUACCAAACCCAAGUACGUCUCUUCUGCCCUGCUCUUCUUCCUCUGCUACCAUCUCUUUCUUCACCAUUCACAAGCUCAAAUAGUACCAAGACCAGUCACUGAAGGCUACACCUGCACAGCCAACCAGAGCAGCUAUCCAUGCCAAACCUAUGUCUUUUACAGAGCCUCGGCUCCUGACUUCCUUGACCUUGCCACCAUAGGUGACCUCUUCUCUGUUAGCCGCUUCAUGAUUUCAAAACCAAGCAACAUCUCCUCCUCAAACGCAACUCUCGUCUCUGGCCAGCCUCUCUUUAUCCCAAUCCCUUGUUCCUGCAAUUCUCCCAACGCCACCAUGACCAUUUCUUAUGCCAAUCUCUCAGUCACAAUCAAAUCAGGUGACACUUUUUUCCGCCUCUCAAGCCGCAGUUUUCAAAACCUCACCACAUACCAAUCUGUUGAGCUUGUUAACCCUCAUCUUGUGGCUACCAACUUGACAAUUGGUGUCACUGCAUUAUUUCCGAUCUUUUGCAAGUGCCCAAACAGAACCCAGUUGCAGAACCAAGUCAAUUAUCUCGUCUCCUAUGUGUUUCAGCCUUCUGAUAACAUAUCAGCAGUUGCUUCACUGUUUGGGGUGCAGGCAAAAUCUAUAACUGAUGUUAAUGGCAAUAACAUUCAGCCUUUUGACACCAUUUUUGUACCAGUGACUCAGCUUCCAGAGCUUUCACAGCCUGAUGUUACUCCUUCUGCUGCAACUUCUGUGAAGACUGAGAGGAAAGGGUUAAUAAGAGGAUUGGCAAUUGCGUUGGGGAUCACUGGGUUUUUGUUGAUUUUGGUUGUUGGGUUUUCAAUUUACAGAGAUGGUAAGUUGAAAAAGAGAGUACGUAGGAAGGGAGAUGAGGAGAAGGAGAACCAGGUUCUGUAUAGGAGCAAGCAGGGAUCUAAGAAGUCAAAGGAAAUGGAGGUGAGUUUGAUGGCUGAUGUUUCAGAUUGCUUGGACAAGUACAGAGUGUUUGGAAUUGAAGACUUGAGAGAGGCUACAAAUGGAUUCAGAGAGAAUAGCUUGAUUGAAGGCUCUGUGUACAGAGGUUCCAUUAAUGGUGAGCUCUAUGCCAUCAAGAAGAUGAAGUGGAAUGCCUGUGAGGAGCUCAAGAUCUUACAAAAGGUAAUUUAACUUUUUGCUUUUGUUUUUCUUUUUACCCUUAGUUAGGUUCACACAGGUCCACAUAGAAACAUAGAAACAAGGACUUUUCUACCGGAAAAACUUGUGUGAAACAGUGUGCUAUCCCAGCCAAUCACCAACUGCCACAUGGAAAGUUAUUAUACAUGGCAUGUCAUGAUUGGUCGGGGCACAAGUAUUUCUCAUUUACUAGCCACGCGUAGAAGGUGUCAGUUUAGACUUUCAUUAACAGGAUAUUAUUUUUUGCUAUCCCCACCAAUGACGUAAUAACACAUGAGAUAACUUUUCUAGGUAUCAUUGUAUUAUCAACCAUGAUAGCAAAACAGUGUUAACCACGUUAUAAGUAAGUUUUUGUGCAUAAAUUGGCCACCUUUGCUCUAGGACCCAAAAAGAUUUUGUUUUAAGGUUUAGAGCUUUUUUGUUUAUUUUUGUACAAGCGAUAUUGCGAUAUUAGAGGAAGGAGGAAUGAAAAAUAGGACGUCAAAUGUAGGGAUAACUCCUCUUAACCACUCUUAAGUUUUUUAGAUCUCUGUUUAAAAACUGAACGUUAAACUCAGUGGCAAUACCAGAAGGAAAGAAUAAAAAUUAGGCCACCCAAUUUGAACUGCUCUGCCGUAAAACUUUAUUAACCAGAGUGUCAUAUAAAAUAAACUGUGGUCGAUGUCAGCUCAUUUGAAUGAUUCUUCUCAUUACGUUAAACCAAAAAGGCUCAGUUAAGCAAGGCACGGCGUUUAUGUAAGUUGUUUAUCUUUUAAUUAAUAAUUAGUAGUACAAUUAGGGUUCGUAAGCAUGUUUUGGCUGGUAGGUACAAGAACAAAGUCACAAAUAGUGAUGAGGAAGAGGUUGAAUCAUUCCAAAAGAUUAAUGAUGAAGAAUAGAACAGCUGUUAAAAAACCUCAUUAUAAAAUUGCUCGGUUGCUAAUGUUCAAUUAUUUACUGCUAAUAUAAAUAUGGUUAGGUAAUCUGGUAAUGUGACUUGUCUGUUUAUUAGGGUUUUGUUUUUUUCUUAAAAUUAUUUGAAGUUUUGAAAUUUUGUAUCUCAUUUGGUAGGAAGCUUUGAAAUAUUACUUAGGUUUAACGCACGCCAAAGAAGAAAACAAUGCUAGAAAAUUUGUUUGCCGUCAGUGGUGUCACAUUUGGGUCCAUUUCAACAUUUAAUAUACUCGAAUAGAGAAAGGGAUAUUCAUAUAUAUUACUUUUUUAUUUAAAAUAUAUAUGGCGUCCGCACGGUAAGAAUGUCUGAAGUCUGAACGUUCACAUAAGAGAAAAUGAUGGUGAGUUUUAUAGAUAAAAUGAAGUCACAAUCCAGAUGAUAAAAGAUGAAGUCAAAUAUUGUGUUCAUUGGACUUUUAAUGAAGUCAAAUAUUGUGUUCAUAAUCCAUGUGCAGAAACUUCCAAACGUGCCCUUGCAAUUUUGUUUUAUAGUCAUUUUUUUUGGUUCAAUAGUUGGAGUUGGACGGUAUGUAUUUGGGUUGGAAUCAUUUUUCGUCUGGCUGAGGUCAAAGAGGACAUUUCAAUGCCCUUCUAUGUUUGUCAGAGAAUUGAAUAUGCAAUAUAGACUGUUUAGAUAAAAGUCCAGGCUUGGAGUUGAAGGGCCCAAUCUUCAUGAGUAUGGGCCUUACACUAAUUUCCCUCCCAGAAAAAUAAAUAGAACCCAACAAAAUUUGAAGAUUAUUUUCCCUUAAUUUAGUAUUCUUGGCCAAAUUUAAGAGUUAUAAUUGACAAAACAGUGGGUUUCAAAUUUUGUAGGUAAACCAUGGAAAUUUGGUGAAGCUAGAGGGCUUCUGCAUAGACCAUGACGAUGAUUGUUGCUAUCUAAUUUACGAGUUUGUCGAAAAUGGUUCUCUAUAUUCAUGGCUGCAUGAAAACCAGAAUGAAAAAUUGGGUUGGAAAACAAGGCUGCGAGUUGCUAUUGAUGUUGCUAAUGGUCUCCAAUACAUUCAUGAGCACACAAGGCCAAAGGUUGUGCACAAAGACAUCAAGAGCAGCAAUAUUCUCUUAGACUCAAACAUGAGAGCCAAAAUAGCCAAUUUUGGGCUAGCAAAGACUGGUUGCAAUGCCAUAACAAUGCACAUUGUUGGAACUCAAGGCUACAUUGCACCGGAGUAUCUAGCUGAUGGGGUGGUGUCAACAAAAAUGGAUGUGUUCUCUUUCGGGGUGGUUUUGCUCGAGCUUGUUUCGGGGAAGCCUGCCAUUGAUGAAGAUGGGAAUGUUUUAUGGGCAAGCGCUGGUAGGAUUUUGGAGGGGAAUGAGGAAGAGAAGGCAAGGAAAUUGCAUGAGUGGGUGGACAGGGAACUUUUCUUGGAGUCUUGCUCAAUGGAAAGCAUAGUGAAUGUUUUGACUGUUGCCAUUGCUUGUGUGCAUAGAGAUCCUUCAAAAAGGCCAAGUAUGGUGGACAUUGUUUAUGCCUUGUGCAAGAGUGAUGAUCUGUUUUUUGACAUCUCCGAUGAUGGAUUAUCGGCUCCCCCAGUACGAGCGAGGUGAAUCCUGAUGAACUAAGCAAUUCGUUCUUUUUGUUUUUUUAUAUUCCCCUUCUCGUUUAGAGAAAGAAAGAGUCGAAUUCUCAUCAUGAAUACGAGUGUGUAGUAUCGUCUAUGUAGUUUCACAACUAUUUUAAUUUGCUAGUAAAGACAAUGUACAAGAAAAAAACAAACCAUGAGCAGUAAAAGUUUGAGUCACAUUAUGUAUCUGCAAAUAAAAUAAAUCUGUUUCUACUUGUAACAUUUUCGUCAUGGUGACAUAUGUAGCUGGUGAAACAGGAUACGGAGUUUAACUUUAUAGCAGCAGAGAGUAUGUCAGAGUAACGACCAAAUCCAACAACUGACGGAAGCUUAUGAAACAAGUGGGGCAAAGAAAGUGAAAAGAACAGGACCCAGCUCUAGCCUCCCAGUUUCUCAAAACCUGACUGUUAACUUGAUUUGAGUUAUAUCAGCGAAGAAAUAAAAAGGGUUGGAGGAACCUAAUAGCUGGGAAAGAGAAGCAUUAGGUGCCAAAAUUCUAAUUGAAGGCCCAUUAAAUUAACCAAGAACACAGCAAGAGUAUAGGAAGUAAGAACUCUAUGGUCUUGUAGAUCACGUCACUUGUCCGGCACACACAGACAAAAAGACUCGUAUAUUGAGAUUAGACCAGUAUGAAAUUCAAUGUGUGACUAGACAUGUGAUAUAAUUCAUCUGCUGGACCAAAAAAUUGUGCUAGCUAGUAUAGGAGGUCACUCUCCAACCACAUCAACUUUCCAAAAUUACAAAUCUAGCAUUCAAAUCAUGUUCAAAAAGCUGAAACCCCAAAUUGGCACUUUGUUUCCUUUUGGUCAAGAUAAGGCAUGGUCCUAGAAAUUCCUAGUGAGUGGGUUGUCACAGUGGUCCUUGUUUUGCCGUGCACUUCAAUGAGUGCCAGAGCUUGUUUAUCCCAUUUUUGUCUGUUUUAGCUAGCUGCUAAAACAUCCUUAUUAGGAGACUGUUAAAAUGACCUUUUCCAAUGAGAUUUUAAAGUAACAAGAUUCUUUACAUUUGGAUUAAACCCUUAUUUGACCUUAAGCAUACAUAAGACUUUCAACUUAGUUUGUUGUACCAUCAACUAAUCAAGUGUCAUAUUAUCUAUCUAUUAGUCUUUGGUGUGUUUAUAUUUUUAUUUUUUUAUACACGGAGGGGAAUUGGAACUCAAAUAUGUUGUGAGGGAGCAUAUCUACUCUAGCCAACUUGAUUAAACUCUUAUCUACGCAUUGAAAGAUUAGGACAUUUUUUAAUUUAAAAUGAAUAGCUCAUGUAGGCUUAACUAUACGAUGUCACAUCAAAGGUUUUCUUAUUAUGAAUGGUCUUUUAAAAUUUAUUAUGUUACUUUCUGUCAAGUGAUCAUUAUUUCCCACGUGCUUCAACAAUCCACCUCCUCCACUCACUUGAGUUGCCACGAUCAAGAAGGUAUAACUGGUGCGUACCCUUCUCAUGUCUCAUUUCUUGAUGUCAAUCAAGUAAUGGAAUGACAAAAACCGUAAGGAGAGACAAGUGACAAGUUGAAAACAGAAACCACGGGACUGAUUCAUCAAUUCAAUCUGUCAUUGGGUGAAGAUUCAGUCGUAUAUUAAAGAAAAUUUCAAAGAUCCAUAAUAUUAGUACACCCCCAAAAAACGAGACGGGAUUCUAAUGUUCAUAAAAUAAGCCACGUGAUCCAAACAUGUAUCUGAUAUUAGACUUGUGUGAAAUUGCAGAUUGGUCAUAAGUUAUAUAUAUAUAUAUAUGUUAAAUGAUAAUAAUCUUACCCAUUUCAGACCACUUAAGGAACAAGCGUGAGUUAAAUCAGUUAGUUAAAAUAGUGAGCUCGCCCUUUUACAUUCAAAUUUGAGUCAUUCUCUUUAACUUCACUUGUAUUUAAAAAAUCACUGAAGACUUAUAGGCAUCCAAAACUCCAUAUAUGAAAUUUGUUGAAGUUUUCUUAUUCAAUCAUAUAUUCUAUGAAAUCUUUGCGUGCAAAAAUAAAAUCACAUCAUUAUUCAUACAUGGAUUGCCAUGUCAAAUAAGUACAUUUCUUCUUCUUCUUAUAAAAUAGAAAAUAACAUGCCAUUAUCAUUUGCAAUCCAAUCCUCAAACAACAAACAUAUCAUGCCAUUAUCUUUACAAAACAAAAACAAAAAACAAAAAAUUUCUUUUUUUGCUAUUCUUGUUUGAUUGAAUGCAUUAAAAAAAAUAAAAUAUAAAAAAAACAUCCAAAGGUGCGUGGUGGUCAUUACUUAAACUUGAAACACUGUGGGUUUCCAAAGGGCUGACAAGGACUGUAUGUUUGCGAGGACAUUGGGAGGGACCAGGUGGUCCAUGUUGGUGCCUCGCGUAGAUUACCAAAAGCCUGUUAAUAUUGAAAAAGACAGCUCAGACUUUAAUGAAUCUCGCUUUCUCUUUCUUUUCUCACUUUUCUUUGUGUUGCUGCUGCCUUUGUGUUCUGUCUCCUCGUCGGCCCCAGUUUCUUUCUUCCGAACCUCAAACUCAAACAUCUCUGACACUACACACAGCAAUGGUUGUGAGUCAGUUGCAGAGCUUGCAGCUAUGCGUUUUGCCUCGUCGGGUUCCUCCUACACCCAACCGUUUUUCUUCCUCAAAGAGGUAUUUGUUCUUCAUCUUUUCAAUUACCAAAGUGGCAGUUCUUCUUGAUGCCAUUUUGGUUUUGUUUGUGUGUUUCUGUGACAGUGUGUUUGUGGUAUUUGAUUAUAUGGCAUUGGCAUUCAUAUGAGAAUUUUAGUGCGGUUGGUUUUCUGGACAUUUAAGGUCAAAAGGGUUUAUUUGCUGGUUUAUGAAUUAGUUUAUUGUUGCUGCUAUGCUUUGACCAAACUAAUUUCAACCCCAUCACUUGGUAGUUGGUUGGUGUUCUGGGUAGAUUUUAAUCUUCUUAAUUAUUUGGGAACUGGGGAGUGCUUGAAAUUCUUAGCAGGUGAGGUGAAUGUUAUGCGAACCAAGAGAUUUCAGGUUUUUACCUCUUGGGUAAUGCCAAAUUCUGUGAUAAAUAAAAGUGUGAACUUGUUGGAGUUGGUAGUUUGGUAGACAAAGGGAGUGUGUUGGUUUGCCUAGAAGGAAUUCAAUUUUUUUUUUUUUAUGUAACUAAGUUUAACUGGAUGGAGCUGGAGUAUGGUGGCAAGGGCAAGGGAGUGAUCAUCAUGAAUUUCUUGAGGACUUCUCUAGGUUUUGGUUCACCUUUCCUUUGCAGAAUGACAUACUGGAUUUCAUUGAUAAUCUAAAUAUUUUGGCUCAAAUGUUUUACUAUUCCGUGGAUGUUGAAUGAAAUGCUCUGCAUAAGCUACCUUAUUAUUUUGGCUAAGUACUAGUUUACUAAUUGCCUUUCGCAUGCUUUGGUUUCUGCCGUACAGUGACAUUCACAUCGUUGCCUGCUUGGAUUUUGGAAGUAUGCAUUCUUCCUGUAGAGUAGGAACUUAUUGAUGAGAAUGAUUAGUUAAUGUCUGAUGUUACACACAUAAAUGUCUCAUGGUUGAGUUCCAUUUUAUAAUUGCUGAUCAAACUGCUAGAUAGUUGAGGAACCAGUAUGCAGGAAUAUCAGAUUUUGUUUUUGCACGAAGUGAUUGAUCAUAUAGUAUUAUGUAUGAAAGCUUUCCAAUUUCUGUCUGAAGCGUAUUGUGUGAUAAUACCAUUUUAUGUAACAGAGGGAAAUUGUAAUUUAGAAAGCAUUUGCUCAUGUCUGUUUUUGUACAAUGUACUAUAUGUUACACGUACUGGAGCAAGUAUUGAAGUAUAGUUAUCCUGAAUUUGAGUGUAGAUGAGCCAUAUGAUGCUAACUUUGACACGAUACUUCUCAGGAAAUCAAUGCCAUGCCAAUUUUGGUGGAUAAAAUCUUCAUCUUUACAUGCAAGUAAUUUCAUAGUACAAAACAGAGGUGAGAAUAAGCUGUCUAUACUCAUAAGAUUUUGGAAUGUUGUAUGUUUAUUUUAUCAAGUAUGAAAGCAUUGAUAUUUGAUUUAAGAAAUUGUUGAGCUUCUUGUAUGAAGUUGAGUCCAUGAUUCACAUGAGGAAGGGAGUCGGAUUACUAUGCCAGUUAUUAAUUUUUAAAUUAGUUUAUCACUAUGUAGAGGACUUACCUCAACAAUCUCAACAAUUUGAUGCUAUUUUUGUUUUACAAGAACACAAUUUUAUUGAAAAUAAUGAGUACAGAUCAGAGGAUAUUAUGUCCACUGAAAACAGAGAUGAAAAUAUUACAUGCACUGAAACUUAUUUUGAAAAACAGCAACCCUCAAAUCUGGAAAAAUUGCAAGGAAAGGUAUACCCUGAGAUUCUGUAGAGACUGAAGCCCAUAAUGAUCCCCAAAAAUGAACUUUAUUUCACAAAUUCUCCACCUCUUCACCCCUACAGCUGUCAAAGUUCUCUUUUCUUUCCAACUAACUCACCCAAAACACAGCCAAAGAUCAGGUCUAUUAAUUGGCUUUAUAUUCUGAUGAUUCCCUAGGGAAUAUUUUGCAUUAUUUUAUGUUUCAUACAUACUGUGAUUAUUUUUGUUACAGGAAAAUGUGAGGUCAGUUCUCAAAGGGCAGGAAAUAAGUUAGGUUCCACUGUGUAUAUAAAUAUUGCAGAUGAUUCGAAUGACAAACUCCCUAGUACAGAUCAGAUUAAUAUUUCUCAGGUGAGCAUUUGAUGUAAGCUUUCUUCUUAUUCUUCUUCUUCUUUAUUUAUUUUAUUUUAUUUUAUUUAUGACAAUAGCAUUAGAUGUAUGAAUCUGCUUAAAGAAAAUUGUCAUUAUUUUUUGUUGCAUGGGAUCUUUGGUUUAAUCUUCAUAGCUAUAAGCACAAGAAUGAAGUUCCUUUAUGUUUGGAAAUCUCUCUUUACCAUAAUGAGAACAUGCCUAUGUAAGAAAGGGAUGUUACAAUGGCACACGAUACUUACAAAUUGAUAACUACAAGUUAAGGAGCAAUGAUACUUGAUACUUGCAGAGCUCUUUUCACUGCUCUCAAUAAUUUAUGUGUUCUGGCUGGCCCUUGCAUUGUUCUCUACUUCAACAAUGACAGCACCAAAAAAGGCUAAAUUUUGAUCACAAAUCAUUACAAGGCUUGAUAAUAUUUCAGAAAAGCCAUGGCAUAGCAGUGACAACCUACUCUACUUUUUCUUCUUGUUGUAAAAGAUGGCUAAAAUGUCUGUAUUCUGUUUUUUCUGGAAUUUACUCUUCAAGCUAUACGUACGAAUUAAGCUUUUUUAUUUACUAAAUCAUUGUUCAUUUGCCCAUGCAAGGUAAGACUCUUAGAUUUGUGAGAAAAUGCAUAUUGAAGUCUAUCAUUCACUAGUUAUACUUUCUUCCAAACCUCUUUGUAUCACCCGUAUUUAGUCUUCUAUCAAGUUAACAACUUCUAAACAAAGCUUGUCCCCAGAAUAUAUUUUGUUUGAUUGCUCUCAUUGCUGAAUAAAAGCUUACACCACUUUCCAUGUUCCUCUAUUUAGUGAAUUCACUUGUUUACUCUCUGUUAUCAAGUAUCUGUAUCCAUGAUAACUUGUACAAACUCAUUCUAAUCUGAAUCUUUUUAAUCUGGUAGAACCUUCUGGCUUCAGAUUUUUCACUUGAUUAAUGUCAUGGUGCUGUUAGUAUUUAGUAAAUUUCUUGAUGGAAUUUGCUGUAUGUGCAGGUUCACCUUACUAAAGUCACGAUGGGAUUGGUGUCCUUAUAUUUGUCAAUUAGACUGGCAAAGUCAAAUGUUUUUAACACUUUCAUUAAGAUUGUCCAAGAGAAACUUCCCAGUGUUGUUCAAAAUUUUGGGGCUGCCACCUUGCCUUUUGCCUGCGUUUCUAAUUCUUUGAAUAAACCCAUGCCUCUUGAGUUGGAUGUGUCUUUGCCUUCAUUUCAAGAUAUUAGGUGGAGUUUUGCCCGGUUAUUGUAUCUAUUUAACAUCCAACUUGAGAAAAAUGUUGCCACGUAAGUGAAUUAUAUAAUUGUUUUUGCCCUUGUUCAUAACCCUUCAUCUUGUAAUCAUCUGGUUAUUUUGCUGUUGAAUUGUUAAGUUCAUGUUUUGGUUUCUUUUUUAAGAUUUUGUGGUUUCAGAUGUUAAGAUAUCAACCUGGCAUUAUUUCAUCAACAUGAGUGGACAGUAGGGUAACUGAACUACUUUAUUGUUGCCCUCUUGUUUGAAGUAAAGAUGCAAUGGCAUAAAUUUAAACCAUUUUGUUCAGUAAGUUACCAGAAUAGGCAAGUAUCCCAGUGAACUACGAUUAGGGUCACUCGAUCCAAAAGGUUCACUUUUAUUCAAGCUAGGUUUGGCAAAAAUGAAAGUGAUAUUAAAAACUUAUGUAGAAUAGAUUAUGAUAUUUUGAUCCAUAAAUUUCCUUCUAUUUCAUCCUGGCCCAUAAAACAUAGUUUAAAAGGUUUGCAUCUUAUUCUUUUCCCCACUAUAAAUAUAAUCUGUUGAAUUUUAUUAGUUGCUCAACUCUAUUGAUUGUGCACUUAUCUGUUUUGGUACUAUUUAAAACUCAGAUUGGGAAGAAAUUGGAAUUUUGUAGAAUCAUGUAGGAUUAGAAGGCCACGAAUGAUGCCCUCAGGGUGUACACACAAUAAUCGUGAUAAAUGUUUUAUUUUUUUUCCCUAAUUCUUACUCAGGGUAGGUUUACAUAAUACUGCGUUCUUUGACACUAAAUGGUCAAAAGCUUUCUGUGCUUGGGCUUAUAUAAUCAUGCAGAAGCUCCAUAAAAGAUGUAUAUUAUUCAACGUGGAUCUGUGUAUGCUUCUGUGACAAUCUAAAGUUUAAUGAUAAAAUCAGCCUUCUGGUUAAUUUUAGUUGUGAAUGGUCAACAUUGUUCAUCUGAUUGUUCAAAAGUAUUUUUUCUAAUUCAUCAUUUCAUGCAUGUAAUUUAUUUGGCCUUUAUGUUCUCAUUUGACUGAAUUCUUUUGUAAAUGUUUUCUAGGUUCUUUCUAGUGCUCCUGGUAGCAUGCUUCUCAUUUGUUGUCAUUGGUGGUUUCCUGUUCUUCAAGUUUAGGUAACCUAUAUUCCUUUCUAACAGCAGUUCUAAUUACUUUCACAUGGUAAAUGGCAUUGUCUGCUUCAUGUCGGUUUAUGGUAUUUCAUUAUUUAGCCAAAUUUCUUUUCUUCUAGCAUCUAGAAUAUUAGAUUGCUAUACUUUGUUUUCCCAUCAAUCCAUCUAUCUCUUGAGCAACUUUGUUUGGUUGACAAUCCAUUUCGGUACUAGUCUUCGCAAGUGAAUUUAUUAUUUCUGCAUUUAAUUCUCAUGCUUGUUUGCAAUCUGAUGCAUUUCAAAUUACACAGGGGUAGUAACGAGUCUUUGGAGGACUGCUUCUGGGAGGCUUGGGCAUGUCUGUGUUCAUCAUCGACACAUCUAAAAGUGUGAUGGCGUUUUCUGAUUUUCUGAUUUGGUUCAUUUGUCAUAAUUUUCAUUUUUUUUCGUAUUUGGUUAUAUGAUUGUAAAUAAUAUGUACUGUGCAGCAAAGAACACGCGUUGAACGUGUUAUUGGUUUCAUUCUUGCAAUAUGGGGCAUAUUGUUUUACUCUCGUUUAUUGAGCACAAUGACUGAACAGUUCAGGGUAAGUUCUUGAAUCAAUAAACAUUAUCAUACAUCUAACAUUAUGUAGAUUACAUCCUUAUGACCAUCAUUUGCACAGAAUAAUAUGUACAGGCUCAGAGAAGGCGCACAAAUGCAAGUUCUGGAGAGUGAUCAUAUCAUUAUUUGUGGAGUGAACAGUCAUCUUUCUUUCAUACUAAAGCAACUAAACAAGUAUCAUGAAUUUGCCGUCCGCUUAGGUACUGCUACAGCUAGGUAAUCUUAUUCUGUACUGCCAACAGAGGUUCUUAUAUCAGGAUUGCAUGGCUAAAUUACUGGCUUGUGUAUAUGUUCACAGGAGGCAGAGAAUUCUUCUUAUGUCGGAUCUCCCAAGAAAGCAGAUGGACAAGCUAGCUGACAAUUUAGCCAAGGAUCUUAUUCAUAUUGAUAUCCUUACAAAGAGGUACAACUACUUAGAAAUCAUAUAACUCAAGUCCUAUAAUCUUGUAAAAUUCAUCUCUAUCUAGUGUUGCAAUAAAAAGUUGUCAAAGUAUUGGUAUAAUGGCCUUUGUGUUCUGAUUCUUACAUUGAGGUUCUACUGUUACAGUUGCAGCCUUAGUUUAACAAAAUCAUUUGAAAGAGCCGCUGCCAACAAGGCUCGUGCCAUAAUUAUACUGCCAACGAAGGGAGAUCGGUGAGAACUUGAUCAACUUUUACUUCUAUCUGAAAAGUCAUCUUAGAGUAUACAAGGUUUUUGUCAAAGUUUAUUUGGAAUUGUAUAUCAUUCCAUUGGCAGUUAUGAGCUAUAUUGAAAAUGCCAUUGAAUUUGUUACCACUUCGAAAAUUUCCACUCUCUUGAACUUGUUUUACUUGACAUCUUCCACUGUUUAGGUAUGAAGUUGACACCGAUGCUUUUUUAUCUGUUCUGGCACUUCAACCCAUCCCCAAUAUGGAAUCUGUCCCCACAAUUGUUGAGGUAUAUCACUAGUCAGUCUUUGCACUGAACUAUAUUGUGAAGUUUGCUAAAAUCAUGUUACAUUUGCCCUCCCCAAUGAAUGCAGGUCUCAAGUUCCAAUACAUGUGAGCUCUUGAAGUCAAUCUCAGGGUUAAAAGUAGAGCCUGUAGAAAAUGGUGCAUCCAAAUUAUUUGUUCAAUGCUCUCGUCAAAAGGGACUCAUAAAGAUCUACAGGCACUUGCUUAAUUAUCGAAGUAUGGUACAAGUCCCUCUUCAAGGAGAAACUAGUUUUUUCGUUAAGACAUUUACUACAUUCUAUUUUUUAUUCCUCAAUUAUACAUUUCCAAAACUUUGAAUUGUUAUUCAAGAGGAUAAAGAAUAAUAGACAUUCUCGAAUGCUAUUGUCAAGGUAAUUUAGAAUGGCCAUUCCAAAUUCAUGUGUUGGUUUGGUUCAGAUUACCAAAUGCAAUUAGUAGUAGUUCCUUUACUAUUGGUUACAUAAGCAAUAUAUAUUUUAAGAUUUUGGAUAUGGGAGAGUUCCAAUAAAACUGCUACUCUUUAAAUUUUAUUUGAACUAAAUAUUGGUGGAACCAUUAAUGAUAUGUUUAAUAAAAUAUUUGAUGCUUUAUUCAGUAAACUUUUUUGAUGUAUUUUAGGACUUUUUUGACAUAUUGAGAAUGGGGAGAUUCUUGUAACCAUUUUUGAAAUAUUUUCUUUAUCAUUCCCUGUUGAAUUUACAGAACAUUAUGGAUAUGAAGAUCCAGCUUCUACAUAACCUUUUAACUCAUUUUCGUCUUAAAAUCUAACCAUGAGAGAGAGAGAGAGAGAGAGAGAGAGAGAGAGAGAGAGAGAGAGAGAGAGAGAGAGAGAGAGAGAGAGAGAGAUUGUGGUGUUGUGUAAUUCUCAACCUCUUGUUAUUCCAUGUGACACUAAGUUAUCUUCUGCCUGUGCUGCUUUGGUAUGCUUGUUUUUAUAUACGUUUGAUGUUAUUUUCCCAUUAGAGGGAGAGUGAAAAUUAUUUAAGUAAAAGGACAAAGAUUAACAAUCAACAUUCGCAAAAUUACAGAUGAAAUGCCUUAGUUGUUGUUGAUAAUUUCUCCCAAAAUAUAUUUACUUCUGUGGAUAAUUCCAUACCUUUAGACCCUAAUAUCUUUAUAAAUAUGAAUUGAAAUGUUUGGUCGGAACCGAUGCACUAGAACUUUGAUCUAUCAACUCAGACAUGGAUGUGUGUAGUUGUUCUUAUUUGUGGUGGCAAUUUUUACAUUAGGUUGGUCUUAUUGUUAGGUAAUUGGAACCAUCUCCCUGUUCAGCCCUGAGAUGGCGCACUAAUUAAUAUCAUUUCUACUCAUUGCAGAAAAUGUAUUUAAUCUUUGCAGUUUUCCAAGUCUAGCAGGGCUCAAGUAUAGGAGAGUACGGCAUGGGUUUCAAGAGGUAUUACCAGCCUAAUGUAAUUCUGCUAGUGUAAAAUUUAUUGCACUUGGCUGAUUUUUAUUCUUCCUCUGACUGGAUAUUCCUUCAGGCAGUUGUUUGUGGGCUUUAUAGGAACGGGAAGAUAGACUUCCACCCUUAUGACGAUGAAAUCUUGCAGGAAACUGACAAAGUAUGAGAAGUUCUCGACUUGAUUUACACCAAUAGCUCUGAAAUUUCUUAUGACUUCUGAAAAUUUGAAUCAUGAACACAAUGUCAGUUAAAGUUUCUUUUCGUUAAUAUCUCUAGAAAAUGAUGGUUAACUUUACUUUCACCAGUUCCUAUUUUAUUUAUCAUGACUGGACAGUUAGACAAAACUACUAUUAAUUUAAUAGUUACAAAAAUAGAAGAAAGAACUAAGAGAAUCAUGGAAGCCUGACCGGAUUCACUGUGCGACCGGUUCAUUUGUUUUGGUGUUUGCAUUAUGCUGUUUGCUGGCUGACUGGGUUGUGGUUAACCAUCAUUUUCAGCUAUAUGUUUAUGAAAUGUUCUGCAUUUAUGAAACUGUUAAAUUCCUCCCAUAGUUUUAUUUGUGAAUUCUCAACAUUGUGCACUUUCCUCAUGUAGGUAUUGUUCGUUGCACCUGUUAAUGGGUCUAAGAAACCAAAUGUUGCUUAUUCAAAUGUUGUGAGAGAAAUAGGCAAUGCUAAUGAAAAUUUGGAAGAUCAAGAAAAGAAUGGUAGUACCCAAUCACGUGAUUUACAAUUGAAAACACGACUGGAAAACAUUGUAAGGCGUCCCAAUAAACCAGGUUCCAAGGUGCGACUUUACUACGACAUAAUUGCUUGAAGGCCACCAGGGCUUGAAAGAUUUGGUUUCGAAAUCUGAAUUCUCUUAUAAUGCAGGGCUCAGACUGGACCCUAGGACCAAAAGAAUUUAUACUUCUGCUUGGAUGGCGCCCUGACAUCAUAGAAAUGAUUGAAGAAUAUGACAAUUAUCUUGGACCUGGCAGUGUCGUGGUAUGCUCUUAUCUCUUGGGAAUCUUGUUGUGAGUCCUAUAUGCAUUGAGUAAGCAUUCAGCAACUCUUGCCUUGAACUGUAAAAACUUAGCGCAGCUACUUGCUACUUACGCAAGUACAUGUAUGAUGAAGGCUUUCAAAUUGUAAAUGAAUCAAUGGGGAAGGGAUUGAGGAACUUAAUGGAUUCUGGGAAAUUUUCUCCACCUUGAGGAAAGCAUGACAGAGACUAAGUUGCAUGACAGAGACUAAGAGGCAUGCAGCCUAAUUGGAGUACUUUUGAGAUGUGUCCUUGUAUUCUUUGCUAUUACGUUUUUCAGCAUGUAGCCUAAGAUGCAUUUCCUCAUCAAUUGGUUUACAAUUGGGGUUGUUGUUCUAUAUAUAAUUGUAUAUGGAUGUUAAAUCUGAUGCCUUCAUGAGCUGUCAUUGUUAUAAAUUCUGACACUUGAUGAAAGAUAAUUUUCAUUGGUCACUUAGCUAAGUUUCUGGACAUAACAUCACUCUUAAUUUAUCAUCUUUAUGCAUGCAGGAAAUUUUAUCGGAUGUACCGUUAGAUGACAGAAAUAGGGCAAGACAAGUUGCUGGUCAAGGCAAACUCAAAAACGUCAAGGUUUCUCAUAGGGUACUACCUCACUCUUUCAACCUACAGAGUUGAACCUUCUCUGCCGUUAUCUUUGUUGCUUUAUAAUUAGUUUUUGUUGAAGUCUCCUUUUCCCCUUCUAAAGCUUCAUUUAUUUACUUCCGUAUGCUACAGAUUGGGAAUCCAAUGAACUUUGACACCUUACAAGAAACCAUAAUGAAUAUCCAGAAGUCAUUGAAGAACAAAGAUAUUCCCUUGUCCAUCGUUGUAAUAUCUGAUAGAGAAUGGCUUCUUGGAGGUGAACAUACAGAAUUCCCCCUUUUUUCUUGGUUUUGUGUUGUUUCAAUUAGCCUAAGGUCGCGUUGCAUUAAAGUAUUCUCCCCUCAGAUCCAACCAGGGCAGACAAGCAAUCCGCAUAUUCUCUUCUUCUUGCUGAAAAUAUUUGCAACAAACUUCAUGUAAAGGUAGGUCAAGUUCAGUUAAAACAUACCAGUCUUCAUUUUCAAUUUGUGAAAUUCAGACUUUUGAGUUUAGUUAAUUAAAUAGCUUUCACAAUAACUAAGACAUAAUCUUCACUAGAGAAAGUAAAGUAACAAGGUUGUGGCGUUGCAGGUACAGAAUUUAGUUGCCGAGAUCGUGGACUCAAAAUUGGGCAAACAAGUAUACUUCAGCAGACUUUCGUCGAUGUUUAUGAUUUCUACUGAUAUUUGUUCACAUUAGUGUUACUAUUGAAAUAUUAUACACCGAAAAUUUCUGCAGAUCACAAGAAUUAAGCCGUCCCUGACUUACAUUGCUGCAGAGGAAGUAAUGAGCCUCGUAACAGCUCAAGGUCUUGAAUCAUUGUACUACACUUAGCUCUCGUAACAUAUAUACCAGUCGUAUUCCAAAAUAACAAGUGAUCGUCUGUUUGUGCAUAACAGUUGCUGAGAACAAUGAACUAAAUGAGGUGUGGAAAGACAUUCUAAAUGCAGAGGGUGAUGAAAUAUAUGUAAAGGUAAGUGCUUUUAAUACUCAAUUUUAAUAGAUUUUUCCAAGAAAAAUAAAAGAAAAGGAAUGAAGAAUUAGGAGGGCUUGGUCACAUUCGGAAUGAGAGACAUAGACAUACUGAUUUGGGUACACCCCGAUUGGAUGUCGUAUUUUUUUUUUCUUUUCCUGCCAGAAGAUCCUGAUUGAAAAUCCAUCACAGCCUUGUAUUUUAUACUUUGCAUGUGUUUGUUCUGAUAGGAUAUAAGCCUCUAUAUUAAAGAGGGAGAGAAUCCUUCAUUCUUUGAGCUUGCCGAAAGAGCGCAAUUACGGAAAGAAGUUGCAAUAGGUUAUGUGAAAGACAACAAGAAGGUAAAAACAUAUUGAUUUGGAUUUGACUCUGAAAUUGCUUUAGACUUCUCAUACACGUCUUAUGUGAUGUUGCAGGUUAUUAAUCCAGAUCCCAAGUCAGAACCCCUCUCCCUUGAGUUGACAGAUUCAUUAAUAGUUAUAUCUGAACUUGAAGGAGAACAACCCAUCCUUAUGUAGAAAGUACAUUUGGUCUUCACUUUGCCUGUCCCCAUUGUUUUCAUUGCUGCUAUGUUUAUAUGAUUUCAAGCUGAAACUAUCACCCAAACUUUCCUUUUAAAAAUCUAAAACCCUUCCUAAAUAGAAGCACUCAUUUAUUUUGACAGUGAAAGUGUUCUCUGAGCUUGUACCAUAGAAAUGGCAUUAAAACUGCAAGAGAAUUGGAAUAAAAGAAAUCUGGAGGUUAUGCCAUAAACUACACCAUUUUCAAUAAACCGUGAGCUAUUAAGGGAGUUGGAAGAAUCAGCAGACUAGCUCAAUCCUCAAUAGAAGAGUUAGAUAUUUCAUGCCAAUGUCUCAAUUCUUUUCGUCUAUACACCCUAUAAUGAGGGGUUACAAUGAGCAUGACCUUUCAUAAGGGAGCAAUUGAUCUAAACCACUACACUAACACUCACCAUACUAUUUUGAUUAUACUGCAACAACCUAAAAAUAAUGACGCAAAUCGUGAGGCCCCUAAACAUUUACUCAUCCCCUAACCCGUGAAAUCCCCUAUGUGAUUGAAGAUGGUGUUGGAGAUGGAGAUGGCGAUGGCCUAUGGCAACGGUGCAUCUCUCUCAUAUCCUUGAGAGAGUGCUCUGCUUAUAUAUACAUGGAAACCGAGAAUAGAAAACAAAUUUCACCAUCAAGCAACCUGAGACCAUGGUCUGUAAGUCAAUCCCUCUUUUUUAUUGGGUUAGAACCCGAGUUAUUAAGUUUGAUACUAACUCAAUCUUACAAUAAUUCAUAUUUAGUGGGUCUGUCACAUUCACAUAUUCGUAUUUCUUUUCAAAAGAAAAAAGAAGUUUAUCAUUUACGCAAUUUAAACUCCGCACUUCUCUUUGUUCACCCCAAUAUUUAAAUUAUGGCUUAAAUGCUAAAAUGGACCCUGUGUUUUAUUACGUUGGUCAAUUUAGUCCAUGUGUUUCUAAUUUAGCUAAUUAAGUCCUUGUGUUUACAACUAUUAAUCAAUGUGAUCCAUUCUUUUAAAUCUAAGUUUAAAAAAAUUUAAAACUAUUUAAACAUUAAUUAAAAACAUAAUUAUUUGAGUUCAACCAUUGUCUAGCCAUUUACCCUUAUUUGACCAGCUCCCAGCAAGAUCUCCCAGAUCCUAACCCUUGCCUAGCCAUUUGCCCCAUCCUCAGUCAUGGCUCCCAGAUCGUUCACAACAUCUCCAACCCCCAUCUCUCCCUCUUCUGUUGUAUGCCUUCAUUCAUCACCCACCCCCACCCUGCAAUGGUCAACCCCUCUUCCCACUACUCCACUCAUUAAGCAGCCCUUCCCCUCCCCGGACUACGCCUCCUUCAUUUUUUCAAGUUUUUUUUUCCCUAAUGUUAUGUUAGUUUAAUUGAAGUUUUAAUAUUUUUAAAUCAAUUCAACUUUUUUUAAUUUAAAAAAGCUUUAUACGUUUUCAAAAAAAAAAAAAACCAAUCAUGUUCAUAUUUAACGACUAUUUUAACUGGAUGGACUAAAUUGGCUAAUGAUCAUAAACACAAGGACCGAAUUGGCCAAAUUAAAAACACAGGGAUUAAAUUGGCCAUUGUGCUAAAACACAGGGACCAUUUUGACACUUAAGCCUUAAAUUAUUAACUUGUAAGUUUUAUUAUUGUGUAAAAAGACAAAAAAGGUCAUCCAACUUAAUACUUAAUUCUAGUACAUCUAUACACACACCCCACACAUCCUAUCACUCUUCAUAUUAAGUUUUAGAAAAAUACAAACUCUUGUACAUCCUAUUGUCAGAUUACUCCUCUUUUACACCUUCAUUAUCUUCCCUUUUUAUCUCCUAUAAAAUAUAGAGUUAUCUCCUAUAAAAUAUAGAUAUGCUUUUGUUUCGAUGUUACCACUGAUUGUGGAGAAAGAAAAGUAUAUAAGGAUUAUCAUCUUAAAUGCCAUUUUUUUUACUGUAGCAAUGUUCUCAAAUAGCAAAUGACAUUCAUUAUAUCAUAUCAUCUCAGUAGGCUAAAUGUCACUUUUCUGUUGGGUAAAAAAUAAAAGAAGAUGUUGUGGUCAUUAGUUUUCACUGUCAUCAUUAAACAAAACCAAACUACAAUUUCUCGUAUGAUCUAAUCACAUGAUAAAAACAGCUUGUGAAAACAACAAAAUCUCAUGUAUGCUAUAAAUAUUGUUUAAUGAUUUAAGUAUUGGGGUGAACAAAGAAAAUUGUGGGGUUUAAAUAGAAAAUCUCUUUUAUUUCUUAUUUUUUUAGCUUGGGGUGUAUUUAAGGAUAGUUUUGAAAGAUAGUGGAGUUUUCUUAGAAGUUAUGAAAAUUUAAAUUAAAAAUUAGGGUGAACUUGAGGUGAACUAAUGGAAGUGUGGGGUUUAAAUAGAAAAUCUCUUGUAAUUUUCGAAAGUGUAGGGUCAAAAUAAAAAAUGCCUUAAAGCUUUAGGGAUGCCCGUAGAAUUAAUGUAGGUGAUUUUUAAAAUUUAUAUUUUAUUUCACAUUUACAAAAAUAAAAAACUCAAAACCCAGUUGCGCUUGAAGUUCGCUGUUUUUGCUGUGUGUCUUGGCGAUUAUUUUGGAGGCAAGGCCAUGGCUCAUGGUGGCUACGCCAAGCGGAGGGUGAGUCCGGCGGGAGGACGACGGCCCAAGUCGGCGUUGGGCCCAGAGAAGAAGCCCAAAACCGUCAACCUCAAAAAGCAGAUUCGCUCCAUCGAGCGCCUGCUCCGUAAGGUACUCUCUCUUUCUUCACAAUCUACUCUUUCAUCUCGUUCAGUGAUGUGUUACUGCCCAUUUCGAUUCUGCUGCCGUUUUCGUUGAUUCUUAGGGUUAGGGUUUGUAUGGUUUUCGGGGCUUCAAUGUUGUUGAGUUCUUUGCUACCCCUUUUGUGUAUCAGUGAUACACACAAUGAGAGAGAAAGGUGCAUAACUGAAUUUCAGAGGAAACUGAAGCCCACAGAAAUGCCCCAAAUUGAACUUUAUCUCGCAAACACUCCACUCCUUUCCUCCUCCUAUAAUGGUCUUCUGACCUAAUACAGCUUGAAUCAGUAUUCAGUAGAUUUCUUAAGAUUAUAAUAGGAAACUUUGAGGUUUUAGCUAUUGGUGAAGCCAUAAUCAUUGUGAAAUAUGGCCUAACACGACGAUUAUUGUACCAAGAAUCUAUCAGCUGAAAUGAAGGAGGCUCAGGAAAAGAAGUUAGAAGGACUCAAGAAACAGCAGGAGAUUCAGUUUCGUCUUGCUGUGGAGCGCAAGAUAUUUAUGCGUGACAGGAAGAUUAAGUUUUUCGGUAUGAUUUACUGAUUUAUUUAUUAUGUAUAGAGUUGAUUUCUUGCGUGAUUUAUGGCUUAAUUGCUUGGUGGAGUGUGUUUGACUCAAAUCAUAUAAGUAACACGGACUUUUUUCAGAGAGAAGAAAAAUAGAGAGAAGAAUAAGACGUUUGGAGAAACUCCAACGUGCUUCUUCGUCUGGUCAGGCACAAGAUGCAGAGAGUUCUGUGCAACUUUCCAAAUUGAAAGAAGAUCUUGAAUAUGUUAGGGUAAGCUAUAUAGUGGUAUAUAGUGGUCCUUGGUCUUUCUGGUUUUAUGUGAAUGCAUGCUUGUGGAAUUUGUAAUUGGGAAUUUGGUAUGUUUUUCUGUCAUGAGAAUAUCAUAAGCUUUCAUUGGAAUUGAAAUGUGAACUUCCACUUGACCUUGUGCCUUAUGGUGAAGGGCUGAAUGUAUUUUACUUUACUUGGUACAGGCUUUGAAUUGUUUCUUGAAAUAACACAUACUUGUUUCCAAUAAUGUCAAAAGGCUGAUUUUUAUUUUAAUUUUACUAUCAGUUCUUUCCCAAGACCGAGAAGUAUGUCCCUUUGUUUACUGGUGGUGAAGUUUCAGAUAUAGUUGAUAAGAGAAAUAAGUUGCGUGAGAAGAUUAAGGCCAAUUUAAUUGCUGCAGCAGCUAGUGGAAAGGAUGUUGAAGGUAUUUCUUUUAUGCUUUAUUUACUUCCACCAGAAAUAUCUCUUAUAGAGGUAUUCUUCAUAAGAAAUAACCAUCUGUUGUAAUGCACAAUACAUCUUUUUUAGUUAUCUAAAGUUGUUUGAGUCAUUGUUUGAAUAAAAAGGUGAAAGCCCAACUUGGUGCAGCCUUCCUUCAAAAUUCAAUAAAGGUAUAUACCAUUUAAAAAAUAAUGUAGGAUAAAGACCUAGCGAACUGUCUAGUCUUCAGAUGAAAUUAAUAGUAGAGGUAAAAAU